UUUUAUCAUUUACCUACUCGAGGACGAGCAGGAAUUAAGCUUGGGGAUGCUGAUAUGUCUCCGUCGUAUCUAUAAUUUUUGAUUGUUUCAUGACAAUAUUAUACAACUUCCACAUACUUUUGGCAACAAUUUAUAUGAUUUAUUGGAUUAACAUAUUGAUCUAGUGCCUAGUUCCAGUUCCUGUUUGUUGCACUUUUUGUUUUGUAGAAUAUCCAUAUCAAACGAAGACCAGCCGCGAUAAAAGUUUACAGAGAUUUUUUUGGAAUAUAUGUGAAUUUUUGUAAGAAAUAUCAACGCAAGACAGUGCUGGAGGGGCCCACCACCCGCCAGGGCGCGCCCUGAUGGGUUGUGGGCACCUCGUAAGGCGGUUGCUGCCCUUCUUUCUGCCGCAAGAAAGAUAAUUUAUGGACAAAAAUCCCCUAAAAAUUUCAGCCCAAUGGAUUUACGGAUCUCCGAGAAUUUAAGAAACGGUGAAGGGCCAGAAGACGGGAACGUGAAACAGAAGAGAAUAGAGGGAGAGAUCCAAUCUCGGAGGGGCUCCUGCCCCUCCACCGCCAUGGCAACCAUGUACCAGAGGGGCAACUCUCCUCCCAUCUAGGGUGAAGGCCAAGGAAGAAGAAUAGGGGGGGUUCUCUCCCCCCUCUCCCAGUGGCAUCGGAACGCCACUGCGGCAAUCAUCGUGUGACGGCUAUCUACUCCAACAACCUCGUCAUCUUCACCAACAUCAUCAUCACCUUCCCCCAUCUAUCUACAGCGGUCCACUCUCCCAGAACCCGCUGUACCUUCUACUUGAACAUGAUGCUUUAUGCUUCACUUUAUUAUCCAAUGAUGUGUUGCCAUCCUAUUAUGUAUGAGUAGAUUUUUAUUGUCCUAUUAGUAAUUAGUGAAUUGCUAUGAUUGGUUUAAUUUGCUUGUGGUUAUGUUGUUGUCCUUCAGUGCCCAUCAUAUGAGCGCGCGUGUGGAUCACACCAUAGGGUUAGUUGUAUGUUGAUAGGACUAUGCAUUGGACUGCAAGGGUGACAGAAGCUUCUUGCUACCAUAGAAAUUAAUGCAUACGGGAUGGAAGGGGGGCCAAUAUAUAUCUUAAUGCUCAAGUAGAGGGUACACCUUUACAUUCUACAUAGGCUAAACAUGGUACUAAUCAAUGGAAAAAUUCUAGGUGUCCCUAUUCACCCCUCUUAGUCCCAUCUAUGUCCUUCCAGUUACAGUGCUGACGAUUCCUAUUGGUAGAAUUAACCAAUAAAAUGUCUCCCUUCCGCACAAGGAGGCAACAAAUGUAACAUUGGAUGGACUUUCCCAUUAUGCUAAUUUGGUUAGAUAAAAUAUCGGGUUUUGGAAACCUUAUGGAAGGUUUCGUCUGGUUAUUUAUAAUUACCAGGUGUUAUGUGCUUCUUUUCCAGUUUUUAUUUUCAAAUAAAUUUUAAAAUUUGGAUUUAUAAAAAUAUUUGUAUUUAAAGAUGUUUUGACUUCAGAAGAAUGUUCAAAAUAUUUAAAAAUUCGCAAUUCAAAAUGUUCUCUUAAAAAAAAACUAAUAUCUUUCAAAAUUAAAAAAUGUCAGCUUUUUUUACAAAAACCUUCACGGCAGUUUUGAAUGAUGUCCGUGUUUUUCUUUACUUUUUUACAUUUAGAAAAAAUAAAUUUCAUCUAGAAAACCACAAUUAAAAACCAUAAAAACUAUAAUGAGACAAAAAAAGCUAGGAUCGGUAAGCAUGCUGGCUACAUGGGUUGGCCCAAUCUAGUGGUGCAUUAUAUGGAACACCGAAAAUUUGACGCCCAUGCGUCACAUAGGAGCUCCCUACAACGCGUUCCCCCAUGGUGCAUCUAAGUGGGCUAGCCUAGCACUGGUAGCAGCCAUAACUAUAUAUAGACCAUGUGUAUGUCUCACAGAGGAGGCUGUGAAUAUUUUCAUGAAAGUGGCAUUUAAUCGUGGCAUAUAACUCAUAAAUAUUGGUGCCAAAUCAUUCCUUAAGUAUUCUAUUACAUUACUUUAAUAUCAUGAAGCCAUACAAUAUCUAUUUCUAUAAGAUGUAAAUCUUUCUCUAGUGCGUGUGAGGCUAAACCAUAAAGAAUUAACUGAAUAUUGCGCAUAUCUUUAUUUAAUGUGCACAAAAUAUUGCAUAUUUAAUGUGCACAAAAUAUAUGACAUUAAUUAAAAUAUUUUUUGUUCAUGAAAUAAAGAUUUUCACAAUAUUCAAUUAAUUUUGUAUGGUUUAGCUUGACACCUACUAGAGAAAGACACAAAACAUAUGGUCUAUAUAUAUAUAUCUGGUUGUCCAUAGUGAUCUUCAUCAAUUACAUAUCAAUAUGUAUAAUCUUAAUCCACUUUGAUGAGCAAUUGCCUUAUGUUUCUUUUAUCAUGCUCAUUAAUAUUGGCGCAAAAUCAUUUAUUAUGCUUUAAAUAAGGAUUCAUUAAACAAAAAUAAAUAAUUAUUAAUAUUUGUGCAAAAGCAUUCAUUAAGCACUAUAUUACAUUUCUUUUAUGUCAUUAAACCAUAUGAUAUUUAUUUGGGAAAAAUUUGUUUCUGCCACUGUAGGUUUUGCUAAUUUCCUUAUGCCAGUCUAAAAUUUGACAUUUCACUUUUGCUACACUUAGAUUUAGACAAUACAUCACAAUUGUCAUUCUAUGGCAAAAGGAAAAACAAUUAGGGUUGCAAUUGUGAUAUAUUGUCAAAAGCUAAGAGUGGCAAAAGUGAAAUGAUUUCUUUUUCUGCUUUUGCCACGAAAUGACAAUUGUGAUACAUUGUCGAAAUCUAAGAGUGGCAAGAAUGAAAUAUCAAAUUUUAGAGUGACAUAAGGAAACAGUCAAAAUCUAGAGUGGCAAAAACAAAAUUUUCCCUAUUUAUUUCUAUAAGAUGUAAAUCUUUCUCUAGUAUGUGUCAGGCUAAACCAUACAAAAUUAAUAGAAUAUUGCACAAAUAUUUAUUUAAUGCGCACACAAUAUUGCGCAAAUAUUUCUCUAGUAUUGUAAUUAAUGUCAUAUAUUUUGUGUGUAUUAAAUAAAUAUGCAAUAUUUUGUGUGCAUUGAAUAAAGAUUUGCACAUUACUCAGUUAAUUUUGUAUGGUUUAGCUUGACACGUACUAGAAAGACACACAUAUAUGGUCUAUAUAUAGUUCUGGUUGCCCAUAGUGAUCUUCAUCUAUUACAUAUCAAAAUAUGUAUAGGCUUAAUCUACUUCGACGAGCAAUUGCCUUAUGUUUCUUUUAUCAUGCUUUUCAAGCUAGAGGUGUUCGGUUCUUCCCUACCAUUGAAGAGGUAAUCUUACUAUAUAUUGUGAUAGUACAAUAGUGUAUAUAAAUAUUAAACGUGAGUGAGAUAGAUUAAUGGGUUAUUUUCCCCAACCAUACUUUUUUGAGGAAUUCCCCAGCAUUCUUGGUCUUUUGAUGUAUUUAGUUAUUUUUCAUUUCAAAAGACAUCAUGGUUCAGAAUAACCAUGCAUAACAAGAUGGACCUAUAAGUUAAGAAUACUAAACAAUUACAUGAUAGGACAACCACCAAUACAUAUAUAUGUUGGAAGGAUUAGAGACAUCACCGGAUAGUAUAUACACUCCUCCUAUAAUAGUUGGAUGCCAACAAAAUCAUGGGAGUGAAAUGAGAAACAAACUAUGUUAGAGUAUAAUUUCAAAGUGUUUAGCAUAUCUAUUCAUCUACUAUUGCUAUGACUACAAUGUUUAGCUAUGAAAUAAACAUUAGCUUUAGUUUAUUGAUUCUACAAAAGAUACUUCAUAUAAAUUUUUCCCUUCUUAACAUACAUUUACAUUUUUACUUGAAGGAAAAUAAUUCAUUGUCCAAAGAUUUUGUCCAUGGUUCAGCCAAACAAAUUCUCAAAAGUUUGAAGUCAAACUCCACUGAAGCACUAACUUCAGGGCAAGGUUCUAGUUCAUGGGAUGAUCCCUAUGUGGGUUACACUUUCUUAUCUUCACUCAGUUUACUUAAGUAUUUUACCCAAGAUUAUCAAAUAGUACACUUUUUAAGUGCAAUGACACAAUAUAUUGUAAUUUAAAUCUGGAAUAAGCAACAUGGCAUGUCAUUUUCAGUAAUAUAAGAUUUAUUAUGGAAUUCGGUUGUUGGAAAGCAUACUUACAUGUAUGUAGUCACAUAUAACUUCGUAUGAUGUUGCAUUGCAGCUAUUUUGACAUGUUCACAAAUAUGAAUGUGAGAUGAUAUAAAUAACUACAACACUAAUUGCUGACCUAUUAGGUUUUGGUAAAUGUCAUGAUAUUAUGUCGAUAGGCACAAUUAUGAGUAUUCAUAUGUACUAGGUAAUCGUUUAUUUUAGGAUUCACCGAAUAAUAUGUUCGUAAUAUGAUGCUAAUCUACCUGCCAUCAAAGUGAGAUAAAUGCUACUUUAGUCCGAGUUAGCCAUCAUAGCUAUCCUAUUUGUCUUUACCAAUUUAAUAAAGUAAGGAAAUAUUUCCGCUGCAUGAAUCUAUUUUUGUACUUAUUUUUAUCAACACACGAAGUGAAAUAUUUCCCCAAUGCAUAUUGGUAGUAAUGUUUUAUAUAGAAAUCAUGUUAUUUUGGAAAACUAGCAGAAUGAUCUAAACAUUAGCAUGGAUGGAUUUUGUUAGUUCCUUUCUUUCAAUUUGUACAAUAUAUUUAUUAUGCUAACUUUGAGAUAUGUAGUGAAAUUUAUGCACUUUUUAAACUAUAAAAUAUUGGAAGCAAAAAUACACCUUGUUAACAGUUUGAUGAGAUUGUUUUUGACUAUUUAUUACCCCAACAAUUGUUAGUUGAUCAUUUCCCCAUGAAAAUUGAUUGUUCUUUAUGUUCGUUGCACAAUAUUAUGUUAACUUCAAGGUAUUUUUUGAGAUUUAUAUACAUUUUAAACCAUAACUAUUUUGAAGAAAAUACUCCCCAGUGAAAAUUUGAUGCCAUUGCUUUUGGCUAGUAAUUUCCCAUGGAAAUUGUUAGUUACGUCACUUGAUUGCUUCCAUCUUGCAGUUUGUGGCACACCUAACACAUUCUGGAGGUCCUAAUGACAACUACUAUGGCUUACAUGCCAUCAUGGAUGUGUAUGGACACGAACUAAAACAUGGCCAAUGGAGUUCGACUACUUUUUGGAUUAAUCAUGCAGGACAUGGUAAUAAAUCAAGCUAUAAUGCGAUUCAAGUUGGCUGGCAUGUAAGCAUUAUUUUUCUUCCCAUGCACAUAGCCUCUCAAUUUAAAUAAUAAAUUGGUCAUUAGUUUAUUGCUUCAACUAUGAUAUUAUAAUAUUCAAGUAACAUAAAUAUAUCUUGUCGGCUUGCCAAAAUUCCUGAACAUCCUUGGGAUCAAAUUAAAUGCGCAUCACAAAAAAAUACUUAAUCAUAUUUAUUUGUGGGCUAAGACUAUGCCCCUUGAAAACUAGGAAACUCUUGCCAUUUUUCUCUGAAGUGUUAUAUAACAGUUAAAAAAAGUUGGCCAUGUGAAAAGUUACCAGAAACUCAAAACUAUUUUGGCUCAAGUGAGCUCAUUUCCUUCUUCUCCAAAUUCGUAUUUUAAGUAUAAAAUUCUUCAAUUUAUGACCACAUGUAUGUGUAGAUGUUAACCUUCUGCCAAAUUUCAUCAACAAAGCAUUUCAUCCAUAUGUUUGUCCUUUGUGUGUAGCUCAUAAAGAACAAGUUUAUGGACAAAAUUUUACAGAUACUCUAGGCACAUUUACAUGUGGAACUAUUUCUAAAUUUUAUGAAAAUUUAAAUAUGAAUUUUAAAUUUUGUAAAUUGUGGGAUCACAACACUCAAAAACCAUCGCUUGCCAUCAUGUAAAUGGCAAACCAAUUCAUUUGUUUUCCAUUUAUUGGAAACUCCCCUUCUUGACCUUUAAGUGUGAGGUAAUGUUUAUCUUAUGUGUACCCUUUGUUGAACAGAUUAAUCCAGAUCGCUACGGCGACUCACAUCCUCACUUCUACACCCGUUGGACGGUAUUGUGAUAAUUAUGCUUUGAAAAUUACUCUUUCCCACAGUAAAAGUGAUCUUACUCUGAUAAGAAACAUACAUAGGAAGUUUCUAACCCACACACAAAAACAAUGUAUGCAACAGAGAGAUAAUUAUGAUGCAACCGGCUGCUACAACAUGGACUGCCCUGGUUACAUACGGGUAGAUGGCGCUGUUAUAGCUCCUGGUGAUGCUAUACAUCCAGUUUCUAAUGUCCCUAAUGGACCUAGACAAAGUAUCACUCUAAGGGUGCUAAAGGUAUGUUUUCAUCCUUUUUGUAUGCAUUUCAUAGCCAUGUUAUUCCGCUUAUGAAAAUCUGACUACGUGAUCGAUAAAGGUGUAUAAUUUUUUACAACCUAAUAAUUGGUGGAUCAUAACAUAUGUCAAAGGUAUAAAUUAAAUGUGAAGGGCUUUAGUCUAAAUCCUAAUCAAUUUCAGGACAAAAAAAGUGGAGAUUGGUGGGUGUAUUACGGCUUCAAUAAAAUCCCGACAGGCGUGGGAUACUUCCCAAGGUCGUUGUUCAGCUACUUAGCAGAAAAGGCGGACGGAAUGCAAUUUGGUGCAUUUGUUAAAUCUAAAAAAGCACUUCCAACUCCUCCAAUGGGCAGUGGUGCCCUCCCAAAUGGUGGUAAGGGUCGCGCCGCAUCAUUCACAGACAUCAGAUUCAUUGACCAGGAUGGAAAUAGUAGACCAAUCAAGGAAGACCUACCCAUGUUUGUUACUGAUAAAAAAUGCCACUCUAUCACCCGUAUUGAUCAUGCUGUAUGCUUUUAUGGUGGUCCUGGAGGUUGUAUGAGAUAAGAUGUGAUACUUUGAGAUUUGUAUCACCUAGUGUUUGUUGUCAAAUAAAAUGGCAUGGAUGACAAAAAUUAUGAAGAGAGUAUUCGCUUGUUUACCUAAAGCUACACUAUGAAAACCUUUGCUUCCAACAAACAUGCAUCCCUCGUACUUAAAUUGACCUAACCAUCAAAGGAGUUAUAUGGAAUAGUUGUAUGCUUAGAUGUGAGGCAACAUAAUAAUUUUGUUGGUCUAAUGUUCUCUUGUGGGAUGGUAACCAGAAGGUAUAUGCACCCCAGGAAUGCAAUCAGUCAUUGUUCUUAUCAUUUUUAUCUAGGUUCUCCAUGCCUCUCUUUUGUAAAAUAAACUCUUUUCUCCUGAAAUGAAUUGGCAGUACACUUGCUAUAUUUUAUAAAAAAAUUACUUUUCAUGCCACGAAGCAACACCUGUCAGUGCGAGGUGGUAAAAUGAAGAAACUUGGCAAUGAUGGUAGCAAAAGGAGGGCCUACAACACAUCAAGUUUUCUAUCUCUGCAGCUGGCAACCAUGUCAGCACACCAUUGCUGAAGUUCUCAAAAAUGCUCGUUGGAUCCAUGGCAUGAGAAGCCCCUCAACAUUAAAAAAUUCUUCAGUUCCUUGACCUUUAGGAGGUUAUUCAAAAGAUUCAGCUUGAUCCUAAUUCCAGUAAUACAUGGUCGUGGUCCUAGGAUUCCUCUCGGAGUUUCUAUACCAUAUUAAUCGGUAUAUAGGUCAUUUUUUGCGAAUUCAACACUAACUCUCUUUCAUUAUUCACAAAAAAACUCUCUUUGUCAUUGAUGCACACGCCAUCCAUGCACUGAAAAUUUCAGAUGCCAUCUUUGUGUCACGCCACGAAGCUGUUGGCACAUGUUUGUUUUCUACGGAGUACAUGCCAGUUCAGUUAUUACUCCAUUGUCAUCACCAUCAAAUGAGUCCAAAUAGCUAUGGGCAUAUGUAUCACUGCCAUUGUCAUCACCAUCUAUGGCAGAAAGCGACUGAACUUGUCUCACCCAGAUUUCCUGACAUUUCUCUUUAGUUUGUUGGUGAAGCUGCUGAAAAGACAUCCAUUGUCCAUGUGAAAACUUACUUAAUGGAAUUUCACCAACCGUAAUUCCUGAUGUUGCUUACUCACUUGAAAGGUUCCUCACCACGCAAUACGAUGCCACCUUCCUAAUUUAUCAGUUUGCUCGUCUGGAACACCGAAUUUAGGAAGCAAGUAUUUACAAAAAAAAUUAUCAAUGCAAGCAUUAGUGAACAGUGUGAAANNNNNNNNNNNNNNNNNNNNNNNNNNNNNNNNNNNNNNNNNNNNNNNNNNNNNNNNNNNNNNNNNNNNNNNNNNNNNNNNNNNNNNNNNNNNNNNNNNNNNNNNNNNNNNNNNNNNNNNNNNNNNNNNNNNNNNNNNNNNNNNNNNNNNNNNNNNNNNNNNNNNNNNNNNNNNNNNNNNNNNNNNNNNNNNNNNNNNNNNNNNNNNNNNNNNNNNNNNNNNNNNNNNNNNNNNNNNNNNNNNNNNNNNNNNNNNNNNNNNNNNNNNNNNNNNNNNNNNNNNNAAGCCAUAGGCAUCGCUGCAUCGAAGUAGACUUAUCUAAAAAAGGCAUGGAAGUAGAUAGGCAACUAGAGGCUCUUUCGGUCUUGGCAGCUGCUACAAACCACCCGACUGAUUUUUCUUGAAAACCGUUGGAUUUGGUCAACGCAGGCCAUGACUUUCUCCGCAUUGCAUCAGGACGCCCGCUUCGAUCUCCUCUGGCCAUAGCAACGUCCGCGGCCUGCACAUCAUUUCCAGCAGCACCGGAAGCGUCAUCGCUGCAAGCAUCACGGCCGCCGCCGAUGAGCUUUGCACUGCAGCACCAGGCCGGAGCCGCCAACGAAGCUAUAUUGUAGGGGCCGCCGCCGAGCGCUGCAUCCCAGCAUCGGAAGCCGCCGGCAAAACUGCAUUGCAGCAUUGAGGUUUCAUGACAGCUCUGGGCCACCAGCGAGCACUUCAUUACUGCACUGGGAGCCACUGGCGAAGCUCCAUCGCAGCACUGAGGUUGCAUAAGAGCACCGGGCACCGAGAGCCUCCGGCGAGCGCUCCAUUGCUGCGCCGCCGCGCGACCCUCCGCUCCUUGCAGCACCUCCGUGCGACCCCAUUGCAGCGCGGGUGAUCCCCUUGCACCAGCGUCCAUGGGCGGGCUUGCAGUGCCCGUCGCCUCCUAGGCUGUCAUGCUGCAAUGUCGGUGACGGGUCAUAACCCCAAGUGCAAGGAAUCAUCGUAGCAAUUUUUAAAGGUGGAAGUGAUAAGUAUGGAGUGUCAAACCCACAAGGAGCUAAAGGUAAGAUCAAUAUUCUCUCAAGUCCUAUCUACCACUGAUUCGACUCUAUGUACACCGAACGUUUGCUUCCAACGGGAAAUAAAACUGGGUUGUGGGUAUGAAGAUGAUAGCUUUGCAUAAUAUCGGAGAACUGAAAUAUAAAAAUAGGUGUUGUUAACAUAGAGUUAGAGUAUAUCACAAUAUAUUACAAAUAGCGAGUGUGGAAUAAUGAUGGAUCGGUUUGCGGAACUGUCCUAGGCAAUUGUUAACAAGAUCAGUAAUCAUUAUUGCAAUUUUGUAUGAGGGAGAGACAUAAGCUAACAUACUUUCUCUACUUGGAUUAUAUGCACUUAUGAUUGGAACUCUAGAAAGCAUUUGCAACUACUAGAGAUCAUUAAGGCAAAACCCGACCAUAACAUUAAAGUAUCAUGUCCUCUUUACUCCCAUAUGCAACAACCCCCUUACUUGGGUUUAAACUUCCGCCACUCUAGCAACCCACUAUAAGCGAAUCAUGAACGUAUGACAACACCCAACAAUGGGAAUCCUUCACAUGUGUGCGGCAUGGUAGGUACCCUAGGACAACACCAAUAUAAAGCAUACAACUCAAAUCAAUCUAGAUCAUCAAUCAACCCAAAAGACAAAAUAAAUCUACUCAAAACAAUAUAGGAUGGCAACACAUCAUUGGAUCAUAAUGUGGCAUAAAUCACCAUGUUCAAGUAGGGGAUUACAGUAGGAUGCGGAAGAGUGGACCGCUGAAAAGAGGCGAGGAAGUUGAUGAAGAUGGUGAUUGUAGGAUCAAAAGUAUGUAUAGAGGGGGGGGAGGGGAUGAGACUACUUGACCAAAUGAAAAUCUAACCUUUUCCCAAUUUUAGUUUUGGGCAGAUUUUAACAAUUAGCACAGGUCAAGCAAUCAACCUACACAUGCAAUUCUAAGAGCGUAGUAGCGGAAAGUAGAACAUUGCAUAUGAAGGUAAAGGGAAGGGUUCGGAGAAUGCAAACACAAUGGAGACACGAAGAUUUUUGGCGUGGUUCCGAUAGGUGGUGCUAUCAUACGUCCACGUUGAUGGAGACUUCAACCCAUGAAGGGUAACAGUUGCGCGAGUCUACAGAGGGCUCCACCCACGAAGGGUUCAUGAAGAAGCAACCUUGUCUAUCCCACCAUGGCCAUCGUCCAUGAAGGACUAUUGCCUCACUCGGGUAGAUCUUCAUGAAUUAGGAGAUUUCCUUUCCCUUACAAACUUCUUGCUUCAACUCCACAACUUGACGGAGGCUGUCAAGCGACACCUAACCAAUCUAGGAGACACCACUCUCCAAAAGAUAAUAGAUGUUGUGUUGAUGAUGAACUCCUUCAACUUGUGCUUCAAAUGAUAGUCUCCCCAACACUCAGCUCUCUCUCACAUAUUUGGAUAUGGUGGAAAGAUGAUUUGAGUGGAAAGCAACUUGGGGAAGGCUAGAAAUCAAGAAUCUUGUGGUAGGAUUGGAAUAUCUUGAUCUCAACACAAGAGUAGGUGGUUCACUCUCAAAAAAUGUAUGCUGGAAGUGUAGACACGUUUUGAUGGCUCUCUCACAAAUGGAGAAGGGGUGGAGGGGUAUAUGUAGCCUCCACACAAAAUCCAACUGUUACACACAUUUGACCCAACUCAGUCAGACCAAAUAGAUGAACUCGAUGAGACCGAUCUGUUCAAAAUGUGAACGCUAGGAAUCUUGGUGGGACCGAUAGGAACAACUCGGUGGGACCGAUGUGCUAGGGCUUAGCGCAAACAUCAACUCGGUGACACUGAUUGCAUCAACUCGGUGAGACCGAAGUGAAGCAAUAAGGCAACAAAGAGAAUGUCAAGCCAACUCGGUGAGACCGAUUGCAUAACUCAGUGAGACUGAAAUAAAUGCAACAAGUCACAGAGCAUUGGUAAGGCCACCUCAGUGAGACCGAGACUCGUAUCAGUGAGAUCGAACUGUUAGGGUUUCUGGCAGUGGCUAUGUCAUAUGAACUCGGUGGCGCCGGGUAGAAAAAAUUGGUGUGUCCGGGUUGGAGUUUAGGAUUUUGACAUAUUUGGAUGGAGAAAGUGGUUGAGGGUAUUUGUAGCAAUAUCACUAAGCAUUUGAGCAAACAAGCCAUUAAGCAACACCUCAUCCCAUUUUAAUAGUAUUGGCUUUCCUAUGAACUCAGUGUGAUCUUGGAUCACUAAAAUAGAAAUGGAGAGUCUUGAGUUUUUGCCAAUAUGUGUCCUUAGCAUUUUGAGGGGUCCACAUCUCUAGUCCAUGCCAUGCCAUUCAUUGAACUUCCUGAAAUAUUAAUCUUGAAAGGAUAUUACUUCAAUGAGCUAUAUGUUAUUAUGAAUUACCAAAACCAUCCAGGGAUUAGUUGCACUUUCAAUCUUCCCCUUUUUGGUAAUUGAUGACAACAUAUAAAUCAAAGUAUCGACAUAUGAUAAACUGAAUAAAAUACAUCGUCGCUUUGAGAAGUAUUUGAUAAGCAAGAGCUCCCCCUAAAUGUGUGCAUUAUUUAAAAUUUGCGUUCGAAUGCAAAUGCACAAUCGAUUCGGAUGAUGGGUCACUCUUCCACGUCACAUACAUCUUGGUGGAGCACAAACAAUGAUAAGAGUAUAAUAUCAUGCACUCAUCACCAAAUAUACAAGUGAUUGAUCAAACACAAACAUUCAUAGAGAUAGACAUGCAAGAGCACACAUUAAGCAUGGUAUGAUAAAACACAUGAUCAUACAAGGUAUCUUACGAGCAUAACAUGCAUGUAGCAUCAAGUAGCAACAACCAACCAAAGUAGCAAGGCAAAUGAAAAAUCUAAGAAAAGCAAAAGACACUCUCUCUCGAAGUCUAUGAUCUAAUUUCUAGAGAGGAAAACUAAUUCUAAUAACAAUUUGCAAUGUACUCUAUGAAAUUUGCAAAAAUUAACAUGUACAUUCCAACAUUCUAGAGUUCACAAAAAUAUAUUCAUAUGUUUUGUUAUUAACAUUCCAUGUUGUAAAUUAAUUUUUGUGGAGCUAUUGCAGUGUUUAAAUGAAUAAAUGCAUUUUUAGCUUAACAUUGUAGGUUAUGUUGAACAUGAGUUAAUAUUCUAAUAUUAUGUAUUCUCAAGGUAAAAGUAUAUAUUGUUUAUUUCAUUCUAAUUUUGGGUUCACCAUUUUUUAUUUUUUAAAAGAAAUUAUAAAAAAAUUAGCAGGAUUUUUUCUUAAUGAGAUUUCUGUGCUGGAUUUUUUUUUAUGAUCAAUAGGAUCUACGGCGUGGCUCUAAAUGUUUUAGGUCAAAAUAGAGUUAUCAUGCACUUAUUUCAUUUAGUUGGCACUACAUAAUUAUUUAUGCAUAGUGCAAUUAAUUUCCUAUAUCUGUGGGCAUUAAUGAAAGAUUUGUGCUGAUAUUCUACCAAUUUUGUAUGGUUUGACACGUACUAGAGAAAGACUUUACACAUGAUAGGCAUAUAUAUCAUAUGGUUUAAUGGCAUUAAAGAAACAUAUUUAUAACACACAAUAAAAAGAUAUGGCACCAUUAAUAAUAAAAUAUAUGCUAUAAUUAAAAGAUCUUUUCAUGAAUAUAUUCAUAUCCCCUCUAUAAGACACUUAGGCUCUAUACAUAGUCCUCGAUGCACAUGGUGAUCUUCAUCCAUCACAUAUCAAUAUGUUUAGGCUUACUCUACUAAGAAGAGUGAUUGCUCUAUCUUUCUUUUAUCAUGGGCUUCAAACUAGAUGUGUCUGGUUGUUGCAUAUUAUUCAAGAGGUGAUGUUAUUAUAUAUAUAUAUAUGUAUAUAUAUAUAUAUAUAUAUAUAUAUAUAUAUGUUAUUUUUAUAACUAUUACAGGUUGUGUACUGAAGUGGGGGCCUAGUAUUCCUUUUACCGUCAUAAAUUAUAUUAUGUUUUGUUAGCCUUAUAGAGAAAGCAAUGCGACAGUUGUGGCUUGUGGAUAGGAAAGGAGGUGAGGGUGUGGAUUGAUUGAAGAACAUAUGUCCUAACGGCCUGAUUGGUUCCAACCAUGCAGAUCCAAGGCAAUGUUACUAGAUUUUGUGUUAGGAAAUUUUAUUGUACCCAAUAGCUUCCUAUUGAGAAUCCAUUCACUACUUUCACCCUCGCCCCAUUGUCAUCUGAUACAGCAAUAGAGCACCAAUAAUGAUAUUAAUGACCAUUAUUGCCAUCAUCCCUUGUUUUGGUUAGUACGAAGAGUUGGAUAAUUGUGUCAACAUGUGUGGUGAUGUGACACCACACUAGUUUCUUUAGGUUACAUUAGUGCACUACUUUGUUGGGCUUUGUGAAAAAGAUGGAUUAGUGGGUUAUUUUCCCCCACCAUAUCUUAUGUUUUCCCUAUACUUACAUAUAUGUCAUUUCAACCAAAUCAAAGUUCAUAAUAACUAUGCGUACCAAUAUAAUAUGGAAUAAUUACCCAAUAGAAUGACCAUACAAACACAUACCUUUGUUGGGAGAACCAACUACAUUAGUUGAUGUACACUCGUAUAAUCAUUGGAUUCCAAUCAAAUCAUUGUACUGAAAUAAUCAAGACACUAUGUUAGAGUACACUAUUGAAGUGGUUACCGUCUUUAUUAGUGUCGUCCAACACUUUUUUAAGCUAGAAAAUUAGUAUUUGAUUUGAGUUCUUUCUUCUAUAUAAGAUGCUUCGUGUAAGUUAUUUCCCUCUUAACAUACAUUUUCAUUAUUAAUUAUAGGGAAAUAAUUCACCGGCACAAGAUUUUGACCAUGGUCCGGCCAAACAAAUUUUGACAAGUUUCAAGUCAAACUCCAUUGAAACAAAAACUUUUGAACAAGAUUUUAGUUCAUGGGAUGAACCAUAUGUGAGUUACCCUUUCUUAUCGUCACUAUUUUUACUUUUGUAUUUUAGCUAGGAUUAUCCAAUAGUAAGCUUUGAGGUGCAAUAACUUUUCUAUAUUAUCGCUUGAUGUUGAUAUAAACACAUCUUUCACAAUAAGACUUGGAAACAAGAUUAUACAUGUAACUAGAUUGUUACAAAAGGAAGUACAAUGUACUAUAUACUAUCUAUAACAUUUCCAUCAUUCUUCCUUGCUUUCCUUGCCCAUUUACUUUUGCGAUAGAGGAGACUCCACUCGAAAUCAUGGCAUAGCUAUAUGGGUGUACACUUGUGUGUUAAUCGUUUGAGUGCACCUUUGACUUUGUAGUAACAUGGUUGUGAGAUUUACAAAAGAAUAUGCUAGUCUUUGCUACUUUGAAAAUAUGUCUUGAAAGUGACUAUAUGAAUAUAGAUCUAGCGUCUUUGGAGAAAUAUUUUUUGACAUGUUAGUGUGUGAAGUGAAGGAGAAAAUUAGCUAGCUUAAUGGUGCCUAGGCCCCAUGUAAUAACUCGAUCAAGCUAUUCCAUUACUUGUACCAUUUAUCUUUAGGUGCCUUCAUUCACAUAUUUUAACACAUGACCAAAUGGUGUAUAAAUAGAGAACUAUUUUGUAAGCAAGUACUUAUUUCCAACAAAGAGCUGCCUUGAAUUUCGGAAUGCUUUUGGGCCUAAACAUUAUGCAUUUCUACAACUCGCAUACUAUUUCUCUAAGUGUUGUGUUGAUUAUACUAUGGCUUACAUGCCACCAUGGAUGUGCAUGACCACGAACUAAAACAGGGUCAGUGGAGUUCGACUUCCUUUUGGGUUAGUCAUACCGGAGAUGGUACUACAACAAGCCAUAAUGCGAUUCAAGUUGGCUGGCAUGUAAGUGAUGUUUUCCCAUUCACGUAACCUUCCAGUUCAAAUAAUUUUGGUACAGUAAAUCGUUUCAAGUAUGAUAUUGCGAUAAGCUCGUGAUAGAAAUACAUCAUGCCAAAUUUCCAAAUUUAUUAGACAUCCUCACACUCAAAUUAAAUGUGCACAAAAACAGAAACAAUACUUCAUCUAUUUUAUUUGUGGGCACCUUAAAAGGUGGGAAACUCGUGUUAUUUUUCUUAGAACUUCUAUACAACACUUAAAAAUUAAUUGAGCAUAACGAAAAUAUGUGCAGAGCUACAUAAACUCAAAAAGGCUUGGCUCAAGUGCCCCCCUUUCUUUUCUGCCCACAAACAUAUUUUUAAAUUAUAAAAGUAUUAUUCCCUAUAGUACGUAUAGAUGUUAAAUUUUUUGUAAAAUUUCAUGAAGAGAGCAUUUAUCCAUAUAUUUGUCUUUCUUGUGUAACUCACAGAUUAAAUGUUUCCACAUCAAUUUUACAUGUAAGUUAGGCAUGUUACAUACACAUAUUGAACCGAUUUCUGAAUUUUAUCAAACACCUAAUUGCGAUUUUUGAAUUUUAAAACUCCAAGCUCACUAGAGUCCAUGAGACAAAUGUUAGAACUAUUAAAUGGUGAACUUACUUGUCAUCUUGUAAAUGAUAUAACCAGUUCGUUUAAUUUCCAUUUAUAGGAUUAUUUUCUCAUAUCGUCUCCAUUCUUACCUUUGCAUGUGAAGCAAUGUUUAUAUUACGUGUACCCUUUGUUUAACAGAUUCUUCCAGACCGCUAUGGCGACUCGCGUCCUCACUUCUAUACCCUUUGGAUGGUACUGUGAUAAUGAUGGUAUUUAUUUUGCUUUGAAAAAUUAUCUUACUCAUUCUUUAAUGCAAGAAAGAAACUUAUAUAUAAAGUUCCUGACCCGUGAACAAAUUACUAUAUGCAACAAAGAGAUGGAUAUGAUGCCACUGGCUACUACAACAUGGAUUGCCCUGGUUUCAUACGGGCAGACGGUGCUGUUAUGAAAUAGCUCCCAAGAUAGUGUGUUUUUGGGCGACAUCUCACGUCAUGUCCCCGAAGGGAUGCUUUAUGCAUUUGGCUCCUGCCAAUCGCCAUUGCUCCAUGUCCCGGCGGCAUGCCUCGACAAUGUGUUGCUCGUCCGGCUAUUUCCCUCUGAAGACACAGGAGUUUCUCUCCAGCCAUAUGUGCCACGCAAUGAGUGCCAGCAUCGACUUGGUACCCUUGUGGUUUCCUGGAGCUGCAGCAGCGAUGAUCCUCUCGACACAGCCCGUCGAUGUAGUCUCACUACGCCAGCCCGCAGGGUUCAGGGCCUGGCAACCGGCCCAGGCAGCAGCUUUGUUCCAGGCCUUCAGUGAAAUUGGGCAUUCUCGGAAGAGGUGAAAGGAAGACUCAAGGUUUCUCAUGCAUAGAGGGCAGAAAUAGCCAUUUACCCAGCCCCUCCAUUGCAGUCUGUCGUUGCACCAUAGCUUGCGUUAGUGGAGGAACCAGAGGAACAUCUUGAUCUUCCUCGGCGCCCAGAUCUUCCAAAUUAGGCUUCUGAAGCUGUUGUGCUGACCAUCUGCAAAUUGUGUGGUGUCGGCCGAUAUGGUGGAGUACAUCCGUGAGAUGUGUUGCGUCCAACGGAGGGUGUCCGUCGUCCGAGCCUCCAAGACAAGGCCAGCGCUCCUGAUCUCUCUGGCAAGCUCGAUGACUUGGUAGACAAUGUCGCUGUGGUUGGCAUGCCUGAGGCCGAGAACCCAGCGAUCGCCCUGCAAGGCCUCCUGAAUAGAUCGGUUCUUCCUAAUGGACACAACGAAGAGCGCCGGGAAGGCCAUGCAGAGCUGCGGCCUCCCAGGCAGGAAGAGGCCCAAAAUGAGGACGAGGUUCCAUUCCCGAUGGCUACAGACAUAAAGGCUGCGAACAGGGCCUGGUCACCGCUGCCGCAAGGCAUGCCGGUGCCGACCCAAGGCAGGUGAGGCUGUUGCCAGGCGAGCCACAACAACCGUAGCGGCAGAGCGUGAGCAAACCUGGGCAGGUCAUGGACGCCCAGGACACCGUGCAGCUCCGGCGCAGUCCCGUCUUCCAUCCCACCUUCCACUCGCCCCUGAGAUCUCGUCGUCCUGUGCCCAGAGGAACCGUCGUUGUGACUUGUCAAUUUCCUUGAAGAGCUUCUUGGGCGCCCGUAAAGCCGUGAGCAUGAAGGUUGGUAUGGCGGACAGAACACAGCGCACGAUGACACGAUAACCCGCCAUUGACAUUAGUCUACCUUUCCAGCCGGCUAACCUAGCCCUAAAUCUAUCGAUGAUGAAAUGCAGUUGAACUAGCCUAAUCCUCCGGACCGUGAUGGGCAGGCCCAGGUAUGUGAUCGGCACCGCCGUUGUUGUGCCUCCAAAGUUCACCAGCACUGCGGCAAGGUCAAGGAUCGAACCUAGCCCGACUUUGAAUGAACAAAGCCAUCAACUGGCCAGGAUUACAAAGAAAAUACAGUAAAAAAAAGAAAGCACCGUGUAACAAGAUACAUAGGGCUGCGAGGAACGGCGCUAAGCCUACAGCAAGCGUCGUUGCCAUCGACCGCCGCAAAGCCGAAACCAACUAACCAAACUAAGAGCAACUCUAGCAGACCCUGCAUUUGUCCGAACUUUAAACUGUGUUUGCAGUUCGCACGGGGGCGCUUAUGCAUGCUCAAAAUCGCGGGGACAGAAUAGAAACUGUAUUCAAACCUGUAAAUUUUAAAAAACUUAUUUCGCGAGAGAAAUUUAAGCAAAAGAUCGUCGGAGCUCUCUCGCAUAGAUAGUUCUUCACAUAGUUAGUUCUUCUAUACAUAAGUUCGUACACAGCAUUCAUAUAUUACAUAUAAAUUUGCUGGAGCUGGACUGGGCCUACGCUACCGUACCACUACACAAAAUUGAGCUUAUCGGAGCUCCUGCGGUAGCUGCCCAGCGGCGGUGCUCAAUCAGAGUCGGAGGAGUCGAGGUCGAUGUAGAGCUUCGACUCCUCCGCCUUCAUCACUCGCAGGUCAGCCUCCUUUGACGCGUGCGCCUGCGAUGCAGCGACGCCCGUCUGGAGGAAGAGGCGCUCGUAGUCGAGCUUGCACCGGAUGCGCUCUUCCAUCUCCUCCUGCUCCCUCGCCAACCGCUCGAGGAGGACGCGCUCGAGGAGCUCCUCCUGCCAAGGGGGGAGGUAGUCCUCGGGCCCGAUGACGCCUCGGCGCGGCGACGCAUCAGGCACGGUGUGAGGAAAGAUCUCCUCCUCCGCUCGCUCUUCACCAGAAUGAGCCCCGAGCUCAAUGCGCCUGUAGAUGAGCUCCCCGUGGACCCGUUGCCGGAGGAGGCGUGGCAGCGGCGGGCGAGCUCACGAUCAAAGUCCUCAAGCUCGUGGCGGUCGAACACUGGCGGCGGCCGGCUACCGCAGUUCAGCCACCGACGCGCCCCCCACUUGUGCACGGCAUUAGAUCUGGCGCGGCGGCGGAGCUCUGCCUCAUCCCCAGAGUUGUCCAUGGCUUUCGUAGGCUUGCCAGUAGCAAGGAAUCGAGCGACACGGUGGGGAAUUUGGGGAAACUCGGCUGUGGGGGAUAGGGUUUCGACCCGCAUCUGCCCCACAAACCCGUAGUUAUACUGCUUCCGGGGUAACGUUUGCGGGCUGCGGCAAAAAAAUUUACGGGUCGGACGAGUAUACGGGUUCUGCUCUCGCCAGAAAAUUGGGACAAGCCCGUAUACUCGCCAGAAUUAGGCGGGUUCGUGCGUUAUGUGGAGUCUACUAGAGUUUCUCUAAGGCCUCAGGAGGAGGGCAACAACGGGUUAGUAUCAUGCUGCUAACUACGACUAGAGGGCCAAACUUGAGCAACCACAAGGUCUGUUUCCGUCUCCGCAAAGGGCCACUACCCUUUCACCUAGGCUCGACAGGUGUCGCAAUGGCGAACGAUGGAAAGGUUCCAUAGAACCGAGACCAAGGAGCCCAAGCUGCCACGAAACACGAAAACAACAGAACCACACGCAACGAAGACCGACCACUAGAAGACCAUCGGCGGCAGCAAACCAAGGCGCUGGUCGAGACUCGUUGAUUGAAGAUGGAAGACCACAGAGAAGGCAGAAGAGGGACCAAGCCUUGCACCGGUCAUGGAUUGGAAUCAUCGGAGACCGAGAUUGCCACCAAGCAGGGUACCACCGGCACUGGAAAAGGAAACACCGAUCCCCUCGCAUGGUACCAAUGGCAGAGACCAUCCACACCAAAGGACCGUGCAGGCUGCCACAUAGAAGACCAGACCGACACAACCUUCACCGCAUCACCAACAACUCCACCGCAAGAGCAAACCCCGAAAGACAACUUCAUAAAGGAGCACGAUACUGAGUGUCGUCUUCGUCAAAGCAGGGGAGGCACUACUGGAAACUGGGAAUUUGCCAUCAGCCAGCUCUUUGCCAUCUGCCAGCUGAUGGCAAAGAACGUCUUUGCAGUCUGCUUAUAAAAAACAGAUGGCAAAGAACUGAUAGACGGCAAAGAACAUGGUUGCCAUCAGCCAAUUCUUUGCCAUCUACUAGUGGAUGGCAAAGAGGUGGGUAGGGGUCCAGUGCUGUAACGGCCUGUCAACCCACCUUUUUGCCAUCUGCCGGCAGAUGGCAAAGAGUCUUUUCCGUCUUUUGGCAGAUGGCAAAGAAGUGGGUGGGGCCCAAUGGAUGACGGCGCUGUAACGGCCCAGUAGCCCCACCUCUUUGCCAUCUGCCAGCCGCUGGCUGAUGGCAAAGAUAUGGGCCUUUGCCAUCCGCUGGCUGAUGGCAAAGAGGUCGGACUAUCUCCUCCCCUCUCUUCUUCUAAAAAAAAUUCUCCUCCCCUCUCUNNNNNNNNNNNNNNNNNNNNNNNNNNNNNNNNNNNNNNNNNNNNNNNNNNNNNNNNNNNNNNNNNNNNNNNNNNNNNNNNNNNNNNNNNNNNNNNNNNNNNNNNNNNNNNNNNNNNNNNNNNNNNNNNNNNNNNNNNNNNNNNNNNNNNNNNNNNNNNNNNNNNNNNNNNNNNNNNNNNNNNNNNNNNNNNNNNNNNNNNNNNNNNNNNNNNNNNNNNNNNNNNNNNNNNNNNNNNNNNNNNNNNNNNNNNNNNNNNNNNNNNNNNNNNNNNNNNNNNNNNNNNNNNNCCCUGCGCCCGUCCCUCCAUCGUUCCAGGCCGCGACGCCGCCCCCUCCCCGCGGCCCUCCCGGCCACCGCGGCCCUCCCGGCCACCGCGGCGUCUCCCGCGGCCCUCCCCACCACCACAGCCCGCCCCUCCACCGAGCCAGGCCAUGGCGCCGCCCCCUUCCCACGGCCCUCCCCGCCACGGGGCCAUCGACAAUUCAGAUUCAGGUAUCCUUGUCGCAUGUUUGCUGCGCCCAUCCCGCUCGCGGUGCUCACGGCCACUGUGGCCCUUGUCGACCGUGAGUCCUAGCCUUCCUGGCCUCCCUGCCGAUCUUCUCGGCAAGCGUCCAAGUUGCUUGCGAGACUUGGUCAUGCUUCGGCAAUCUUUCCCAUCGAUCUAGUCCCUAUGGAUCACGGCCUAAAGAUUGCGAUUUGGAAUGCGUGCGGGCGCUCGCACCUAGCCCACAGUGGAGAGUGGGGAGCAGUAUGAGGGACACCGCUGACCGCAUCACCAUCUGUGCACAGUCCUGACCCCCAUGCUGACACUUUGGGUGGGCCAAGGGAGGGGGAGGGGGGAGGGUACAAUGCACACCACCUCCGGUGGAGCCACCUGCCGCUGCUGCACCCUUGCCAAGAUACACCCGUCACUGACCACCACUAGGCAUCCAGGGCAGCCCUUGGGCGACGACAUGUUGGAGGGCGCGAGAAGCUCCGUUGCUCUCGGUGGCAGCAGCGAGCGGACGAGAAGAGAAAGAGGCUAGGUUCAUUGGCGGAACCAUGGCUCGUCAAGCCUGGGCGGCUGCCUGGGCUCAGCUGGUGAACUCCACUGAAAUAGUAGAAGAGAGCAAGGAUUCAAACUUGGUGAUCCCCUACCCUUGGCUUGAUGGUCAGGUCUAAGUAAUCUGAAGAAAGGAAGCAACGAACCAAUCUGCAAGCUGCAACAUCUGAAGAAAGGAAGCAAUGAGCUAUUGUGUGCUGGGAUGCACACGUCAUAGGGUUAGACCUGUUUAGUCAUGUGGUGGUGGGGAGGGGAAUGGAGGUGGGAGCCUUUUCGGAGGCGUGAACUAUCCUUUCUUGCCUUCUAAAGGGUGGAAGUUCUUCGUUCAUUUUCUACAUGGAUUUCUCAUGCUUUGUUGGGCUCAACCUUAGCUUGUUGCUUUGCUGUGGUUCCAUGUGUCUGUCGGUCUAGUAACUUAGAUGACUGUAUGCUGUCAUUUCCUGAUUUAUUUACAUGUGAAGGGUACAAAACGGAAAAAUGCUAAUGGGUACCGUUUUAGCCUACCAAUUGCCAUACUGGUAUGAAACAGUAAGUUUUUUCAUGUCUAAUGCCAAAAUAAUAUAGGUCUGAUAGAAGAUUCAAUAUUUGCCAGUGGCAUAUAGAAAGUUUCCCCCAAAAUAUUUUGUGCAAUCCACUCCCUUGUUUUUGGCUUUUAGGAUAUCAAGCUGCUGUCGAUUAGUUUCCUCUGAUCUGUGUUGAAAUACUAAACUAAGCUAAUCAUGCCCAGGUGUUACGAGUACAUUGAGGAGAUUAUACAGAAGCAAGAGCCUAUUGAAACUGUACUUCGCCUUCUAGUGUUAUUUUCCCUUACAAAUGCUGGGUUACCCAAGAAGAAUUUUCACUACUUGAGGUAUUCUUAUAUUUCUUUAUAAAUCACUGUAUUUCUGAGAUUUCAUGAUACUUUGUGUUAAAACUCCAUGUAUAUUUUCACUUUACAAAUUUGCAACAUACUAAAUGUAUGUUAUAGUCUUGAUUCAUGUUUCUGCUUUUUCUAGGCGGGAAAUACUGCACAGUUAUGGCUUUGAGCACAUGCCCUUGUUAUACAAUCUGGAAAAAGCUGGCCUUGUUAAAAGGUAGGUUAGUCAAAGUAGCUACUCUCAACUUGGUUUUCUUCUUGUUUCAGAUCCUUAAGCGGCUCCACAAUGGUGUUCUAUCUUGUUAUAUUUAUUCCAGUUCCUCUCGCAUCAGUUUCUAUAAUAUACUAUCAUGUUGUGCAGGAAUCAAGGACUAAUUGGCCUGUUAUUAGCAGAGCUCUCCAGCUUAUAGUUGAUAUAAAGGAUCCUGAAAAGUAUUAACUGCAUAAACUUCAGACUUACUUUGGCUUCUCUUUCAAGUUUCACUUAUAAAACUUUAUGCUGAAUUAAUCUCCACAAAUUUUUCAUCUUUCAGAAGGUGUAGUUUAUUAAUGUAUUUUUUUGUUUAUUUUCAAAACUGGCUAAUUAUGUUCUUAAAAAGUACCCAUACUGAUCUGCAAAACACUUGCAAAUUUGAGAUUGUUAUGUAUAUUUCCAAACCGUUGACAAACAAUACAACAAUUGAAUCGAAUAAUUGUCUUUUAUAUAAGCAUCUACACAAAAAAUUGGUCCAUCUGGACAAUAUUCAAGCAUGUAACCAUGCAAACAAAUACUAUUAUUAAACACCAAACACAAACAGAUUUGUUUCAUAGGCAUUCUACUUCAUCAUUUCAUAAAUAAGUUCAGACUUCAAAAGUACAACCAAGAGCUAGUAAUAUCAUAUAUUUAAAUAUUCGUACUCCAUGAUCCAUUAGACCAUCGCCUAAUAACCAAAAGUACAACCAUUGCUUCUACUGUUCGAGCAAAUGAUGUAAGACUAGCAAUAUUAUGAGCAAGGGCACCCUCAUAAAGAAGUCACAGAUAUAAUCAUAAGUUAUCUUUGCUUCUUUGACCUUGUAAUGUGCAUUCACUGUAGUUUGCUUUCCCAAUCCUGGCCGUGCUCGAUACUUAUCCAUUGGACCCUUGGUCUGAGGCUUCUUAGGAACUUGAGAGCUUCCACUUGCUGUAGUAGCAAGAUAAUCAACGAUUGCGCAAUCUGAAUCCUCUUGCAACUCCAACAUUUCUCUAACCAUACAUCUCUCUAACCUCCUCUUGCAACUCCAACAUUUUCUUUAGUGAUUUAUCCUUCUUUUUCUCAUUGUCAGCUAUCAAUGUAAGCAUCUGCUCUUUAACAUGAUCAGGAACCUGUCGGCAACAUACAUAAUCCUUUUUUAUUCCAGCCAAGUGCUUCUUAAAUCUGGUAAUGCCACCAUUGAAAAAGUUCAAGCAGUAUCUGCAUCCAACUCUGUUCUUGGUUCUGAAUUCAUCAAUAAUUGGUAAAGCAUGCUCCCAGGCUGGAUCUUUUCGUGUUCUUCCGGUUGCGGCAGCAGAAGAAGCCCCUGAUCCUACUGAUGACAUAGUGCUAGUAGCCUACUACUGCAAAAAGAAAGAAAGAAACAUAAGCUAUUUGCAGAAAAAAUAAGUAAACAACAUUUAUUAGUAUAAAGAAAGGAAAAGAAUGUACAUCAGUAAAAACUGAAUAUAUAGAAGAACAUUUAUCAAUAUAACAAAAGAAAAAGACUGUACUGUGAAAGUUUAUCAGUAAAAACUGAAUAUAUAAAACAAAAUUUAACAGUACAAACAGAAGGCAAAGACUGCAAGUUUAUCAGUACAAACUGAAUUCAUAAACAACAUUUAACACUACAGAUAAAAUGUACAGAGUAUGUACUGAGUACUAUCUACCGGACGAAUUUACCAGUAUAAACUAAAAUUUGUUCAGUGAUGCAUCUGCUGCUUGUUCUAGCCGAGGAGAACUACGGUGAGCAGUGAGCUGUGUACAAAUAAAAAGCAGAGACUAUGUACUGUCGUACUGACCUAGGAUCUGGGCUUCCCCCAAUUUUGUCUACUAGGCUAUGCAUCGAUCAGUAUAAAUUAAAAGCAGAGAGAGCCUAUACCUUGACUCCUUGAGGUGGUGAAGCGCGGUGAGAAGCAGCAGUUGGGAAGCCAGGCAGCCGGAUUGGGACGUCGAGAAGUAGGGAGUUGAGCAGCUGCGCAGGAAGGGGACAGCGGAGCGGAUGUGGUCGCUGCCAUCCUGGGUCUGCCAUGACCCACGAGCCCACGACUCGCUGCGUUGGCUCGUCGUCGACCGGUGAAGGGCAUCGAGCCGAUCAAGAAGUGGCCACCCAAUCAACGAAAUUAAAUGGGGCAAUAUAGUCACUUUGCCAUCUGCUGGCAGAUGGCAAAGAGCUUUGCCAUGAGCUGGCAGAUGGCAAAGAGGCCACGUGUCAUCUACAUGUAACACUUGGGCUGGCCUAUUUGGGCUCUUUGCCAUUUGACAGUAGAUGGUAAAGCAUUCAGCCUUUGCCAUCUGCUGGCAGACGGCAAAGAGCCUGCAGCCUUUGCCAUCUGCUGGCAGACGGCAAACAGCCUGCAGCCUUUGCCAUCUGCUGCUGGCAGAUGGCAAAGUAUGCCGUUAGCCUUCUAACGGGGCUAACCCCGUUAAGAGGCUUUGCCAUCAGCCAGAAGAUGGCAAAGAAGCCUUUACCGGCAGGGUUUCAGACAAACUGUUUGCAGCCUUUGCCAUCCGCCGACCAUGCCUUUGCCAUCUGCCAUGGCAGAUGGCAAAGUGCCAGAUUUCAGUAGUGAGGGUAGGCUUUCACCUGUGCACGAGGGGGAUGCGAGGGGGAGAAUCUGCUCCAAAGCCUCAAGGAAGGAGAAUUGUGCCAGAAGAAGUUGCCUUUGUAGUAGCCGCCGUGUCAGACAAGGAUUUCCCUCAAAAACACGUCCAGCCACCAGAUCUGUCCAAUAGAGCCCAGGGGAUGACAGUCGCAUCCGCUAGAGGGCAGGGCUGGCACGGAUCUAAGUAGAUCUCCAAGACUUGCCAGUACACCACCGCGGGGACGCCGGAACGAUGAUGCCCCCCCCCCACCCAUCUCCGGAAUGCGGCAGUCAAGGCAUUUGGUUCUUGUGGUGGUGACAUCGCGAUGGUGAUUGUGGAUUUAGGUUUUGGAGGGGAGCCCUUGUGACUGGAUGAGGUUGAGGCAAGUGUUGGGUCAGGGGCGAGAGGAUGAUCCGGUGGAUGGGUGGGGGCUAGGAGGUGGACGGAGUCGGAGGGGAACCACAUUGUUGGCGCAACGAGGGGAGGAGGGUCACGUACGUGCCCACCAAGUUGCUUGAUAAACUUUUUUAGAAAACAAGUUGUUUGGUGAUUGGAAAUGCGUGUUUGCAUUGCACAUCUCAUAUCCUCAUGCUUUUUUCAUUCAUAAGAUAUUGUUAGUUUAGUUCUUUUUUAUAACCCAUAAAUUCACGGGGAAAACAGAAAGAGAAAGAAAAAAGGCAGUGCCUUAGUAAGGUAUCAUGCCAUGUUACGAGUAAAAAAUCAUUGAUCUUCCACCGUUGAACAAUGGUUUAGUAGCGAACCAACAUGUGGUUGGAUGGUUAGAGGGAAAGUGGUAUCACCUGCCCACCAGGGUUCAAAUCCUGGUGUUCACAUUUGUUACUGGAUUUAUUUCAGGAUUUUCGGCGAUGCACAUUCAGUGGGAGGAGACAUUCCCGUCGACGACCAGGUGCCUACGGUAAAUUCGUAAAUUUCAAGAUGAUAUGCCGGCUCGGACUUUCGAGGUGUUCAUAGGGGUAGGGUGUGCGUGUGUGCGUUCAUAUGGGUGAGCGUAUGCACGUGUAUAUGAGCGUAUGUUGGACUCAUGAAAAUGCAUAGGAAUUUCAAACGAUUCCAUAUAGAAAAAAGGUAAAAGCAAAUCCCCAUAAGUUUUGUUUCUUUAAAAGCCUAUGAAUUUAUCUGCAAAUAUCAUAAAACAGACCAAAACAAGCAUCACAAAAAGCCAACAUUCAUUUUGCUCCAAACUCAUGGAUUUGUUUAAUCCCAGAUCAUCAAUCCUCCGGCCGAACACAUGUCAGUAAUGCAAGAUCCUAGUGUUAACAUGGAAGCAAGGAAAAUGGUCAGCACAACAUUAACCAGCAAAACCUAGGCCCAGAAAACAAUAUAGAGAAUAUAACGUUUAUUUGGUCCGAUCAGUUUUCCCUCAUCAUGUUAGGGUUACCUCCUCGCUUGCCCCACGGCAGCAGCGAGAUUUUUCUCACCCCCUUGUCCUGACUCUUACCCGCAGCAUAUUCGGGCCGACUCAGGCCCACUACCUGGCCUUGGUGCGGCUAUUGUGAGGAUUGAAGGCAUUGUGGAGUAUACAUCGUGUGACACCCUGGAUUUUCUUUUCAAAAGGGGGAAAGACACCGGCCUUUGCAUCAUCAUGAUGUACACAUCCAUUUUUAUUAAAAGGAAAUAAAUAGGUGUGAAACAUCCAUAGUAUCAACUAAAACGACAAAAAGAAAAAGAAAACACCACAAAUGGUGGGUACAAAUGAAAAAUUACAUGACUUAACCACACAAUCUAUUAGUGACAUGCCAGCUAACCGGUUGAAUAACACAUGUGAAAUCAUCUUCAGACGGUUGUCUAGUGUGUUUUGAGGAUGGUGUCUAGAUCGUCUUCUCCUACAGUCAUGGUCUAGUAUAGAUGAUGAAGUAGUUUGGUUAGUUUGAAGACAAUCUUGCAAUGUUGUGUUUGAGAAGGAAGAGCUAUUGGUGGCGGAGGUGGCCCAUUGGCUGGCCACCAUCAAACUCCAUAUGGAUAAAGAAUAUAAUUAAUUUUGUAUUUUUAAUAACAUAAGAAUUGCACAAGACUUUCUUGUGAAGUGAAGUCCACAUCAUUAGGAGACAACCUAUUCACAUCACAGUUUUCUUGUUUGGGAGAUUGGGAUAGAGUUAUGGAGGGAAGUCCAUGGCAAUUUUGUGGUAGCCCGGUACGUGAUUCUAUCCCCGUACGAUGGCUUCUCUGAGCCGUCUACAAUCGAGCUCUAAGUGCAAGAUUUGGAUUCAGAUUCAUGAUUUGUGAUAUGGGUAUAGCUCGAUGGUGGAGUCACUUGCAUCGAUGGUGGGAGAGUUUGAGGCUGGUGAAACAUUCUCCAGCAAUUUUUUUGGGAAUUUCUAUUGGGACAGGGUUUUGAUUGACGCCAGAAAGCCUCUCAAGAACCAUGUCUCAAUGGAAAAAGAUUGCAAGUACCAUUUUUUCCUAGUUUAGUAGGAAAGGCUCCCGGAUUGGUGUGUUGUUUGUGGCAUCUUGGACACAUCAAUACUUGAUACGUCUCCAACGUAUCUAAUUUUCCAAACACUUUUGCCCUUGUUUUGGACUCUAACUUGCAUGAUUUGAAUGAAACUAACCCGGACUGAUGUUGUUUUCAGCAGAACUACCAUGAUGUUGUUUUAUUUGUAGAAAAGAAAAGUUCUCGGAAUGUCCUGGAAAUCCACGAAGGCACUUUUUGGAAUUAAUAAGAAUUUUUGGCGAAAGAAUUAAUGCCAGGGGGCCCACAGCCUGUCCACGAGACAGGCCCCCCCUAGGGCGUGACCUCCUAUCUCGUGGGCCCCCUGGACCUCCACCGACGUCAACUCCAACUCCAUAUAUUCCGUCUCGGGGAGAAAAAAAAUCAGAGAGAAAGUUUCAUCACGUUUUACGACACGGAGCCGCCGCCAAGCCCUAAUCUCUCUCGGGAGGGCUGAUCUGGAGUCCGUUCGGGGCUUCGGAGAGGGGGAUUCGUCGCCGUCGUCAUCAUCAACCAUCCUCCAUCACCAAUUUCAUGAUGCUCACCGCCAUGCGUGAGUAAUUCCAUCGUAGGCUUGCUGGACAGUGAUAGGUUGGAUGAGAUUUACCAUGUAAGCAAGUUAGUUUUGUUAGGGUUUCAUCCCUAGUAUCCACUAUGUUCUGAGAUUGAUGUUGCUAUGACAUUGCUAUGCUUAAUGCUUGUCACUAGGGCCCGAGUGCCAUGAUUUCAGAUCUGAACCAAUUAUGUUUUCAUGAAUAUAUGUGUGUUCCUGAUCCUAUCUUGCAAGUCUAUAGUCACCCCUUAUGUGUUAUGAUCCGAAAACCCCGAAGUGACAAUAAUCAGGAUACUUCUCGGUGAUGACCGUAGUUUGAGGAGUUCAUGUAUUCACUACGUGUUAAUGCUUUGGUAUGGUUCUCUAUUAAAAGGAGGCCUUAAUAUCCCUUAGUUUCCGCUAGGACCCCGCUGCCACGGGAGGGUGGGACAAAAGACGUCAUACAAGUUCUUUUCCAUAAGCACGUAUGACUAUUUACGAAAUACAUGCCUACAUUACAUUGAUGAAUUGGAGCUAGUUCUAUAUCACCCUAUGUUAUAACUAUUGCAUGAGGAAUCACAUCCGGCAUAAUUAUCCAUCACUGAUCCAUUGCCUACGAGCUUUUCAUAUAUUGUUCUCCGCUUAUUUACUUUUCCGUUGCUACUGUUACAACUGCUACAAAAACCCAAAAACAUUUAUCUUUACUUUUGCUACUAUUACCAUUAUUUCAUACUACUUUGAUACUAAACACUUUGCUGCAGAUACUAAGUUAUCCAGGUGUGGUUGAAUUGACAACUCAACAGCUAAUACUCAAGAAUAUUCUUUGGCUCCCCUUGUGUCGAAUCUAUAAAUUUGGGUUGUACUUCACCCUCGAAAGCUGUUGCGAUCCCCUACACUUGUGGGUUAUCAAGACUAAUUUCUGGCGCCGUUGCCGGGGAGCAUAGCUCUAUUCUCUGAGUCACUUGGGAUUUAUAUCUGUUGAUCACUAUGAAGAACUUGAAAGACGCUAAGACCAAGAUUUUGCCCUGAACUACGAGGGGAGGUAAGGAGCUUCCAUCUAGCUCUGCGGUAGAUUCUCCUUUCGUUAUUAGUAGGCUUGCGACACCUAAACCUGCUACUGCUAUGAAUUCUGAUAUGUCGCAUGUUAUUGAUGAUGCCACUUCUGCUAUGCAUGAUGAAACUACUUCUGUGUGUGAUACUACUUUGCCAUUAAGUGAAUUUCUAGAUGAACAACUUGCUAGAGUUAGGGGGAAUGAAAAUAUUGAAGAACCUAUUAUUGGUGAUAGUGAUGACGAACGUUCCCCCAAUGAUUAUGUAUUACCAGUUGUUCCUAAGGGUUAUGUUAUGAAUGAAGCAGCUGCUAUGGAAAUUCUUGCUUGCAAUGAUAGAAAUGAUCUUAAAAAAUUAUUAGCUAAAUGGAAGCAGCAGUCUCUUAAUGCUAGAAUGAAACCCGAUCCUGUUUUUGCUACUUCACCUAUCUGUGUUACUGAUAAGGAUUAUGAAUUCUUUGUUGAUCCUGAUAUUAUUACUUUAGUUGAAUCUGAUCCUUUUUAUGGCCUUGAAUGUGAAACUGUUGUGGCACAUCUUACCAAGUUGAAUGAUAUAGCCAUCCUGUUCACUCAUGAUGAGAAGUCUCGCUAUUUAUACAUAAGAUAUUUCUGUUCUCAUUAAAGGGUGAUGCUAAGACUUGGUAUAAUUCUCUUGCUCCUGGUUGUGUGCGUAGUCCCCAGGAUAUGAUUUAUUACUUCUCUGCUAAAUAUUUCCAUGCUCAUAAGAAACAAGCUGCCUUGCGGGAAAUAUAUAAUUUUGUGCAAAUCAAAGAAGAGAGUCUCCCACAAGCUUGGGGGAGGCUUCUCCGGUUACUUAAUGCUUUGCCUGAUCAUCCUCUUAAGAAAAAUGAAAUACUUGAUAUCUUUUAUAAUGGACUAACCGAUGCUUCCAAGGACUACUUGGAUAGUUGUGCUGGUUGUGUUUUCAGGGAAAGAACAGACGACGAAGCUGAAAUAUUAUUGAAUAAUAUGUUGACUAAUGAAAAUAAUUGGACUCUUCCUGAGCCAGUUCCUGAAGUAAUUCCUGAACCAAUUGAGCCAACUCCUGAGCCUAUUCCUAAACCCACUCUGAAGAAGAGAGGUGUUUUAUUUCUCAGUCCUGAAGAUAUGCAAGAGGCACAGAAAUCAAUGAAAGAAAAAUGUAUUAAAGCUGAAGAUGUUAAGAAUUUACCACCUAUUGAAGAAAUACAUGGUCUUAAUUUACCGCCUAAAGAACCACAUUGUCUUGAUAACCCGACACAGGUAGUAAAGGUAAAUUCUCUCUAUAGAUAUGAUAAAGUUGAGAUACCAUCUACUAAAUUUCAUAGCCCAUCCUUAGAUGAUUUUGAUGACUUUAUGGCUAGACAAGAAAGUUUUAAUACUUAUGUUGGUAGAGAGUUAAAGAAUAACGCUUUCGAGAUAGGACGCGUAGGUGAUAAUCUGGCUAGAGUUAAAGAUGAACUUCACCGCGUUAGCAAAUAUGCUUCUAUGGUUAAUAAUCAAGCUGAGCAAGUACUCACAGCUCAAAAUGAUUUGCUUGAUGAAUUGAAUAAUAAAAAUGACUUUGCCGUUAGAGUGGCUACUAGAACUGGUAGAAUGACUCAGGAACCUUUGUAUCCUGAAGGCCACCCUAAGAGAAUCGAGCAAGAUUCUCAGAGAAAUAAUUUAGAGGCACCUAGUUCUUCUAAGAAGAGGAAAAGAAAAACGAUAGAACGUUGCAUGCUUCUUGUGAACCUACUUUAGACACACCCGAGAAUCCCAAUGAUAUUUCUAUCUCUGAUGCUGAAACAAAAUUAGGUGAUGAACAUGAACCUAGUGAUAAUGUUAAUGAUAAUGUUCAUGUUGAUGCGUAACCUAGCAAAAACAAUGAUGUAGAGAUUGAACCUGGUGUUGAUCUUGAUAACCCACAAUCAAAGAAUCAACGUUAUGAUAAGAGAGACUUUGUUGCUAGGAAGCACGGGAAAGAAAGAGAACCAUGGGUUCAGAAACCCAUGCCCUUUCCUCCUAAACCAUCCAAGUCAAAGGAUGAUGAGGAUUUUGAGCGCUUUGCUGAAAUGAUUAGACCUAUUUUCUUACGUAUGCGCUUAACUGAUAUGCUUAAAGUAAAUCCUUAUGCUAAGUACAUGAAGGAUAUCAUUACAAAUAAAAGAAAGAUACCGGAAGCUGAAAUUUCCACCAUGCUUGCUAAUUACACUUUUAAUGGUGGAAUACCAAAGAAACUUGGAGAUCCGGGUGUGCCAACUAUACCAUGCUCCAUUAAAAGAAAUUAUGUUAGAACUGCUUUAUGUGAUCUUGGAGCCGGUGUUAGCGUUAUGCCUCUCUCUUUAUAUCGUAGACUUGAAUUGAAUAAGUUGACACCUACUGAAAUAUCUUUGCAAAUGGCAGAUAAAUCAACUGCUAUACCUGUCGGUAUUUGUGAGGAUGUGCCUGUUGUGGUUGCAAAUGUCACUAUCUUAACGGACUUUGUUAUUCUUGAUAUUCCCGAGGACGAUAGUAUGUCUAUUAUCCUUGGUAGACCUUUUAUUAAUACUGCAGGGGCUGUUAUUGAUUGCAACAAAGGCAAUGUCACUUUUCAUGUUAAUGGCAAUGAGCAUACGGUACACUUUCCGAGGAAACAAUCGUUCAUAGCAUCAAUUCUAUUGAAAAAGUUCCAACUAUCAUUUUUGGAGGUUUUGAAUUUCCUCUUCCUACUGUCAAGAAAAAAUAUGAUAUUCUUAUUGUUGGGGAUUUUCAUAUCCCCGUUGAGGUAACUUAGUGUUAUUCGAAAUUUAUCCGGUUCCAUGUUAUUCGGAAUGAGUUUGUUAACAAGACUUGAUCAACCUUGUUAGCGAGUUCAUUUUGAUGAUCACGAGAUGAAUGAAACUAGAAGGCACAACCUUAUGUACCGUCUUUUUACUUUCUGUUAUUUACAAUAAAUAAAGAAAAAAAAGUAUCUGUCUGUUUCCUUAAUUAUCCGUGCAUUAAAAAAAUAGUCCGAAAAUAAAAGUGCUCCAAAUGCCCUACAAAUUUAGUAUGAUUUUUUCUGGAAUAUUUGAGGAUUUUAGGCACUGAAAACACUACAGGAGGGGCAAGCACCAGGCCACGAGAGAUGAGGGUGCGCCCCCCCCUGUAGGGCGCGCCCCCCUGGUGGCUCCCCUCCACUUAUGCCAGCACCCACACACUUCAUCUUCUACCCAGAAAAAUCCCCAUCCAGCUCAAGCACGAGUUCUAGCUCGUUUUGCUGCAAUUUUCGAUCUCUUAGCUCAAAGCUCCAUUCACAAAACUGCUUUGGGAGAUUGUUGCUUGGUAUGUGACUCCUCCAUUGGUCCAAUUAGUUUUUGUUCUAGUGCUUUAUUCAUUGCAAAUUUUUGCUACUUAGGUGACCAUAUUCUUGAGCUUGCAUGUUAAAUUUUUGAGGUCCCAAGCAAUUCCAAUGCAAGAUAUGGGCUCUAGGCACUUGUAGGAGUAGUUGCUAUCAAUCUUGUUUAGUCUUGUUCACUUUUAUUUUGAAGUUACUAAAAUUUCAGAAAUUUUCAGAAAAAGAAAUAUGCUUAGAAGAAUGUACCAAGGAGGUUCCUUGGCAAAGAAAGGGCCAAGGAUUGCUAUACGUGAACAAGAUAUUAAAUUGCCAAGGGACGCAAAUGUACGGGCUUGUGAGUGGACAUCCGAUGAUUUUAUGGCCGAAGCAGGCUUCAAGGAAGAAUUUGACGCGUAUGUGCGUAAUGCCGAGCUGGAGGACUUCUUACAAGAUAAGUGUCCUCAAUAUUAUCAAUUGACCGAUUCCUUUGUUCGGAGGUUCGAAUAUAUUUUUGCGCGUAAUUCUCCUAGUGUCAUGUUUGAUAUUUAUGAUACGUCGUAUACCAUGGAUUUAGAGGAUUUCACAACUGUUGCAAACUCCCGCAGUGGGGUAAUAUUAAUGAUCCUCCCAAAUAUGAAUUUAGAGAUUUUUUUCUAAUAUUACUAUGGGAGAAUCUAGGGACGUAGCACAAGCUACCAUAGGGAGCAUUCAUUUUCCUGUUAUACAUUACUUUGCUCUCUUUAUUGGUAGAUGCAUUAACGGUAAGGACGAGGUAUGUCACAUGAGUGCACCUGAUCUUUGUGUCCUCAAGAGUGCUGUGUUAGGUUAUAAAGGUUAUAACUUACGGGCAAUAGUUGCACGUAGGUUGCAGAAUAAUAGUAGAAGGGGAGAUUUCUUUGGAGGAAUUCAUGCAACCCGUGUGGCUAAUUUUCUUAAUAUAGCACCACGAGAGGGGGAUAUGAUUGUACCUCCUGUUUAGUUGGAUAAAGAAGCUAUGUUUGAUCAUCAUUUUCUUGAGAGGAAUGAACAACUCCUCCAUUACCGACUAAUCUAUGACAGAUGCAACGUCGUCCCUGUUACUCUUCCUGCUCCCUACCUUUUUGAUUAUCAGGCAAAAGGAAGAUAUGUUGUCACCAGCUAAGAAGCAACUGAAUAUGAGAGGGGAAUGGAGGCAGCUCGCCAACAUGCUGCUGCUCAGGAGGCGGUAGCCUCUGCAUCUCAGUACUACCCGAGUUUCACUUAUGGAUAUUAGCCAGGCGGUCCUUGGUAUUAAACCAACUUAGGCCAAAAGCCUAAGCUUGGGGGAGUACGUAUUUCUCAGCGACUUUACAUUCAUGUUCACACACUAGUCGUCGGUGCUCAUACUCUUUCAUUGUAUUAUCCAUGCUAGUUUAAAUUUCUUUUUCUAGUUUUCUUUUUGUGUGUUUGAUAAACCUUAAGAAAAACCAAAAAAAAUUAGUUAGUUUAAUUCCCUUGCUUGUAGUAGAAUUAAAAUGAAAACCCAAAAUGAUUUCUAUUUCUUCUUCUUACUUGUUGGGAGCUUUCCCGUGUAAAUAGUUUUAUUUUCUUUUCUUUCCUUUGGGGGUCGAGAAGACCAUAUUGAAAAUGCUUAGUGGCUCUUAUAUGCAUGAUUGUUUAUUUAAUUUAGAGCCCAUAUUACUUGUCUUCUCUCUUGAGUUGAACGCUUGCAGAUUCCAGCUUAGUCCAAUGCACGUACAAUCUUAUUAUUGUACACAUCGUUCGGUCGUGCGAGUGAAAUGCAAUAAUGACGAUAUAUGAUGGACUUAUUGGGAUGAGAAAAGCUGGUAUGAACUCGACCUCUCUUGUUUUUGUAGAUUUGAUGAGUUCAUCGUUCCUGAGUCAGCUAUUAUGAAGUAAACAUAUUUGCAAUGACAUUUAGAGAUUAUAGUUACUAGUGCCAUGCUUGAUUAGCUAUGAGUUAUAAUGGUUUACCUUGCGUGCCAACAUGCUAUUAGAAUGAUUAUGAUGUGAUAUAUGAUGGGAUGGUUGUCGGUGUCAAAACCGGCGGAUCUCGGGUAGGGCGUCCCGAACUGUGCAUCUAGACGGAUGGUAACAGGAGACAAGGGGCACGAUGUUUUUACCCAGGUUCGGGCCCUCUCAAUGGAGGUAAAACCCUACUCCUUCUUGAUUAAUAUUGAUGAUAUGGGUAAUACAAGAGUAGAUCUACCACGAGAUCAGAGAGGCUAAACCCUAGAAGCUAGCCUAUGGUAUGAUUGUUGUUCAUCCUAUGGACUAAAACCCUCCGGUUUAUAUAGACACCGGAGAGGGCUAGGGUUACACAGGGUCGGUUACAAUGGGAGGAGAUCUACAUAUCCGUAUCGCCAAGCUUGCCUUCCACGCCAAGGAAAGUCCCAUCCGGACACGGGACGAAGUCUUUAAUCUUGUAUCUUCAUAGUCCAGGAGUCCGGCCAAAGGUUAUAGUCCGGCUAUCCGGACACCCCCUAAUCCGGGACUCCCUCAGUAGCCCCCGAACCAGGCUUCAAUGACGAUGAGUCCGGCGCGCAGAUUUGUCUUCGGCAUUGCAAGGCGGGUUCUUCUCCAAAUUCCAUAUACCUGUUGAAUAGUGUCCGACUGCUGGUGAAUGUUGCGCUCCUUGGCUUCUGUGCCCAAUAAUGGCCAUCUUCCACGUGUCAAAUGAAUGUGAAAAGCCAGGGUGUUUUUUCAUUUACCCCCUAGCUGCGCAAAUGAGCCGCCCAUAAUAAUGGCCAUCUUCCACGUGUCAAUUGCAAGACGGGGAUUUAUAUCCAAAUCACACCAUCGUCCCUCCGCGAGCAUUCAUCGGAGAGCAUUCGACAAAGAUCCAUUCCAUCAUGGCCAGUCGAUGCAGCUCCUCCUCUCGCCUUCCCAGCCCUCAGCCCAUAGAUUGGGAGAGAUGCUCCGUCCCGCACAGCGAGCUAGUGGCGCUCCAAGCCAAGGUGUUUCUCCCCCCAGCCUACAUGGUCCCGGUUUGAGCCGGGCUUGCCACCUAUAAUGGUGGAGAGCAAGCGGAGAGCGUCCCCAGUCCCUCCAAAGGAGAGCGGGUAUGGCUUGUCCCUUAUUUGAUAAGAGGGCUCGGAUUUCCAAUUCAUCCGGUUCUCCGGGGGCUCCUGGAGUUCUACGGCCUCCAGUUGCACAACCUUACGCCUGCCUCUGUAUUGCAUAUUGCGGGCUUCAUAGCCCUUCAUGAGCUGUUUUUGGGCAUCGAGGCUCAUUUCGCGCCGUGGAAGAAGUUGUUCUGCCUUGUGCCCCGUUCUCAAGAGGGGUCGAUAUAUCAAGUGGGUGGAGCCGAACUAUGGCGCAUCACCGGGACCGGAUAUCUAUCCGGAACCCCAAAGAAGGCGUCCGAAGACUGGCCUUCAGAAUGGUUUUAUAUAGAAGAUGUCCCCCUGCCGGACCCUGUUCGGAUCGGCCUCCCUGAGUUCGAUAAUGCUCCUUUGAAGAAGCACCUAAUCUGGCGUCCACGGAACCCUCAGAAGGAAAAUGACAAGGAUGUCCUUUAUCUGAUGAGCCGGCUAAGGUUGUUAGCUCAUUCCGGACUGACCAUGAUCGAGGUCAUGGCCACAUGCACUAUGCGGGGGGUGCAGCCGCUUCAGUAUAGAGGCCACCCCAUGUGGGAUUUCAACAGGGAGGACGACGCCACCCGGUGCGGCCGUAAGGGGCCGGAAUCGGCUGCCGCUCUAAUAAAGAUCUUGUUCGUUUUGUACAAGGGAGAAGAGGAAGAAUUCCUCCGCGUCAACCCACGGGGCGGAUUUUCUAUGUACAAUCCUCCAAGCUGGGUAAGCGGACACUUUCACUCGCCCAUCCGUUUCAUAUUCCCAUAGUUAAGUAUUCAGUCUAGCAAUUUCAACGCAGGAGCUACGCCAGGCUGUAAAGGAGACAAAUAGCCCUCCUACACAACCCGAGGACCCGGACUCCCAAGAGGACCCGGGCUUAUCUGUGGAGCUGAUCGAUGGGGUGUUUCAUCAAUUGAGCAAGGACAACACCUUAGUGGCCAUUAUGGCCAAUUAUCACGGACUACUUCCAGCCUCACGAGUAACUGAGACUGAAGUCCCAGUACUUUUAAGAUGAUCCAUCCGUGCUUAUUUUUUAUCACAGUAUACCAAUGGUGUUUUUGCAUGGGAAGUCCUUGAGGCGGAGGGCCGAGCCUGCGGUGGCUAGCCAACAAGGGGCAGCAAGGCCCAGCAUGCUGAAAAGAAGUGCGGUCCGGAUUGAGACGCCGGUGCAACGGUAUGGCACGCCAUUUUAUUCCCAGGUUUUAUUCCCCCAAGGCAUACUAACACUCAUGCUCUCUUUAGGAAGAAGAGCGCUCGCCUAUAUCCGGAGAGGUUGCCAAUCGCGCCUCCACCGGCCAGGCUUCAAGGCCGGGUCCGGAAGCGGGGGCAAACACGAGGCGUGCACCGGACGCUUCUCCGACAGAGGAUGUGGACGGGCUGUCUGCCACCAAUUCUGGGGUGGAGAGUGUCAUGAACCAUAGGCGUCGCCGGACAGUUCUUCGUGACGCUUGCUUUUCCCAAGAGGCAUUGGAUGCCUUCAAUAUGGGAGAUGCGUACCUCCGUGCCGCUCAAAAUGGUCUAGCCAGAGCCACAAAGCAGUAUGUAAAAGACAUACGGGUGAGAAAAUUUGAUGGUUAUAUAUGUCAGUAGCCCCCGAGACUUGAAACAGUUAGAAUAACUGAUUUAAGGAUCAUUUGUUAUGCAGGAUCUUACAGACAAGAAUACCCAACUGUCCCAGGAGCUGGAAGAGUGCAAAGCCCAACUUGAGGCCGCACUAGCCGCGGCGGGGGAGGCCAAGGAGACCCCCUCUGGUAAUAUAUGCUUCGAAAGAUAAGUAUGUUGUGAAGUGCGGCAUGCGUGGAAAUCUGACAAUAACAUUGUAGAUGGCGCCGGAGUGGAUCCGGACAAGCAAGAACUCUUGCGCCGGUUAAAGGCCGGCGAGAGCGUGCUUACGAGGGUGAGGAAAGAGAAGAAUAAUCUCCAAGAUGCCAACACCCAGCUGGGCGAGGAACUAAAGGAUGUUCGUGCUCAGAUGUCGGACUCCGUGAAGGAGAAUCGGCAGCUUCGACGCGGCAUUUAUAGUAAGUGCUUGAACAAACUUCGAAAAAGAUUUCGGCGAGGAAGUCGAUUGACAGAGUUAUGUCUGUAGGUAUGCUGACAGGUCGGCCUGCAGAGGAAAUGCCCGGUUCUACGGGUGACCUUCUUCCUGAGCUCUCACAACUGCACGAACGAGUUCGGCAGGUAAUGCAAGGCGUCCCCCAGGCCUUGUGGCCAUCCGUCUCCAUGCCCGAAGACCUUGGAGAGCUUGUAGAGAAGUUGAAGGGAGCACGACGGCGCUUCCGAUUAUGGAAGAUAUCGGCCUGCCGUCAAGGCGCCAGGGAGGCCUAGGACAUGGUGAAGACACGGUACAUGAAGGCUGACCCAAAUCACAUGGCCGAGGUCAGACCUGUGGGGCCCGAUGGGAAGGAGAUCCCUGUGAGUUUAGUGUACGGCCAGGUAGAGUUAGCCGCCAAAUAUUCCCAACAGGACUGUAAACUAGACAGCCUGUUGGAUGGUAUUGAAGAGGAAUAUACACAGUCAAAUUGACUAUGUAAUUUAAGAUGACAUGUAAAAUGCCUUCUAGCCGGAUUGUAGAUCGUUUGUCGUGGCUGACCUUUUCGCUUCAACCUCAGGACCCGAUACUCCAGAGUGUGUCCGAAUACCCUCUCGGUUAUGUAAGAACCGGGGCAUGCGUGGAGACCAGGCAUAGGGAUCAUUAGUGCUUGAACAGACAAGUGCCCAACUAGUUAUGUUAUAUUACAUGGUUAGUAAGAAACAUCUUCCAGGGAGAAUAAUUCUGUUAGGGGUUCCUUUCCCUGUGUGGCAUGCCCUAAAGUGCAUGUCCGGACUGCGAAAAAAGCAGAAAAGCAUCUAGGGGCGGAUAAAUAAACAAGUGAGAAAUCAUCUUUUAGUUCACCGACCGAAUAUUCCCUUAAGAACGCUAGCUUUCGGCUUCGCCCAUUCUGAGGUACACAUCUGGCUGACCCAGUAGUAACAAUCACAGAGGUGCUCCCUUUACUGCCUAGCCGAAUAAUCGGGAACGUAGGGGUAAGCACAGGAUCCAGGCAACCCAUCUUGGCCAAAACUUAAGUCAUAUCGAUGCGUAUAAUGGUGAAUAAAAGUUACAUGCGGAAGUGUGACACAUGUGUUGGGCAUGAGGCCCGUAUAAACAAGCUUCUGUUAGAGAAGCCCCCUGGUAUAAUGAGCGCGGAUAGCGCGUCAAUUGUGUGCGAACAAGGCGCGGAUGAGCCCUUAAAGGCUGUAAGAGAAAAGGAGGGAGAAGAAGAGAAAUAUUAGACAACUAAUGUGUAAAAAAUAGACAGAGGAAGGAGACGAACACAGAGUCCGGAGCUAGGCGUAGAAUCUUCGGAGACGGGCUGCGUUCCAUGGGUUCGGCUCAAGUCGGUUAUCCGACGCAUCUCGCAGACAGUACGCUCCACCAGUCAGGACUUGGUCAAUUAUGAAGGGACCUUCCCAUUUGGGCUUGAGUUUGUCCUUUUUCUUGUCCGGGAGGCGUAGGACUAACUCGCCAAGAGUGUAAGUUUUGGCCCGUACUUCUCUGCUUUGAUAUCUUCGAGCCUGCUGUUGAUAGAAUGCGGAACGGGCUUUUGCCACGUCACGCUCCUCCUCCAAGGCAUCCAAACUGUCCUGCCGAUCGAGUUCGGCUUCUCUUUCUUCGUACAUGCGCACGCGAGGUGAGUCAUGAAUUAUGUCGCAGGGAAGAACUGCCUCUGCGCCAUAUACCAUAAAGAAUGGUGUGAAUCCGGUGGUGCGAUUCGGUGUGGUCCGCAGCCCCCAGAGUACAGAGUCGAGCUCCUCUACCCAGUGCGUGUUAGAUUCCUUGAGGGACCGCACUAAUCUCGGUUUGAUGCCGCUCAUGAUUUGACCAUUUGCUCGCUCGACUUGACCGUUGGUUUGUGGGUGAUAGACUGAAGCGUAGUCGAGCUUGAUGCCCAUGUUUUUGCACCAGAGUUUGACCUCAUCGGCCAUAAAGUUCGUGUCAUUAUCAGCGAUGAUGCUAUGGAGGACGCCGUAACGGUGUACGUCCCCUAUGAAGUCUAUCACUGGUCCAGAUUUGGUCGUCUUAACAGGCUUGGCCUCUAUCCAUUUGGUGAAUUUGUCCACCAUGACCAGUAGGUAUUUUUGCUUGUGGGUUCCUCCUUUAAGGGGUCCAACCAUGUCAAGCCCCCAGACCGCAAAGGGCCAGGUGAUGGGUAUAGUUUGGAGGGCGGUGGGUGGCAUAUAUCUUUGGUUAGAAAAGAGUUGGCAACCGACGCAUCGUUGGACUAAGUCCUGAGCAUCUGCCCAGGUCGUCAGCCAAUAAAAUCAUGUACGGAAGGCCUUGCUUACAAGGGCCCGGGCUGCAGCGUGGUGCCCGCCGAGUCCGGCAUGAAUUUCAGCCAGAAGAUUCCGCCCUUCCUCUUCGGAGAUACACCUUUGAAGGACUCCGGUGGUGCUUUUCUUAUAAAGCUCUCCUUCAUGGACUUUAUAGGCUUUAGAUCGCCGCACUAUGCAGCGUGCCUCGUUUUGGUCCUCGAGAAGUUCCUGCCUAGUUAGGUAGGCUAGGAAUGGUUCUGUCCACAGGGCAAUGACUGCCAUUAUUACGUGAGCUGAGGAUGUUACUUCGUUGGCAGAGCCUCCCGUUGUGUCAGAAUGUUCGGUGUCGGACAGUGUGGUUGGGUCCGGGCUGUUAUUUCUGGACUCCCCUUCCCAUAAUACGGAUGGCUUGAAUAGCCUCUCCAAGAAAAUGUUGGGGGGGACUGCAUUGCGCUUUGCGCCGAUGCGUGCCAAGACGUCUGCUGCCUGAUUGUUUUCCCGGGCUAUAAGGUGAAAUUCGAGCCCCUCGAACCGAGCUGACAGUUUUAGGACAGCGUUGCGAUAAGCUGCCAUUUUCGGAUCUUUGGCAUUAAAGUCUCCAUUUAUUUGGGAUAUCGCGAGGUUCGAAUCCCCACGCACCUCUAGGCGUUGGAUGCCCAUGGAGACUGCCAUCCGGAGACCAUGUAGAAGGGCCUCGUAUUCGACUGCGUUAUUGGAGUCCGUAUACAUUAUAUGGAGUACGUAUUGAACUGUAUCUCCUGUUGGGGACGUCGGAACGAUGCCAGCCCCCAGACCAGCUAACAUUUUGGAGCCGUCGAAGUGCAUGAUCCAGUUGGAAUAUGUGACGUACUCUUUAGGGAGUUCGGCUUCAGUCCAUUCGGCGACGAAGUCGGCCAAAACUUGCGACUUGAUAGCUCGCCGUGGCUUAUAGAUUAUGUCAAACGGGAGGAGCUCAAUGGCCCAUUUGGCAAUCCAUCCCGUCGCGUCGCGGUUGUUUAUAAUAUCGUUAAGAGGUACUUCAGAUGCUACUGUUAUCGAACACUCUUGAAAGUAGUGUUGCAGCUUCCGGGAUGCCAUAAACACCGCGUAUGCUAUCUUUUGAUAAUGCGGGUACCGUGACUUGCAUGGAGUGAGGACAGUGGACACGUAGUAAACUGGUUUUUGAAGGGGGGAUUUGUGUCCGUCCGUUUCUCGUUCGACGAUGAGCACUGCGCUUACAACUUGAUAAGUUACCGCAAUGUAUAAUAGCAUUGGUUCGCCGAUGUUAGGCGCGUCCAGGACCGGGUUUGUUGCCAAUAUGGCUUUUAUUUCUUCGAGUCCGGCCGUGGCAGCAUCCGUCCACUCGAAGUGUUUGGUGCGCCGGAGGAGGCGAUAAAGGGGUAAUGCCUUUUCUCCCAAGCGGGAGAUAAAGCGACUUAGAGCCGCCACGCAUCCAGUCAAAUUUUGUAUUUGCUUGAGGUCCUUUGGAAUAUCCUAUUGUGACAGAGCUCGGAUCUUGGCUGGGUUUGCUUCAAUUCCUCUACCGGAUACAAUGAAGCCCAAGAGCUUUCCGGCUGGUACGCCGAAAAUGCAUUUUCCGGGUUAAGUUUGAUGUCAUAUGCUCGAAGGUUAUCGGAUGUGAGCCUCAAGUCGUCUACUAGAGUUUCGACAUGCUUGGUUUUGACGACCACAUCAUCUAUGUAUGCUUCCACUGUUUUGCCGAUCUGGUUUGCCAGACAUGUCUGAAUCAUGCGCUGAUAUGUUGCGCCGGCGUUUUUGAGCCCAAAGGCCAUUGUGUUGAAGCAGAAUGGGCCGUAUGGGGUGAUGAAUGAUGUUAUGGCUUGGUCUGGCUCUGCCAUCUAAAAUUGAUGGUAGCCGAAGUAUGCGUCGAGGAACCACAAUGAAUCGUGUCCUGCGGUAGCGUCGAUAAUUUGAUCGAUGCUGGGGAGGGGGAAGGGAUCCUUUGGGCAAGCCUUGUUGAGGUCCUUGAAAUCGAUGCAUAGGCGCCAGGAUUUAUCCUUCUUUGGUACGAUCAGCAGGUUUGCUAGCCAGUCUGGAUGUUUUAUAUCUCUGAUGCAUCCGGCCUCCAGUAGUUUGGCUAGCUCCUCUCCCAUGGCUUGUCUCUUAGGUUCGGAGAAACGCUGAAGAGCCUGCUUGACAGGCUUGAAUCCUUUUAGGAUGUUUAGGCUGUGCUCGGCUAGCCUCCGUGGGAUUCCUAGCAUGUCUGAAGGGUACCAGGCAAAAAUGUCCCAAUUUUCGCGUAGGAAUUCUCGUAGUGCGGCGUCUACAUCAGGGUUUAAUUGCGCCCCUAUGGAGGCCGUUUUUGAAGGGUCCGUUGGAUGGACUUGGAAUUUGACUAUUUCGUCCGCCGGUUUAAAGGAGGUGGACUUGAAUCUUUUAUCGAGUAUCACGUCAUCCAUGUUCACUGUGGAGCACAGCACAGUCAGUUCCUCGGCCGCUAGGGCUUCAGAUAGUGACUCAAGGGCCAGUGCGGCUGUCUUAUUUUCGACAGGAGUGCUAUGUCCGGGUCACUAGCAAGGGUGAUGAUUCCGUUGGGUCCGGGCAUUUUGAGUUUCAUGUACCCGUAAUGGGGUAUAGCUUGAAAAAUUGUGAAUGCCUCUCGCCCUAAUAGAGUGUGGUAUCCGCUGCUGAACGGGGCCACUUGAAAUGUAACCUCCUCGGACCUGUAAUUAUCCGGCGUGCCGAAAACCACAUCCAGUGUGAUUUUUCCUGUACAACACGCUUCCCGACUGGGGAUUAUUCCUCUAAAGGUUGUGUUGCUUCGCUCAAUGCGGCUCCAGUCUAUUUCCAUUUUUCAAAGGGUUUCCUCAUAAAUGAGGUUCAAUCUGUUGCCACCGUCCAUGAGUACCUUGGUAAGGUGAAAGCCGUCCACUAUUGGACCGAGGACCAAUGCGGCUGAUGCUCGGGCUGUUCGGAAUUUAGGUUCAUCACUGGCAUUCAAGGUAAUAGCCGUGUCACUCCAUGGGUUUAUUGUUGCUACUUGGUAGACUUCGGCAAGGCUGCGGAGUGUUCAUUUCCGCAUAUUAUUUAAUGUGAAAGUCUCGAAGACUGUUAAUACCGUACUGGUAUCCCUGGGCUGGUGCUCUGUAAAUUCUGGAGUUAGAAGCUCCUCGCCACUUCUGGCCACCUACCGGAGUAUCCAACAUGCUCUAAGGCUAUGAGUUGGUGUGGCGCCCUCUGUACUAUGAAUUUUACAGGAUCCAUUGAGACAUCCCUCCAGUACGGUACCAUGCCCUAUAAAGGGUUUUUGCUUUUUGGUGUUUAACCCAGGUGCCUGGCGAUAAUGCACCCUUUUAUUUCGGACUGGGGUUGUAUUCAGGGCCGGAUUGUCCCAAAAUUUUAUUUCGGUUUUCCAGCCGCUUUCCAUCACACAGUACUUUCGUACUAUGGAUGCCAAGUUGGCGAAGCAUGUAAUUUCAUGGUGACUUAUGGCGUUGAGGAUUCCGUUGUUCGUGCAAUUAUUGUAGAAGAAUGAAAUUGCAUCCUCCUCGCGGCAGUCCUCUAUCCUGUUCAUAACCAGGAGGAAUCUUGCCCAGUAAUGGUGUACUGUUUCUGCGGGCUCUUGCCGAAUUUGGGAUAGAUCUCUUAUAUUUGGGUGGGCGGGUGUAAUUAAAUCCGGAACCUCGCCCAAUCUGAGACUCAUGGGACAAGGAGUUUUCAAACUCGGAAGCUUGGGUUCUUGGAUGUUGUCCAAUGAAUCUAGCCCGCUGCCUGACUUUAGGUUCAGGGCUUGAGUGACGUCCUCCCCUCCGUAGGUAUCCGACUUGGAGGGAUCGGGAAUCCGGACAUAACAAGUCCUUAAGAUAGAUGAAGACUUGCCACAUUGUUCCUCCACCACUGCGGCAUGGUGGGUGACCUGGGGAGAGUUAAUCUCUCUCGGAUCGGGUUUAGGCCCAAUCUGAUCGUAGUCUAUAGCAACUCCCAGCGCGGCGAUGCGAUCCAAGAGCUCAUUUAAGUAAGAGAGCUCCAUCAGAUCUAACAGCUCGGCGAGUUCCGAGUUGACGUGGAGAUUGCUUUUGAUGACCCAAGAAGUCAUCGUUGGCGCGGCGGCCAAACAGGCGGUCGUAAGAAAACCGCCUAGCCGGAGAGUUUGGCUGAUAGCCAAAGCUCCUUUAGCAAUAGCGCCGUCUUUAAAGACGGGACGAGGCAUCCUUCCUGAUGGCGACGGCACAGCGGAACUCUCAAUGAAAGCACCAAUGUCGGUGUCAAAACCGGCGGAUCUCGGGUAGGGGGUCCCAAACUGUGCGUCUAGGCGGAUGGUAACAGGAGACAAGGGACACGAUGUUUUUAAUCAGGUUCGGGCCCUCUCGAUGGAGGUAAAACCCUACUUCUGCUUGAUUUAUAUUGAUGAUAUGGGUAGUACAAGAGUAGAUCUACCACGAGAUCAGAGAGGCUAAACCCUAGAAGCUAGCCUAUGGUAUGAUUGUUGUUCGUCCUACGGACUAAAACCCUCCGGUUUAUAUAGACAUCGGAGAGGGCUAGGGUUACACAGAGUCGGUUACAAUGGGAGGAUAUCUACAUAUCCAUAUCGCCAAGCUUGCCUUCCACGCCAAGGAAAGUCCCAUCCGGACACGGGACGAAGUCUUCAAUCUUGUAUCUUCAUAGCCAGGAGUCCGACCAAAGGUUAUAGUCCGGCUAUCCGGACAACCCCUAAUCCGGCACUCCCUCAAUGGUAUCCUCCUUUGAAUGAAUUGAGUGACUCGACUUGGCACAUGUUCACACAUGUAGUUGAAUCAAAUCAACAUAGCCUUCACGAUAUUUAUGUUCAUGGUGGAUUAUAUCCUACUCAUGCUUGUACUCGGUGUGAAUUAAUUUUAAUGCAUGCUUACGACUGUUGUCGCUCUCUCAGUUGGUCGCUUCACAGUCUUUUGCUAGCCUUCACCUGUACUAAGCAGGAAUACUGCUUGUGCAUCCAAACUCCUUAAACCCCAAAGUUGUUCCAUAUGAGUCCACCAUACCUACCUAUAUGCGGUAUCUACCUGCCAUUCCAAGUAAAUUUGUAUGUGCCAAACUCCAAACCUUCAAAUGAAAUUCUGUUUUGUAUGCUCGAGCAGCUCAUGUUACAACUAGGGCUACCUAUAUCUUCCAUGCUAGGUGGGUUAUUCUCAUGAGGAGUGGACUCGGCUCCUCAUUCAUGAGAAAGAGCCGAUAACCAGAAUGCCCAGUCCCAUGAUCCAAAAAGACCAAAGUAAAUCAAAAUAAUUAAACAAAACUCCCCCAGGGCUGUUGUAUGUUGGAGGCACUCGUUGUUUCGAGCAAGCCAUGGAUUGAUGCUUGUUGGUGGUUGGGGGAGUAUAAACCUUUACCAUUCUGUUUGGGAACUGCCUCUAAUGCAUUUAGUAUGGAAGAUACAGCCAUCUCAUAGAUGUUGCCUUGACAGCAAAAGUAUGCCGCUGAAAAUGUUAUUCAAUCUCUAUUUUAAAAUCAAGCUCUGGCACCUCUACAAAUCCCUGCUUUCCUCUGCGAAGGGCCUAUCUAUUUACUUUUAUGUUGAGUCAUCAUCCUUCUUUUUAAAAGCACCCGCUGGAGAGCACACUGUCAUUUGCAUUCAUUAUUACUGGUUUAUAUUGGGUAUGACUUGACUGGAUCUCUUUUACCAUGAAUUACAAUGUUUAGUCAGUCCUUGAUCUUUAAAGGUGCUCUGUAUUUAUGUUUUGCGGUCUCAGAAAGGGCUAGCGGGAUACCAUUUUGUUAUAUCAUGUUAUGAUUAUUUUGAGAAAGUGUUGUCAUCCGAGUUUUAUUAUUAUGGCUCGCUAGCUGAUUAUGCUAUUGAUGUGAGUAAUUGUGAGACCUAUGUGUUACUGUGAGUAUGGUUAGUUCGUAAUAUUUGCUGAAACUUGAAUGCUGGCUUUUCAUGUUACAACAACAAGAGCAAAUAGUGUUUGUAAAAGUUUUUCUUUAUCACUUUUAGUUUAUCAACUGAAUUGCUCGAGGACAAGCAAAGGUUUAAGCUUGGGGGAGUUGAUACAUCUCCAACGUAUCUACUUUUCCAAACACGGUUGCCCUUGUUUUGGACUCUAACUUGCAUGAUUUGAAUGAAACUAACCCGGACUGAUGUUGUUUUCAGCAGAACUACCAUGAUGUUGUUUUAUGUGUAGAAAAGAAAAGUUCUCGGAAUGUCCUGGAAAUCCAUGGAGGCACUUUUUGGAAUUAAUAAGAAUUUUUGGCGAAAGAAUUAAUGCCAGGGGGACCACAGCCUGUCCACGAGACAGGGGGCGCCCCCCCUAGGGCGCGGCCUCCUAUCUCGUGGGCCCCCUGGACCUCCACCGACGUCAACUCCAACUCCAUAUAUUCCGUCUCGGGGAGAAAAAAAUCAGAGAGAAAGUUUCAUCGCGUUUUACGACACGUAGCCGCUGCCAAGCCCUAAUCUCUCUCGGGAGGGCUGAUCUGGAGUCCGUUCGGGGCUCUGGAGAGGGGGAUUCGUCAUUGUCGUCAUCAUCAACCAUCCUUUAUCACCAAUUUCAUGAUGCUCACCACCGUGCGUGAGUAAUUCCAUCGUAGGUUUGCUGGACGGUGAUGGGUUGGAUGAGAUUUACCAUGUAAUCAAGUUAGUUUUGUUAGGGUUUGAUCCCUAGUAUCCACUAUGUUCUAAGAUUGAUGUUGCUAUGACUUUGCUAUGCUUAAUGCUUGUCACUAGAGCCUGAGUGCCAUGAUUUCAGAUCUGAACCUAUUAUGUUUUCAUGAAUAUAUGUGUGUUCUUGAUCCUAUCUUGCAAGUCUAUAGUCACCCAUUAUGUGUUAUGAUCCGAAAACCCCGAAGUGACAAUAAUCGGGAUACUUCUCGGUGAUGACCGUAGUUUGAGGAGUUCAUGUAUUUACUAUGUGUUAAUGCUUUGGUCUGGUUCUCUAUUAAAAGGAGGCCUUAACAUCCCUUAGUUUCCGCUAGGACCCCGGUGCCACGGGAGGGUAGGACAAAAGACGUCAUACAAGUUCUUUUCCAUAAGCACGUAUGACUAUUUACGGAAUACAUGCCUACAUUACAUUGAUGAAUUGGAGAUAGUUCUAUAUCACCCUAUGUUAUAACUAUUGCAUGAGGAAUCGCGUCCGGCAUAAUUAUCCAUCACUGAUCCAUUGCCUACGAGCUUUUCAUAUAUUGCUCUCCACUUAUUUACUUUUCUGUUGCUACUGUUACAACUGCUACAAAAACCCAAAAACAUUUAUCUUUACUUUUGCUACUGUUACCAUUAUUAUCAUACUACUUUGCUACUAAACAAUUUGCUGCAGAUAAUAAGUUAUCCAUGUGUGGUUGAAUUGACAACUCAACUGCUAAUACUCAAGAAUAUUCUUUGGCUCCCCUUGUGUCGAAUCAAUAAAUUUGGGUUGUACUUCACCCCCGAAAGCUGUUGCGAUCCCCUACACUUGUGGGUUAUCAAUACUAAGCACGGGGACUAAGUGCACCCACCAUCCGCGUUGGUGUUGAAGGACCUCCAAGCUACCUGGACUAUGCAGGCUGGAGGAAGAAGCCAAGGUAGUGGUAACAUGUGCGGCUCGGAAAGGGGUCGCGGCCUUGCUUCUUAAGGAGGCUGCUCCUAGGGCGAGUUCUUUGACGCUGAUGAUCAAUACUUUGAAGAGUUUAAGGAUGGAGUUGUGACUCAUGAAUCUCCAGUGGAGUUACAUUUUUUUGGAAAUGGAGGCAUGCCCCCGACCUCUACAUCAUGACGAUGCAUGCAACCUUCUUAUUGAAAAGUCUCGAAGUAGCAUGAAGUCAUAAAAGUAUUACAGCUCACAAGUGGAGCAAAAAAAGAGAGGUAAAAGUACAUGCUCAGAAACACAAUCGGUAUGACAAUGCAAAGGACAAGCUCCCUAGACUCCUAUCCUGUUAUGCGACCGCCAUCCGAAUCGGUUGAAUAUAGCCUGUGCUACCAUCUCCCACUAGUUUCACCCAGUAACCAAAGGCUGCCUGGAUUCCAUAGGAGUGAGUAAGGACCACGUACGGAUCCAUGCGGAAGCUCUAAAGAUGACAUGCAAGAAAGUUAAAGCAUGUUGUCUGUUAAAAAUCAUAUCAUUCCUGCAAUUCCAUAUAGCCCACAUGAGCGCACAUAUUCCAAUCCGAAUACGAGCCGCAGUAAUCUGCUCAACCCCAGCUAACCAUGUCCCAAACAACGAUUCAAUGUGAACUGGAGGAGUAAUGUUAAAGGCUAUUUGGAUCAUUCUCCAAAGCAGUUUGGCAAGUGGGCACUCUAUGAAUAAGUGUUCUAUUGUUUCGUCAUGAUCACAAAAAUAACACUGUGAACUACCUACCCACCACUCUUUAUUAAGUUAUCUUUGAUGAGGAUCACUUGCUUGUGGACGAACCACAUAAAGAUUUUGAUACGCAAGGGAACCUUAACCUUCCAAAUAUGUAAUGAUCUUGAGAUUGGGUCAGAAUUAAUCAGAUCCAUAUAGAAAGAUUUCACCGUGAACACCCCAUUUCUAGCUAACUUCCAGUGAGUCAAAUCAGGUUGGUUGGAUAACUGAACAUCUAUCAAUAUCCGAACCAAAUGCAUCCAGGCAAUCCAUCGCUCACCAACUAACACACGUCUGAACUAAAUAUUCAAGGGACUCGAUUGAAAUAUUGUUCCUACAUAAUCCUCCUUACAUUGCAUGAUGUUAUAUAGGGUGGGAUAUUGUAUGGCUAGGGGCGUCUCUCCUAACCACAUAUCCUCCCAAAUUCUUGUUGACAUCACAUUGCCAAUCAAAAAUUUGACCCUAAAAAGGACAAGUCUUUCGUUUGCAUGAGUCCCUUCCAGAAUGGCGAGUCGGUUGGUCUCACGGUGACCUGGGCGAGCGUUUUUGACUGUAAAUAUGUAUUGCAUAGAAUCUGAGCCCACAUACCUUUUGACUCUGUCUCUAAACUAUAGAGCCAUUUACUCAUAAGACAUUUAUUCUUUAUUUCCAAGUUCUCAAUACCGAGACCCCCCUGGUCCUUGGGUCGGCAAAGAAUAUCCCAUCAUGUGAUGACACACAAGUAUAGGGGAUCUAUUGUAGUCCUUUCGAUAAGUAAGAGUGUCAAACCCAAUGAGGAGCAGAAGGAAAUGACAAGCGGUUUUCAGUAAGGUAUUCUCUGCACGCACUGAAAUUAUCGGUAAUAGAUAGUUUUGUGAUAAGGUAAUUCGUAACGGGUAACAAGUAACAAUAGUAAACAAGAUACAGCAAGCUGGCCUAAUCCUUUUUGUAGCAAAGGACAAGCCUGGACAAAAUCUUAUAUAAAGCAAAGCGCUCCCGAGGACACAUGGGAAUUACUGUCAAGCUAGUUUUCAUCAUGCUCAUAUGAUUCACGUUCGUUACUUUGAUAAUUUGAUAUGUGGGUGGACCGGUUCUUGGGUACUACCCUUCCUUGGACAAGCGUCCCACUUAUGAUUAACCCCUCUCGCAAGCAUCCGCAACUACAAAAGAAGAAGUAAGGUAAACUUAACCAUAGCAUGAAACAUAUGGAUUCAAAUCAGCCCCUUAUGAAGCAACGCAUAAACUAGGGUUUAAGCUUGUGUCACUCUAGCAACCCAUAAUCUACUUAUUACUUCCCGAUGCCUUCCCCUAGGCCCAAAUCAUGGUGAAGUGUGAUGUAGUCGACGUUCACAUAACACUACUAGAGGAGAGACAACAUACAUCUCAUCAAAAUAUCGGACGACUACCAAAUUCACAUGAUUACUUAUAACAAGACUUCUCCCAUGUCCUCAGGAACAAACAUAACUACUCACAAAUCAUAUUCAUGUUCAUAAUCAGAGGGGUAUUAUGCAUUAAGGAUCUGAACAUAUGAUCUUCCACCAAAUAAACCAACUAGCAUCAACUACAAGGAGUAGUCAACACUACUAGAAACCCACAGGUACCAAUCUAAGGUUUUGAGACAAAGAUCGGAUACAAGAGAUGAAUUAGGGUUUGAGAGGAGAUGGUGCUGGUGAAGAUGUUGAUGGAGAUUGACCCCCUCCCAAUGAGAGGAUCGAUGGUGAUGACAAUGGCGACGAUUUCCCCCUCCUAGAGGGAUGUUUCCCCGCAGAACAGCUCCAUCGGAGCCCUAGAUUGGUCCUGCCCAGGUUCCUCCUCGAGACGGAGGCGCUUCGUCCCGAAAGCUUCCUUUAGAUUUUUCUAGGAGAAAGACACAAUGUAGCAGAAGAUAGACGUCGGGGGCCUGCCAUGUGGCCCACGAGGCAGGGGGCGCGCCCAGGGGGUAGGGCGCGCCCUCCACCAUCGUGGCUGGUCGGUGGCCCCCCUCUGGUGCUUUCUUCGCCCAAUAUUUUUAAUAUAUUUCAAAACUGACUUUCAUGGAGUGUCAAGAAUUUUUGAGUUGUGCAGAAUAGGUCUAUAAUAUUUGCUCCAUUUCCAGCCCAGAAUUCCAGCUGUCGACGUUCUCCCUCUUCGUGUAAACCUUUUAAAAUAAGAGAUAAAAUGCAUAUGUAUUGUGACAUAAUGUGUAGUAACAGCCCAUAAUGCAAUAAAUAUCAAUAUAAAAGCAUGAUGCAAAAUGGUCGUAUCAACUCCCCCAAGCUUAGACCUCGCUUGUCCUCAAGUGAAAGCCGAUAUCGAAAAAUAUGUCCACCUGUUUAGAGAUAGAGGUGUCGAUAAAAUAAAAUACGGACAUGUGGGCAUCAUGAUGAUCUUUAGAACAGCAACAUAUUGUCAUGUGAUUUCUUAUGCUAAAGUAACAAUCUAUUCACAAUGUAAACUAUGAAUCAGAAACUUCAUUGAAAACUAACAAACUAUGAUCUUGGUCAUUGAAGCAAUUGCAAUUUAUCAUAACAUAGGAAAUAGUCAAUAUAAGAGCUUUUCAACAAGUCCAAAUACUCAACUAUCAUCUAGUCUUUCACAAUUGCUAACACUCACGCAAUACUUAUGGGUACGAAGUUUCAAUCGGACAUAGAGAAAGAUAGGGGCUUAUAGUUUCGCCUCCCAACCUUUUACCUCAAGGGUAAUGUCAACAAUAAUAAUUUAUGAGAACCAACAUCCGAUUGGGUACAUAUAUCGGGAUGUUUCCAACAAAUAGUGUUUGCCAAAGGAUAAAGUAUAAAAAGGAAAGGUGAAUAUCACCAUGACUCUUGUAUAAGGGUAGAAGGUAAAAAUAAAAGAUAGGCCCUUCGCAGAGGGAAGCAGAGGUUGUCAUGCGCUUUUAUGGUUGGAUGCACAAAAUCUUAAUGCAAAAGAACGUCACUUUAUAUUGCCACUUGUGAUAGGGACCUUUAUUAUGCACUCCGUCGCUUUUAUUUCUUCCAUAUCACAAGCACGUAUAAAGCUUAGUUUCUUCACACUAAUAGAUCAUACAUAUUUAGAGAGCAAUUUUUAUUGCUUGCACCGAUGACAAUUUACUUGAAGGAUCUUACUCAAUCCAUAGGUAGGUAUGGUGGACUCUCAUGGCAAAACUGGAUUUAGGAUGUUUGGAAGCACAAGUAGUAUCUCUACUUGGUGCAAAGAAUUUCGCUAGCAUGAGGGGGAAAGGCAAGCUCAACAUGUUGGAUGAUCCAUGACAAUAUAACUUGUUCAGAUAUAAGGAAACAUAACCCAUUACGUUGUCUUCCUUGUCCAGCCUCAACUUUUUAGCAUGUCAUAUUUUAAUGAGUGCUCACAAUCAUAAAAUAUGUCCGAGAUAGUAUAUUUAUAUGUGAAAACCUCUCUUUCUUUAUUACUUCCUAUUAAUUGCAACGGUGACCAAAACUAUGUUUGUCAAUUCUCAACAACUUUUAUUCAUCAUACUCUUUAUAUGUGAAAACAUCACUCUCCAUAAGAUCAAUAUGAUCUUUUUAUUUCUUUGUAUUCUUUCUUUUAUUCCUUUAAGAUCAUAGCAAGAUAGCAAAGCCCUCAACUCAAAACUAACCUUUAUUAUAUAUAACUCACGGACUUAAUUAGAUAGAUAUCAAAACAAAACUCAAAGCUAGAUCAUACUAAAACUUUAUUCUACUAGAUCAAGAUAUAACCAAAAGGAUUAAACUAAGAAAAACGGUAAAGGUAGAAGUGUGAUGGUGAUACGAUACUGGGGCACCUCCCCCAAGCUUGGAAGUUGCCAAGGGGAGUGCCCAUACCCAUGUAUUUAUGUCUCUUUCUUUGGAGGUGGUGAUGAUGGAGUGGUUGAUGAUGUAGUGUCGCACAUCGAGCAUAGAAGAUGCUCCAACUUGUGGAUAAAGCCCUUGAGUGUGGUGAUAUGCUUUUGCAACAAAAUAUUUUCAUGCGUGAGAUAACUGUUUUGUAUGCGAACUAUUUCAAUCAUCUUGAAAGCUUCAAUUUCAGUAGAGGUGAGAUGAUUGUAGUAAGGUUGAAAGACGCCUUCUUCUUCUAAGGUCGGGGCUUGCUCUUCUACGGCUUUCUUGAUCUUUUUACCUUCCUUGAUUUCCCCGAGUUCUUAUCUCUUCGUCUCUAUCUUCAUUAUCCAAGCAUCGUCGCCCACAUUGUUGGAUGAGGGGGACGACAUGAUGCCUGACCUUGAGAAACUCUGGCAGAAAACAACUUAGAAUGAAAACAUGAGAUUUUCUCGUGGUACGGUGGUCAAAACCUUCGGGAGAUUAUAUAAUGAUUUUUUACCGACCAAAAGAAGUAUCGUGCAAGAAAACACAGUCCGGAGGGCACACGAGGUUUCCACGAGGUUGGGGGCGCGCCCAGGGGGUAGGGCGCGCCCUCCACCCUCGUGGACGCCUCGUGUCUCUUUCGGACUACUUUGAAUUUUCCUAAUAUUUUAAAUAUUCCAAAACGGAGAAAAGUUGCUAUUUGAAUAGUUUUGGAGUCGGUUUUACUUACCGUACCACAUACCUAUUCCUUUUCAGAGUUUGAAACAUUUUGGAAAGUGUCCCUUAUGUACUCCUCCGGGGUUACGGUGUCAAUAACAUUGGUUUCAACAUUUAUGGGAUUACCUGAGAUAUAAUGUUUGAUUCUUUGACCAUUCACCACCUUUGGGUUUGUUCCUUCGGCAUUGUUGAUUUUGAUGGCACCAAAGCGAUAUACCUCCUCUAUAACGUAAGGACCUUCCCAUUUAGAGAGAAGUUUUACUGCAAAAUAUCUUAAACGAGAGUUGUAUAGCAAAACAUAAUCACCUACAUUAAACUCACGCCUUUGUAUCCUCUUAUAAUGACAUUUUUUAAAUUUUUCUUUAUACAAUUUGGUGUUCUGAUAGGCCUGGGUUCUCCAUUCAUCAAGUGAGCUAAUGUCAAAUAACCUCGUCACUGAUACGUCUCCAACGUAUCUAUAAUUUAUGAAGUAUUCAUGCUAAUAUAUUAUCAUUCGUGGAUGUUUUACAAACAUUUUAUGGCAACUUUAUAUCAUUUUUUGGGACUAACCUACUGACCCAGUGCCCAGUUUCGGUUGUUGUUUUUUGCUUGUUUUUUACAUCAUAGGAAAUCAACAUCAAACAGAGUCCAAAUACCGCGUAACUUUUUGGAGAUUUUUUAUUGAGCAGAAGACCACCAGUGGGCCAAUGAAGCACCUAGGGGGCUGCUAGAGGGGAGCAGCACCCACCAGGGCGCGCCAGGAGGCCCAGGCGCGCCCUGGUGGAUGUUGCCCACCUCGUGUGCCCCCCGGACCGCUUCUUUACUGUAUAAAAUCACAAAUAUUCCAAAACCCUUCAGGGUAGCCCUAGAUCAGAAGUUCCGCCGCCGCAAGGCCUCUGUAUCCACGAGAUCCAAUCUAGACCCUGUUUCGGCACCCUACCGGAGGGGGGAAUCAUCACCGGUGGCCAUCUUCAUCAUCCCAGCGGCCACCACGAUGAGGAGGGAGUAGUCCACCCUCAGGGCUGAGGGUUUGUACCAGUAGCUAUGUGUUUAAUCUCUCUCUCUUUCUCUCUCAUGUUCUUGAGAUGUCACGAUCUUGAUGUAUCGCGGGCUUUGUUAAUAUAGUUGGAUCAUAUGACGUUUUCCCCUCUCUAUCUUGUUGUGAUGAAUUUAGUUUUUUCCUUUGAGAUUUCGUUGGCAUCGGAUUGAAUACUUUUAUGGAUUUGAGAACACUUGAUAUAUGUCUUGCAAUUGAAUACUCGUGGUGACAAUGCGGUAUCGUAUUGAUUCACUUGAUAUAUGUUUUGGCACUCAACUCGCGGAUUCCCGAGGUGACAUUGGGGUAAUCUAUGCAUAGGGGUUAAUGCAUGUUCUUGUCAUCGUUUCUCCGGUAGAACUCUUGGGGCACUCUUUGAAGUUCUUUGUGUUGGAUUGAGUAUUAUGAAUAUGAAUUUUCUUUGGUGUUAUUUUAGUACGAACUCUAGGGUAGAUUGAAUGGAAAGAAUAGCUUUGUGUUAUUUCAGUACGAACUCUUGAAUAGAUGGAACAGAAAGAAUAGCUUUGAGGUGGUUUCGUACCCUACAAACAAUCUAUUCUUAUGUUCUCCACUAGAUAGGAACUUUGGAGUGAUUCUUCAUCGCACUUUGAGGGAUGGUUAUAUGAUCCAACUAUGUUAGCAUUGUUGAGAGAUUGCACUAGCGAAAGUAUGCACCCUAGGCCUCACUUUCCAUCAUUGCAAUACCAUUUUUGUGCCUGUUUACUAAUUGCUACCUUGCUGGCUCCAUUUAUUCAGAUUAUAAAAAUAUAUUUCUACCAUCCAUAUUACACUUUUAUCACCAUCUCUUCGCUGAACUAGUGCACCUAUACAAUUUGCCAUUGUAUUGGGUGUGUUGGGGACACAAGAGAUUUCUUUUAUUUGGUUGCAGGGUCGUUUGAGACAGACCAUCUUCAUCCUACACCUCUCACGGAUUGAUAAACCUUAGGUCAUCCACUUGAGGGGAAAUUGUUACUAUCCUACAAAAAUCUGCGCUUGGAAGUCCAACACGUCUCUACAAGAAUAAAGUUGCGUAGUAGACAUCGAGUUGUUUUCUGGCGCCGUUCCCGGGGAGGUAAGUGAUUGAAGGUAUAUCUUUAUAUCUUGCAAUCGAAUCUUUUAAUUUCUUGUUUUAUCACUAGUUUGGUUUAUAAAAAGAAAACUACAAAAAAUGGAAUUGAGGUUGCAUCAUAUUAUUGAUCAUCUUUAUAAUAUCUUUCUUGAAAAUGAUGGUUCGGAAAAUUGUUUUCAGUUGAUAGAAGAAUAAUUUAAUAAAAUGAUUGGCAUGAAUGAUGAGUAUGAUUGUAAUGUUGUUAGUAUGAAUUCUUUGAAUAUCCAUGAUGUUAAUGAUAUGCAAAACUACAAGCUUGGAGAUGUUAUGUUUGAUGAAGAUGAUGUUUUUAGUCCCCCAAGAUUUGAUGUGCAAAUUUGUUAUAAUGAUUGCAUGCCUCCUAUUUAUGAUGAUUAUAAUGAUGGAAGUGGAUUCGGAGAGGUCAUGACCUUAUUUAAUGAUGAAUCCACCAUUUUGGAUGAGGCUUCAGUAGACUAUGAGAACAAGAUCGCUAUCUAUGAUGAUUAUGGUUAUGGCAUGUAUGCUAUAUUGAAUAAUUAUACCCAUGAAACUUGUCAUCAUGAUUUUAAUUUUCAAUCUCAUGAUAGUUAUUUUGUUGAGUUUGCUCCCACCACUAUUCAUGAGAAUAAAUUUGCUUAUGUGGAGAGUAACAAAAUUGCUAUGCCUAUGUGGCAUGAAAAGAAUGCUUUAUGUGAUGGUUAUAUUGUUGAAUUUCUUCCUGAUGCUACUGAAAAUUAUUAUGAGAGAGGAACAUAUGCUUUUACAUAUCUCAAUAAUAUGAAGUUUCCUCUCUAUGUGUUGAAAGUUUUGAAGUUAUGCAUGUUUGGCCUUCCUAUGCUAGUUGAUUCUUGUUCCCAUGAAUUAUUUGCUCACAAAAUCUCUAUUCAUAGGAAGUGGUUUAGGCUUAAAUGUGCUUGACAUGUGAUUCAUGAUGCUCUUUUUCAUGUUUCAAUUCUUAUCUUUUAUGCGAACAUCAUUGAAAUCAUCAUGCCUAGCUAAAAGGCAUUAAAGAAAAGCGCUUGUUGGGAGGCAACCCAACACUUUUACCUACUGUUUUUGUGUGUUCACAUGAUUAGACUACUUUAGUAGUCAUGUUUUAUUGUCUUCGUUUCAAUAAAAUGCCAAGUAAAGCCUUUGGGAUCCUCUUGGGUGAUAGUUGAUUUGAUCUUGCUGAAAAACAUAAACUUUUGCGCUCACAAAAAUAACUCUCGUUUUUAACAGAAGGGUGAUUUUGAGUUGAUUAUUUUUUCGGAAGAUUAAUAUACAAAUUCCUCACGUGGUCCAAUUUUUUUCAUAAUUUUUGGAGUAGCAGAAGUAUGGUUUGAGUACAAAUUACUACAGACUGUUCUGUUUUUGACAGAUUCUGUUUUCAAUGCAUAGUUUGCUUGUUUCCUUGUUUCUAUGGCUUAUAAUGCUCAAUAUAAAUUGUGAAAAUGAUAUGCUACGGUAGGCAUUGUGUGGAAAAAAUUAUGAAUCUUGUAUUUGAUAGUACCAAAGUGAAAUGGUUUGCUCUUUAACAUACUAACCUAUCUCACGAAGUUUCGUUAAGUUUUGUGUGAUUGAAGUUUUCAAGUUUUGGGUGGAAUGACGAUAUGAGGAGAAUAAGGAGUGGCAAAACCCUAAUAUUGGGUAUUCCCAAGCCACCCCAAGGUAAUAUUAAAGGAAGAUCCAAGCAACUAAGCUUGGGGAUGCCCCGGAAGGCAUCCCCUCUUUCGUCUCCAACAUUAUCGGUAACCUCACUUGGAGUUAUGUUUUCAUUCAUCACAUGAUAUAUGUUUUGCUUGGAGCGUCAAUUUAUUUUGUUAAGAUUUGCUUGAUGUUAUUUAUAAUAAUGUUUUGUAUCUUUUAUUUUAAUAAAAGUGGCAAUGAUAGCCUUUACCAUGCUUAUUUUGCAAGUAUGCUUGUUGCUGUUUGAAAACAGAAAGUUUACCGCUGUUGCAAAAAUUCCCUAGAAAAGUCAGAAUACGAUAAAAUGUUGAAACUUUUUGUAAAACUAGCAAAGUGGCCCGCUUGGUGCGCGGGCUAGGAUUUUAUAAAGUUUUCAAUUUAUAUCUUAUCAUGGUGAUGGCUGAUAAAACUGUGUAAAUUGUGAGCAAUUUUGUCACUUGACCAAUUUGGAGACUAAUAUAGAAGAACUUUACUAAGUGAUGAUAGAUCGGUAGUUUGAUGAACAAACGCAUACAAAACAUAUUAUGAUCAAUCUACAAAAGACUAACACUUUAGCUAGCCUUGUAGGCGUAUGUGCAUGUCAAGUUCUCCAAGAAUCUUAUCGACCAUGAAUGGUUCUAACAAAAUAAACUCUUUGGCAGAGAGUAGCCAAUUUUUUAUCAUUAGAAUCCACAUAAUUAUUUCUUAUGCGGGCUAGUACUUAAAAAAGUUUAAUUCAAUGUCAAAUUAUAUUUCUGCUUUUGUUAGUUGUUCAUCAAGUGGUUGUUCUAAACAUAGUUUUUACACUUGUACAUAUCUUUGGUGCUUCCAUGAUAAGAAAAAAAAUCCUUUUUCAUGUUUGGGGAAAUAUUGGGCGCCAACUUUCUCAUUGAAUUCUUCAGGAGCGCGGGAGAGUUAAUGAUUUGUGUCAAAACAUGUCUGAUUGUUUUGCAUAUCAUAUUAGAUCAGUGUAAAAAAAGUUACUCUAAAUUAUUGUAGAUCAAUGCAGUCAAUUAAUAGUCUUUUCCAUGGGCAGUAUAAAAAGAUCUAACAUUAUGUGUAUGUAAUGGAGUCUACUACCCCAAAUUGUAAUUUUUUCUUUUGAACCAAUGAUUAUUGAAACAUUAUAAAGAUCAACACAUGAAACAUUUUUUUAAUAAAAAUUGUUAAAACUAUUAUGUAACAUAUAUAAUAUGGUGAGGUAAGUAAGCAUCAAUGGAUGGUAUUGGGUCAAGAUAUACGUGUGGUUUUGAUCCGGAUUUCAACCCACUGUGAGGUCUUGUAGAUUAGAUAUCAUGUGGGUAGUCCAUGAUAAAUAAGAUCACGAAGAGGCUCUAGGGAAUAUUAGUAACUAUAAGAACAUACUCCAAAUUACACGGCCCAAAUCCUUCACAUUUUUUUAGAAUAAUUUGUAAUUUAGUAAAAAUAUCAGUAAGACAAAGACCAAACAUAGAAACUAAAGGAUAGCUCUAAUGCAAAUGUUACACAAUGAGCAAUGUGUACGAUGGUUACGAAGUAACACACAUAAUGUACACAAAAGGAUUUGGAAGAUCAAAUAGAAAAUAUGCCUUAUAUGCAAAAUGUUCUCUUGUAGAAAUAAUAGUUUCGAUAUUCGGUUAAGUUGAUCAGUUGUUUUUUUUUCUAGAAAUAACACUUUGCUAGACGAUCAUUCACCAUGUCUUCAUUAAUUUUGGAUAACCUAAAUGUGUAGAUCGACACAAUUAUGAAUUGCACAGGAGUUAGAUUUUAAGGGAGUCUCUUUUAGGGGGAAAAGACAUCAAAUGGAUAAUUAACUCCAAGCCUUACAUUAAACUUGAAUGAUGUGUAACAGAAAAUAUAUUAUUCGGCUUGGGAUUCACAUCGGUACAAUAUAUAUGUACAUUGCUCUGUAUGACAAAUAUAUUGUCACUUUUCUCUCUAAAUAGUAUUUAUGUUAAUUUUAUAAAUAAACAUUAAAUUUAAAUGUUUCAAUGAUUGUGAUCAUGUUGAAGCAUGGUGGUUACAUCAAAUCAAUGACUCAAGAAAAUGUAUCACUUGGUUCUCCGAUACGAAAAGGGUCAACAUAUUGAAGGAGAUAUUAUUUGGAUUCAUGCCCUGAUCUUAUGAUAUCCCGUAUUUUUCAUCCUUCGUACAAUAAAGAGAUGUGCUAUAUAUUUCUUCUUUUCUUAACAUAUUGAAACCAAUUAUGAUUUUUUUUGUACUUUCAUAUUUAUUCAUUUUCGGCUGUAAAUAUGUUACCACUUCCUGCAUCAUUUGAAGUAAAACAUGACUAACUGAACUCAGUGAACUCAUGGUUCAUUGUCCGAGUUAUAUAUGAUUGCUUAAUAUGCUGCAUCUAAAUCCUUCGGAAUCUUUAAUACAAUUUUAUAAUUGCCCAUUAGGGACCAUGGGCAAAGAGUUUCCGUGAUCAUUUCUAAACUUAUCACCUUGUAAUUAUAACUUUUCCUCCUUACCACGACUCACAACUCCAAUCUACAUCCAUGAUAAUAAUUGUUUUAUGUGCUAUGUUUUAGUCAAAAUGAUUAUUUUUAGUUAGGCACGGCUUGAGAAAUUUCCGAUCAAUGAACUAUAUAUUUGUCUACAAUUACUUUGUUUCUUGUAAAGUAUGUCUAUAUUGGGAUUUUCCCACCUUAAAAAUAAGUGAAAUAAAAAUUAGUAUCACAAAUAAAACUACUCCCUCCGAUCAAAAAUAAGUAUUGCAGUUUUGAACAAAGCUUAGUUGAACCUUUGUUCAAAAUUGCGAUACUUAUUAUGGAUCGGAGGGAGUACAAUGUAAAUGUCAAUGAUUCCUUUUUUGUAUUAAAUUCAUGUUUUCUGAACAUACUUUGUUCUAUACUGUCGCUACCUCAAUAAUGUGCUAAUUUGUGCACUACUACUAUAAGCAACUUAUAAUAUAUACAAAGCGUCUCUCACCCUUGAUUGUCGGUGUACUAGAAUAGGGGUACCCUAGUACCCCGAACUUGUGCACGGGCAGUUGCAGCACCCCACGGCAAAGGCUUGCCGGGCGAUCGCCAAGAUCCCCCAAGGUUCCCUUGGAGCCAUCCAAGAACAAAGUAUUUAAGCUAAGGAGACAAGACCCCGGCAAGAGGAGCUUGCCGGGAAGGCCAACCAAGGCGCUCCAAGGAACUUGCCGCGACGCGCCACGCGCUCCGGCAAGGCAACAAGGCCCCGGCAAGAGGAGCUUGCCGGGAAGACUAAAUAAGGUACCCCGAGGCCCGGAGAGCGACGAGCUUCUGGAUCCGGCGAGAUAACAACAGCGGCAAGGCGCUUGCCGCGGCAGGCGGCCACUCUGCGCCCACGCUCCAGCGCAUCCACCAACGUGUCGCUCUGGGGCCUCUCCGGGCGCGCGUGGCGGGAGGCUGUGCAGCCAGCGGUGCGCAGUGGCAUGCGAAGCUAACAAGAUCGCCAUCGUGGUGAAUGGUGGCGCCCCUAACGGUCCUUUUCUGCACUGUUCGGGCGACUCAGACGGGCAUUUAAUGCCCUUGUCCCCUGCCAUCAGGGUUAGGUAGGGUGUACUGUACAAGCAACUGUAUCAACUACCUCGCUUUUUACGUUUUUACCCUCCUCUGCGUUGCCACCUGUCGGUGACCCCUUUAGCGUAUAAAAGGAGGCCCAUGCGCAACGUAGAGAGGGUUCGGAGCCUCGGAUAGUUUGCUUCGAUUCAUUCGUAGCCCAGAAAACAUCACACUCUCUCGCUCGAGAGCAAGAACACCAGAUAAUACAACUAGACAAGCACCAGUAGGAGUGUUAUCUCUCCGGAGAGCUCCGAAGCUGGGUAAACUGCUCGUGUGCCUCGCCUCGAUCUGCUCUUCGUGCGACCUCCGGCCCCUGCCGAACCGAAAGGGGCCCGGUCCGCCGGCCCCAUAGGUGUUUGUGGAUCAGUUCUCCCCGACAUCUUUGGCGCGCCAGGUAGGGGGUGUUGAGAUUGUGUGAACCAGAUCCGGCGUUCACACGAGCUAGAUCUUUAUUCCCUUCAUCAACAUGCCACCAAAGAAGAAGACUUCGGCGGAAGCCGCUCCAUCCGCGUCACUUCCGCCACCGUUGGAGCAAACGAGUGGUGGGAUGGACGCCGGCGGAAGAAAGGACGUCGACGAGGAAGCUCAUGAUGCCGCCAGGUCCAAGAACAAGGCUGCACAAACCUCGGCGACUGUACACGUUCCACGCCACUCUCAGGAGGCGCAAGAUCAACAGCGUCAUGGCACUAGCAGUGCCAUAUGCAUGAUAGCCCAAGACCAAGCUGGUGGAUCUCGGGGCGCUCAAGACCAGCAUGCACGCCAGCGUGCUGGCACGAGCGGGGCACGAUCGCCUGGACGGGAUACUGCUCCUUCUAACAUAGUUAGAAGUUCGAGCACGUCCCGCUCCUCGCGUCGUCUGCCACUGCUACCCACCACUCCAGCAGAAGCUUUGGCACGAGCUCAACUUCUCCUAGAUUACCCUCCGACGUCGGACAAGAUCGACGAAUGGAGAGCCACCAUUCAGAGUCUCAUCGGCUACGCCAAUGGUGACACUCCAUGGCGGACAAGUGCGUCGCCGCCGCGGCAAGACCGCCGGACGCGAGCCGGUGGCGACGAAACGGGCGAAGGUGCAACUACCAUGCAAUCACCGCCCCGAAAGCCAAGAUCGCCGACUCGCCGGAUCCACCUCGACAGCGACUCCACUGCAUCGUCGGAUCCACGAGCUCGUCGCGAUCAGCGCCAAGUUCUUCAUGAUCGACAACAAGAAGACGCUCGAACCCGCAUCGAGCGCCGAAGAGAAGCGCGACGUCAAUCCGACAAGUGCGCUGGGCCCUCUGUUGACAUGCAUGCGCCAGGGGAACCAGGCGAUCUGCCGUACGUGGUAGGUUGUCCUGCGUUCACUCGUGAGCUGCGGCAAGUCCAGUGGCCCAGUACAAAGAACUUCAAGCCAGACGUACCGGAGAAGUACGACGGCAAGACGCAUCCGUUAGAGUUCCUUAGCAUCUACACCAUUGCGGUACAAGCUGCCGGGCGACGAGAUGACAAGAUCCUUGCCAACUACUUCCCGCUGGUGCUCAAGCCCAACGUCAGAUCCUGGCUCAUGCACUUGCCGGACAACUCCAUAUCCUCUUGGGCUGAUCUGUGCCAUCAGUUUGUCGGCGCCUUUACCGGCGGACACAAGCCUCAUGGCCAGGAGAGUGAUCUUCAUCUGCUCGCCCAGAAGGAAGGAGAGCCCCUGCGCAAGUACAUCCAGAGAUUCAGUAGUGUGCAGCACAACAUCCCAGACGUCCAACCUGCCGCCGUGAUCAGCGCGUUCCAUCAGAACGUGCGGAAUCGCAGGAUGCGGGAGGAAAUGGCGAUGUGCAAGAUCAGGGACGUCAGUGAGUUAUAUGCACUGGCCGACAAGUGUGCGCGUGCUGAGGAAGGGAGGAGACUCCAUGGAGAAAAUAUAGGAGCGGGGGGAUCUGACAGUGAAGAUGCUGCCCCGACAAGGAAAAACCGGCGGCGGAACAACAGUAGGAGAAAAGGCAAAGAAGUGCUAGUUGUUGAGCAGUCCGGCAACGGUGGCGGCGCCAAGGAAGCCAAAGCUGGUGACUCCGGUAAGGAGGUUUCCGCGGAGGCAGCAGUCGCUGACAAGCAGGACGACCCAACAAGCAAUAUUGCAAGAUCCACCGCACCAAGGGCCAUGGUCUCCAGAACUGUAAGAAAGUCGAACAGCUUGUUGAGCAACAGAAAGCUGAAUACGAGCGGCGCGACAAGGAGAAGGCCCAUGAAGGAGCUGGUGGAUCCGGCAAGAAACGUCCCGGCCGAGGAGGACGCCGCGACAAGGCCAAGCAGCGGCAAGGAGACAGACCUCCUCGCGGCCGCGACAAGGAUGAAGAUGACGGCGAGGAUGAAGAUAUGGAUGAUGAGGAGACUGAUGAGCAGGAGUUCCAGAAAGCCACAGAGGUCCUGUGCGUUGACGGUGGUGCUUCUCUGCAUGCCUCGCACCGCCAGCUCAAGCAGUGGGUGCGGGAAGUUAAUGCAGCAAAACCACCCAUCGAGUCACGCAAGCCUCUGAAAUGGUCCGGCACGCCUAUCAUCUUUGAUAUUGAGGACCACCCGGGUCGCAUAACUGCGGUCGGGUGCUUCCCGAUGUUGGUUUCACCAACAAUCCGCAACCUCAAGGUCACUAACAUGCUAGUUGACGGUGGGGCCGGCUUGAACCUGAUCUCCUCCGCGAUGCUCCAGAAGCUCCAGAUCCCUGACAGCGAGCUCGAAGAGACCGACACAUUUCAAGGAAUCAACCCGGGAAGGAGCAAGCCAAAGGGAAAGAUCACGUUGCCGGUAACAUUUGGCAGUGAGCUGAACUUCAGGACUGAGAGGGUCACGUUUGACGUUGCCGACUUUCCAUUACCUUACAAUGGGAUCCUUGGCCGUCCGGCACUCGCCAAGUUCAUGGCAGCCUCUCACUAUGCGUACAACGUACUGAAAAUGCCAGGCCCAAUAAGUGUCAUCUCUGUCCCUGGCGACAAGAAGGAUGCUCUUAUCUGUGCCGACAAGAUCUACCAGGAAGCCGCAGCCGCAGCAGAACGAAGGACACUUGCCGCUGAAGCUCCCGGGGGGAAGAAGAAGACCAAGACCGACAAGAGCUCUGAUGCCCACUCCGGCAAGCACACUUCUUCGGAGUGCUGCGCUACCGUCGAGGACACACCAUCGAGCUCCACCGGCAAGUGUAAGAAGGCAAUGGAAGCUCCACCUGAGACUAAGAAGGUGUCCGCCAAGGAGGAUGGCACUGGUGGUACCUUCACCAUCAGCGCCACUCUUGACCCCAAAUAGGAAAGCGCGCUCGUUGCUUUCCUGCGGGCGAAUGUCGACGUGUUUGCGUGGCAACCGUCUGAUAUCCCCGGUGUUCCCAGGAAAGUGAUUGAGCACCACCUUGCCGUCUGUCCUCAUGCGCGGCCCAUCAAGCAGAGAGUCAGGAAGCAGGCAGUAGAGCGCCAAGAAUUCAUCGCAGAAGAAAUCAAGAAGUUGGAAGCAGCAGGCCUUGUCAGAGGAGUACUCCAUCCCACGUGGUUGGCCAAUCCUAUUGUUGUGCGCAAAGCUAACGGGAAAUGGAGACUUUGUAUUGACUUCACUGAUGUUAAUAAAGCUUGUCCCAAAGACCCAUUUCCCUUGCCGCGUAUUGACCAGAUUGUUGACUCCACAGCCAGAUGUGAUUUGCUUUCAUUUCUUGAUGCAUACUCAGGAUACCAUCAGAUCUUCAUGGCAGAAGAAGAUGAAGAGAAAACUGCAUUUAUCACCCCGUGUGGCACGUACUGCUUCGUACGGAUGCCUUUCGGUUUGAAGAAUGCUGGUUCAACAUUCGCAAGGGUAGUCCACCAUGCUUUUGAGCCGCAAAUACACAGAAAUGUGGAAGCUUACAUGGAUGGCAUAGUGGUCAAGAGCAAGAACAAGGCGACCCUGAUUCAAGAUUUAGACGAAACAUUUGCAAACCUGCGCAAGAUCAACCUCAAGCUUAACCCCGAGAAGUGCGUGUUUGGAGUCCCUUCCGGCAAGCUUCUCGGGUUCUUCGUGUCUCAGCGGGGAAUUGAAGCCAAUCCCGACAAGAUCAAAGCCAUUGAGCAGAUCGAUGCACCAAAGCGCGUCAAGGAUGUAUGAAGGCUUGCCGGUUGCGUGGCUGCUCUCAGCAGGUUUAUCUCUAGAUCUGCUGAGCGCGCCCUGCCAUUUUUCAAAAUUUUGAAAAAGGUAGGUCCAAUGAAAUAGACUCCGGAAGCGGAGGCUGCGCUGCAGGACUUGAAGAGAUACCUGUCCUCCACUCCAACGCUUGUCGCACCUAAGCCGCAAGAUAAGUUGCUGCUGUAUAUAGCGGCAACCAAUCAAGUGGUUAGUGCUGCGUUAGUGGCGGAGAGGGAGGCGGAUGAUGAGCCAGCAACCACAGCAGAUCCAUCCAGCGACAAGCAGGGGGCUUCGUCGACAAGCUCUGGUCCCGACAAACAUGGGUUUGCGCAGGAACAUGAUAAGCUGCCAAGGAGAAUGGUGCAGCGCCCAGUUUACUUUGUCAGUUCUCUUCUGCAGGGGGCUAGAUCAAGGUACUCUGGUGUGCAGAAGUUGCUUUUCGGCCUCCUCAUGGCCUCGAGAAAGCUGCGCCAUUACUUUCAAGCACAUGAGAUCACAGUCGUCACUCGCUUUCCGCUGAAGAGGAUACUGCAAAAUCCAGAAGCAACGGGCAGGAUUGUCGAGUGGGCACUAGAACUGUCAAGCUUUGGUCUCAAAUUUGAGAGCACUUCAACUAUCCAAAGCAGAGCAUUGGCAGAGUUCAUAGCCGAGUGGACGCCAACCCCAGAUGAAGAAAUUUCAGAAACGAGCAUCCCCGUCAAAGAGGCAAACAAAGAAUGGCUGAGGUACUUUGAUGGUGCCUUCUCGCUGCAAGGCGCCGGUGCAGGCGUGCUGCUUGUCGCACCCACCGGAGAGCACCUGAAGUACGUAGUCCAGAUGCACUUUCCCAAAGAGCAAGCAACCAACAAUACUGCAGAGUAUGAAGGAUUGCUUGCCGGUCUCAGAAUCGCACCAGACCUUGGGAUCAAGAAGCUCAUUGUCAGGGGUGACUCACAGCUUGUCGUCCGACAAGUGAACAAGAACUACCAGAGUCCGUUGAUGGAAGCGUAUGUUGAUGAAGUGAGGAAGCUAGAAGAGCAUUUUGACGGCCUACAAAUGGAGCAUAUCCCAAGAGCUCAGAAUGAUAUUGCUGAUGGCCUGUCAAAGUGCGCCGCACUAAAGUUACCUGUGGAACCAGGGAUCUUUGUGCUUAAGUUGACUCAACCAUCCGUAACGCCCUCAACUGGACAAAGCAAGAAGAGGAAGUUGGUUUCCGGCGACUACUUUCCGGUAGAGCCCCCCGAAGCCGCCGCCAAGAAAGUCCCCAAGAUCAACACCAAGGAUGGUGAGGGGCAGUCUGCUCCGGCAAGCCUUAUGGUUUUUUCCGUUGAAGCAGACGCUCCCGACAAGUUUUGCUCCGGCAAGCUUGACGGGGAACAUCAAGCUCCGGCAGGACCACAAGUCCUUGCCGUGGAAGCGGAUGUUCCCGCAGCAGCAGAUGUGCCUUUAGUCCUUGUUGUCGAGCCACAAGCUCCAGCAUGGGCACAGCGGAUUGUCCACUUCCUUCAGACAGGAGAACUUCCCGAAGAACAAGAAGAAGCGGAAAGAGUAGCCCGGCAGUCAAGUAUGUACCAGUUUGUCGAUAGCAUACUGUACAGAAGAAGACUCAACAGUGUGAAAUUGAAGUGUAUUCGCCGGGAAGAUGGGCAAAAGCUGUUGGCGGAGAUACAUGGAGGCAUAUGUGGCCACCACAUUGGCGCAAGAGCACUUGCCGGCAAAGCUUUCCGGCAAGGUUUCUUUUGGCCGACAGCCCUCCAGGAUGCAACUGCACAAGUAACCAAGUGUGAAGCGUGCCAGUUCCACUCCAAACAGAUACACCAGCCAGCUCAAGCUCUCCAGACAAUCCCUUUAUCCUGGCCAUUUUCGGUCUGGGGGCUCGAUAUCCUCGGCCCUUUCCCCCGAGCUGUCGGGGGCUUUGAGUACUUGUACGUCGCAAUCGACAAGUUCACAAAGUGGCCGGAAGUGCAGCCAGUGAGGAAGGUGACAGCACAGUCAGUAGUCAAGUUCUUCAGGUCGAUUGUUUGCCGUUUCGGGAUCCCUAACAGGAUCAUCACCGACAACGGCACGCAAUUCACGAGCCGCACCUUCAUGCAGUACGUCCAAGACCUUGGCGCCAAGGUCUUCUUCGCUUCUGUUGCUCAUCCAAGAAGCAACGGUCAAGCAGAGAGGGCAAAUGCUGAAGUGCUGCGCGGGCUCAAGACCAGAACUUUCGACAGGCUGCACAGGUGCGGAAGAAACUGGAUCGAGGAGCUGCCGGUGGUUCUUUGGUCGAUCAGAACGACGCCAAAUAGAGCCACUGGCCAGACACCUUUCGCUCUAGUCUAUGGAGCAGAGGCAGUUCUCCCCACGGACCUCGUAUACGGAUCACCUCGAGUGCUCGCUUAUGAUGAGCUUGAGCAAGAUCAGCUGCGGCAAGACGACGCGCUGCUCCUUGAGGAAGAUCGUCUUCAGGCUGCUGUACGAGCUACUCGAUACCAGCAAGCUUUGCGCCGCUAUCAUAGCCGCAAAGUUAAAGCCAGAAGCUUCGAGGAAGGCGACCUAGUUCUUCGGCGCAUUCAGUCCGCCAAGAAUUCCAACAAGUUGACGCCGAAGUGGGAAGGCCCUUAUCGGGUGAGACGAGUCACAAGGCCUGGUGCUGUCCGCCUUGAGACCGAAGAUGGCAUUCCGGUGAGCAACUCCUGGAACAUAGAACAUCUUCGUAAGUUUUUCCCAUAAGGCACGGUUGCCGGAACCCGUUCCGGCAACCACCUUUUGUACAAGUCUUGCCGCUGUUGCAUGUAAUCCUUUGUACAAAGCCGGGCGCAGAUCCCGUGCAUAAGUAAAACCCCAUGUGCUCCGCACAGCUUGUCCAUUUCAUGCGUUAGUUCCUUUCUUGCAUGUGAUUAUCUGACACUUUGUGCAACACCUACAUCCGGUAAGCAGUAACGAGCCGAAGAGCUCCAUAUUAUUAUUAUUUUCUCUUCUUUCUUUUUCUUUUAAAGGAAAAGAAGGUUCUCUCGCACACAAGUUUGCCGAGGGGGGAAGGAGAAGAUUGUGGUAUGGGCCAGGCGUCGUUCAAGCAAAGACUUGCCUUACCGGGAAGCAAAUGACAGAAAAGCUAAGUUGCCAAAGUUUGAGCAAUCACUUUUUUUUUAAAUUUUUGAGUUAUCUUCCUCGAACGACCCUGCUUUGUAUGGAAAACCUGUGCGCGGAGGAACCAACUCAUGGCUAGUUGCGCCCUUACUUUGUUUCGAGUCCGCUCAACAGCUUAAGCGUGCUGCAUCUAGUCGCGACAAGGUUUCUUGUCGGAAGCAGCGCCGCCAGCAGGCUGCUGAAGUUCCGCACUCAGCGCUCGCGGCUCGGGCGCCUGCGCCGACAAGUUCCCUAGAAGCGUAGGGUAAAAACAUACAAAGGAAGGAACCUAGUAGAGGAAAUAACAUUACAAUUGAUAACAGAAAUAAAUUUAUAUUACAAGAUAACUUGUCGCAGCUCUAACAGACUGUUUUCAUAACAUGAUUAGCAGCGACAAGGGAAAAGAAGAAAUGGGCGGCCUAAUCUACGCGUCCGCCCUCGACUCUCUUGAUCUCGCUCACCUUGUCCACAAUGGGUGCGACAAGGGCCUUGAGUGCGUCCAGAUCGGCGUCAGGCGGCAAGGACCUGAGGACGUUGGUGAAGCUGAGGCCUGGGUUGCGGAAGGCCACCUUCAUCAGCACCUUCUGGAGAACCCCAGCGCAGAUUUUGCGCGAUUCGUCGGCCAGCUACUUCGGGAUCUUCUCCCGGAGCCGCUGGAGUGUCGUCGCCACGCCCUUGAAGAACAGGCUGAGCUUGGCGCUGGGUUGAAGACUCUCGUCGGAAGGAUACCCAAAGUCCUCCAUCCCCAGCUGCGCCAGCUCCUCGUUGAUGACUGCGGCAGUGUUCACCAGACCCUCGGUCCAGUGCUCCACUGUGUCUCUGAACGAGUUCUGGAUAACUGCAAUGCUCUCCAGCAGCGCCGCGUCAGCCUUGACCUUCUCCGACAAGGUCUUCUCCCGCUCCUUGGCGGCCUCCAGCGUCUGCGUCAGCGUGGCCAGCUUCAGCUCCAGGUCUGCUUUGGAAUCCUUGGCGGCACUGAGCUCCUUGCCCCUCUCAGCGAGAAGGCCUUGCAGCUCACCGUGGGCGGCAGCAUCCUUCUCACGCUCACGCUUGAGCGCGGCAAGCUCCUCGCCGCUCUUCCCAAUAUCGGCCUCCAGCUGCGCCACCUUCUCCUCUAGCUCUUUCUUGGCGGCCUCUGCAGUUGCCGCGGCGUCCUUUGCCUCCUUGAGCGUCCCGCCAAGUGCUCGCUCACGCUCGGCGAGCUCUUCCUCGUAGCUGUCGAGGUUGGCCUUCCGCUGCACUAGUUCACCUUCCCGCGCGGACUGCUUCUCGGCAACCAGCCUUUGUUCCUCCUCAGCCUCGGUCUUCUCAAGAAGAAAGGCCGUGCGCUCCUUGUCGACUCGCUCCCGCUCCUGCGCCACGGACCGGAGAGCUUCCUGAUUUUAGCCCCGGAGCUCCUCCGUGCGCUUUUCCAUGUCAACUCCCGCCUUCGCGACAAGCGCUUCCUGGGAAGCCAGCUUGGCUUGCCGGGUGCCGUAGAGUGACAGCAGCUUCCGCAGCAGCUGCUCCUCCUCAGGCUUGCCGCUGCUGCUGCCGGGCGCGUCAACCAAUGACAGUCCAGCAAAGGCGAGAACCUCCCCGUCAAAAGUCUCCCCCUCGACCGGCGCCCUGGAGCUCGACGCCCAGGGUAGCUUGAUGAAGAUAUUGUCACCGGCCUGCAAGUAGGCGCCGGGCUGGGGCUCCUCGGAGCUCGGCUCCGCAGAAGCGGCAAAGGGUUCGGCGGUCGGUGCAGCGCCCGGCGCUCCUGCGGCCUUAGGGUCGUCACUGCGAUCGCCCGACCCCUCGCCGGCUUCCGCAGCAGCAGCCCCGGCGGCCUCCUCGCCGGCGGUCUCAUCAGCACCGGCACCCUCCUCGUCGGCGCCCUCUGUCUCCAUUGGCUCAGCCGUAGAUGGGUCUGAAGAACGAAGAAGGGAGGAAAAUCAAUCAAAAAUCCAAGAAAGGAAAAACGGAAGAAGCAGAACCCAAGGGAAAGUUUUUGGGCAAGUGGAUUACCUGCGCCAAGAUCUUCAGUUGCGGCCUCGGUCGCCGCAGGAUCAGCAGUGCCGUCCCUUGCCGGAGAGUCCCCCCUUGCCGGAGAGCGCUCCCUUGCCGGGGACUCUUCCCUUGGCGGCGCAGUCGAAGCAGGUGGCACUUCGGGACCGGCCUCCGGGCGCUCCUGAUGAGGCUGCUCUGCUCCUGCACAAGUCAACAAGCAAGAUAUCAACAAAGGAAAAAGCACUCAAGCGCGCCCGGCAGUAGAAGGCUAAACUAUGAACUUACGCUGGGGGCUGCGCUGGGGGCUGCUCUGAGGGGUAAUUGCCGGGUCCGUCAAGGUGGUCUCGGGCCCACCUCCUGCUGGCACGAUGGGGUCAUCCUCGAUGACGAUCACCGCAGCCUUGGCCCUCUUCACCGCUCUCUAGGCCAGUGUUCUGAAAAGAAAGGAGUCCAGAUUGGAGCAAGUCAGAUACAAGAUAUAAACAGCAAGAUUGAAGGAUUAUAAGAGCACCAAAGAAACUCACUCUUCUUCCUCCUCGUCGGAGCUGAGCGCGGAAAGAUCAAAGGCCGGCCCUCCUCUGGUGCGGCGAGGUGGAGGAGUAGGAUCCCCUGCCCGCUUGGCGGGGGCAGUGGCGGUGGCCCGGGAAGAUCCCGCUCCAGUUGCCGCUGCUGCAUGAGGCGCUCCCGCGGCAACAUUGCUUGCCGCGGUAGAGCGCGUCGCGCGGCUCGGUGGCUGUGGAGCCGGCUGCCGCCCUGCUCUGUCCCCGGCCCUGCGAAGGCGCCUCCUUGGCGGGGCCGGGGGCUCCGCCUGCGGCAAGUUCUCUGAAGGCUCAGCCUCCUCCUCGCCGGCCUCGCUCGGCUCGGCUUCGGAACAGGUAGGCUCCUCCUCGCCCAUGAACUCCGCGCGUUUGGCAAGGUUUGCCGCCUCCGCAGCCUCCGCCUCCUCCACAGUAAACCCAAACACACCCGCAGCAGCUGCGGCCGCAGCCUCUUCCGCCCUAGUAGCGAUGAGCUGCAGCUCCUUGUCGGUGGUGUCACGGGUGAGGCUCUUCUGCUCGUCAGCGCGGACCGGCACUUCCUCCAAGGUGUCGAAGAACGCUCGCACAACGUCAUCCGCAGGCUCUUGCCAAGUUGGGACGAUGCCCUGUGAAUCGCACAACGGCAUCAUGGCGCGGAUCCGGUCAAGCGAAGAGUUAUUGCACAAAGGAACUACGCCCCUCGGCAGUGUGAAUGGGUGCUGGGGGUCGCGUUUGAAUAAUUCCAAGAGCAUUGCGUCCAACUCCAAGACGGUGAAGUUGUAGUUGAGGCCCGGCCGCAGCCUCAUGAUGUCCGCCGAAUUCUUAAAUUCCCAGGCGGGCCUCCCCCUCUCCUGUAGGGGGGCAAUGCGGAGGCGGAGGAAAUCUGCCCCGACAGCACCUACGGUGAGCCCGGCAAGCCUGAGGCGAAGAAUCCUAGUGAUGGCGAUCUUCAGCCUCUCGUCUUCCGGGGCCACGUUGCUCCAGUCAUUGCCGCGCACUAUUGGAGUUUGGCGCACGGCGGUGAAGGGCUGCGGAUUCUCCUCAACGAUCCAGCACCACUCCGCUCUCCACUCCUCCCACUUGCUGCGGAGCUCACCCUCCAAGUACGCCUCUUUCUUGCCGACUCUCGAGACCCAGGCAAUCCCUCCGGCAAGCGGCUCUCCUCUCUCUACCCGAGGUAUGAAGAAGUGGUGAAAAAGGGCAACACUAGGGUGGACUCCGACAAAGUUUUCACACAAGUGUGCGAAAACUGUCAUGGUCAGGACAGCAUUGGGGGUGAAGUCAAGGAGGCGGAAGCCAUAUGUGUUCAUAAUGUCACAAAAGAACUCCGAGAAGGGCGGGCAGAGCCCGCAAUAGAAGAAUAGCGGGAAGAACGGGUACCCAUUUGAAGCCAACUCCGAGGCAGCGGCCGGGAGUACCCUCGUGCGCGGAUGCGCACGCGUCUCCGUCGCCCAAAAGAGGUAGAAGUACUCCCUCAGCUCCUGCACGCCGAGCUGGGGGGUGACGAUCGCCCGCUCCUUCCGCAGCGCCGCGAGCCGCUGCGCCUCGGCCGACUUCACACCCUUUCCCUUGUCGGCUUUCGGGGCCAUGGCAGAGGUGGCGGGGAAGGUCGACGGCGUGGUGAUGCUGGUGGCAAUGGGGGGGGGCGGAGCGCUGCUCUCUCGGCCACGAGAAGAAGGGGGGAGCGGCGGAGUUUGUGAAGAAGGAGUAGCAGCAACCAGCGAGGGGGAACGAACUGCCUCUGUUUCCUUUGUUUAUAAAGAGGGACGGGGCGGACGUUUCGGCCUUCCAAAUAAACAACCACCCAUGAUCUCUCCCACGAUGCCGCAUUCAACGCGUGCCGUUAUGGGAGAGUGCGGUGGAUACGGAACAAGAUUUGGCGUGGCCCAGCCCGCGUGUGCCCGUGCCCUGUCUUGGGCCUGGCCCAACAGCGCUCGACACCGUGUCUGGCCCAGGCCCGGGGGCUCCUGUCGGUGUACUAGAAUAGGGGUACCCUAGUACCCCGAACUUGUGCACGGGCAGUUGCAGCACCCCGCGGCAAAGGCUUGCCGGGCGAUCGACAAGAUCCCCCAAGGUUCCCUUGGAUCCAUCCAAGAACAAAGUAUUUAAGCUAAGGAGACAAGACCCCGGCAAGAGGAGCUUGCCGGGAAGGCCAACCAAGGCGCUCCAAGGAACUUGCCGCGACGCGCCACGCGCUCCGGCAAGGCAACAAGGCCCCGGCAAGAGGAGCUUGCCGGGAAGACUAAAUAAGGUACCCCGAGGCCCGGAGAGCGACGAGCUUCUGGACCCGGCGAGAUAACAACAGCGGCAAGGCGCUUGUCGCGGCAGGCGGCCACUCUGCGCCCCCGCUCCAGCGCAUCCACCAACAUGUCGCUCUGGGGGCCUCUCCGGGCGCGCGUAGCGGGAGGCUGUGCAGCCAGCGGUGCGCAGUGGCAUGCGAAGCUGACAAGAUCGCCAUCGUGGCGAAUGGUGGCGCCCCUAACGGUCCUUUUCUGCACUGUUCGGGCGACUCAGACGGGCAUUUAAUGCCCUUGUCCCCUGCCGUCAGGGUUAGGUAGGGUGUACUGUACAAGCAACUGUAUCAACUACCUCGCUUUUUACGUUUUUACCCUCCUCUGCGUUGCCACCUGUCGGUGACCCCUUUAGCGUAUAAAAGGAGGCCCAUGCGCAACGUAGAGAGGGUUCGGAGCCUCGGACAGUUUGCUUCGAUUCAUUCGUAGCCCAGAAAACAUCACACUCUCUCGCUCGAGAGCAAGAACACCAGAUAAUACAACCAGACAAGCAGCAGUAGGAGUGUUAUCUCUCCGGAGAGCUCCGAAGCUGGGUAAACUGCUCGUGUGCCUCGCCUCGAUCUGCUCUUUGUGCGACCUCCGCCCCCCGCCGAACCGAAAGGGGCCCGGUCCGCCGGCCCCAUAGGUGUUCGUGGAUCAGUUCUCCCCGACAUUGAUGUGCGUAGCACUCUUAUGCCAAAUGUUCAAUUUAAUUUUUCGGAUUUUUGUGUUGUGAUAUAUGUACUAUAUGCUUUGUUAAUAGAAGAUAAAGUGUGAACUCUUUUGGUAAGAUAAAAUAGCAGAUACUUUAUCUUGCAACUAAGAGUUUUAGUAAAUAUGUAAGAAAAAAAUUAUUACCUCUAUUUGUAAGGCGAUUAUAUUUAAUACAAUUCAAUGUUUCUUCUUGGCUUAGGGAGUUCUCGUGAUAGGAAUUGCUUACCUGAACCCUCAUUACAUGCACAUCGAUAUGUCAUCAAUGUUAUCCCCCACACAACAUGUUGAGAGAAAUUAAGGGAUAUAAGAGCAAGUUGCAUACCUGGACCGGGUUUGUGCAUGUGUCCACGCUCGCUCCCUAUAACACCACGGUGACAGAGAUUGCAUGCGUGUUUCAUCCAGUAAUUGAUCUGAAAAUCUGCCCGAACCUGUUCAAAAGUAGCCACAACCUCUCAAUCACGUUGGCCUCUCCUGGCUGAACCCUGGGACACAAGUGACUGCGAUGCCAUCCAGCCGUUCGUCUCCAAACAUGUUCAUAAUACACGAUGGCGCAAGCAGCGAACGAUGGCCGCCUCGGCCAUGCAGCGGAGCAUACAGAUUUACUGUACUUGUGCAUCAUCGCAUUGAACCAUCGCAAUGCGUCGACGGAUUUUUCUUGGUGACACUGUCGGCCGGGCUCGGAGACAUGUUACACAACUUUGUGUUUGGGAGGGUUCGCCAGCUUCGGUUUCUUCAAUCGAACGAAAGACAAUAUUGGAGGAUGCGUUGUCGAUGAAGUUAAAUCUUUGGCCAAGUUGUCGUGGCCGGUGCCAGAGUACAUGCGGAUGAAGUACAUCCUGAGGCAUCAAUCUGGAAUUGGAAAACAAUCGGCUUGUCGGUGGGUCGGCACUCACAAGAAAAUGAAUGAGAACUUUGAAAAAUCAAAUAACUUUUUAGAUAUAGUGCAACUUACUUCCUUUCAAAAGAAAUUAAAUGCAGCAGUUGGAAAUAUCAAAAACCCAUAUAGUAUAAUAUGAUGAAACACAUGCACUCCUAAAAACUACUGCCCCUGUUGUCUAUGGACCGCACUAAUGUAUUUUACGUAAUAGUAUUAGUAUGUACAGUAUGAUGGAAAUAUUGUUUCAACUCUUGUUUCAUACAAGAGAAAAAUCUAUUUUGACAUGUAGGUAUAUAAAAUACAAUAUCAAAGCUGAGCGCUAGUGGUAGUGGUUUCGUACCUUGCUAUACCAACGCGAACUUGCAAAUUUUCCUUCCAACUUAAUUUGUUGUUGGCGUUGAAGUUUACUUGAACAAAAAAAAACUUGCCCAAUACUUGAGCAAGAACUGCAAUGUAAUUAAAGGAUUCUCUUAUGUGAACCUGUUGGUGCAGGUCCCGGGCAACCACGCUCAUGCGCUGAGAGCGCUCCCGGCGUGCAGGGCAUGCGCAGGCUGAUCCAAUGCUAGUUUGCAUGCUUGGUGGAUUACUUUGCCCAUGUUACUUUUGGCCGAUGGCAACAACGUAUUGAUCUAGAUCCAACUCCUUAAAAAACCAAUCUCUACCGGCUGGACGUACACGUACCAAUAGCAGCUCGACUGAUCUUUCAUGCCGGCUAGAAACGCACACAUUGCAUGCACAUGAGAACACUCGGCGAUUCUACAUAAUUGCUUGGGACCCGCGGGAAAAUAAUAAAUAUGGCUCAAGCCUGAGUAGAUGGGAUUGGAUGACGAGCUUGAGCUGAUCUCUAAACCUGUUCCUAGCGGGUGGAGCCCGAGAGUAAAUCUUUGGGAUGUCCAACAUAAGAUGAGACUGCUCAUGGUGUAAGGAAGAUCGCAUCAAGCUGCCGAUCACCGCCGGGGAUUGCAUCCAAACGGGAUAGACCAUCAAUACAAAAAUAGGGUGUGUUUACAUUGGAGAAAAUAUGUUUUGGGGUUUUUUUUGGGGGGGUNNNNNNNNNNNNNNNNNNNNNNNNNNNNNNNNNNNNNNNNNNNNNNNNNNNNNNNNNNNNNNNNNNNNNNNNNNNNNNNNNNNNNNNNNNNNNNNNNNNNNNNNNNNNNNNNNNNNNNNNNNNNNNNNNNNNNNNNNNNNNNNNNNNNNNNNNNNNNNNNNNNNNNNNNNNNNNNNNNNNNNNNNNNNNNNNNNNNNNNNNNNNNNNNNNNNNNNNNNNNNNNNNNNNNNNNNNNNNNNNNNNNNNNNNNNNNNNNNNNNNNNNNNNNNNNNNNNNNNNNNNNNNNNNNNNNNNNNNNNNNNNNNNNUUUUAUCUGGGCAAGGUAACUUAUUAAGGGCAUUCAUGGGUAAUUUUUAAUCUUUUUAAUUCAAUGGUUGUGCUCGUCUAAUCUGUUUAAAUUGAUGGCCAGAUGUUUCUAAUUAUUAUGGGAUUUUCUAGCUUAAUUCUCUUUUUUCUAGUUACCCUGUAAAGCACUUUUUAUAUAUAAAUAGAUAAGCUCUGAUAAACUUUCUACAAUGUCGUAUUUUUUCCAUAAUUUUUGGGGUUAGGGAAGUAUGAUGAAUCUUGCAUUCUUUACAGACUGUAAUGUUUUGGCAGAUUGUUGUUAUGUUUGCAUUAUUUGCAUAUGUUUGCUUGUUUAAUGAUUCUAUUUGAGGAUAGGAGUAUUAAAUCUGCAGAGGCAUUUAGUAUUCAAUGCUAAAUAAUAUUUUUAGUCAUUUGCUACAGUAGAGAAUGAUAAUGUUAUUACAUUGAUUUAUACUAACUUAUCUCACGAGUUCUUGUUGAGUUUUGUGUGGAUGAAGUUUUUGCGAAUUAGGAAAAUCGUGAUAUAAGAAAAAUUAAGGAGACACAAAAGCUCAAUCUUGGGGAUGCCCAAGGCAUCCCAAGAUAAUACUCCAAGAAGUCUCAAGCAUCUAAGCUGGGGAUGCCUCGAUAGGCAUCCCACCUUUCUUGUUCGAAAAAUACCAGUUAGUAUCGGUUGAGCCUAAGUUUUUGCUUCUUCACAUGAGUUGUGAUAUUCUUAGAAUAUCAUUUUAUUUUUAUUUUUCUUGUUGUUUUAAUAAAAUACUUAGAUCUGAAAGUUUUUAAAUAAAAUAGAGUCCUCAAAUAGUUGCGAGGAGGCUAAGUAAGCAGCACUCACAUCCUGUAAACGGAGCACUUUUCUAUGGAAUUGCUCUAGUGCUUUUCACUUAUAUCCUAUGAGUAAUUGUUGAAUGAAUUGAAUAUCAUUAAAUUGAAAUUAUAUGUUCAUAUCAUGCCUAGUGGUAGCUUCACAUUGGGUUUAGAAAGUGAAAUCUUUUGAAGCUUAAUAAUCACAAUAUUGGUCAUACAAGCAAUUCACGAAUAAUUAGUACAAGGAAGAGAACUUUCACAUGCAAAUACACUAUCUUGCAAAACUUUUGUGAUUGUGAGCCCCCAUCAAAAUAUUAUAUGCCAAAAUUGUUGACGUUGGACAAGGAAGACAACAUAAUGAUUUAUGUUUGUUCAUAUUCACAUAUAAGUUAUAUUGUCAUAGAUCUUUCAACAUAUGGUGCUUGCCCCCUAUCUUUGCUAGUCAAAAAUUCCGCACCAAGUAGAGAUACUACUUGUGCAUCCAAAAACCAUUAAACCUAAAUCUUGUUUUGAGGGUCCACCACACCUACCUAUGUAUUGAGCAAGAUCCUUCAAGUAAGUUUUCAUCGGUGCAAUAAGGCAAUAAAAAUUGCUUCUAGAAGUGUUAGAUCAUUUAGUGUCAGAGAAAAUUGAGCAUUGUAUGAACUUGUGAUGGCAAAGAAUAAAAGUGACAGACUGCAUAAUAAAGGUUGCUAUCAUAAGGGGCAAUAUAACGUGAUGUUAUUUUGCACUAAGGGGUUGAGCAUACAAACAAAUAAGUGCAUGGCAACCUCUGCUUCCCUCUGCGAAGGGCCUAUCUUUUACUUUUAUGUAUUUACUUUCAUGCAAGAGUCAAAGUUUUUCUCUCUAUUCCUUUUUAUUUUUAUCCUUGGGCAAGCAUCGUGUGGUGAUGAAAGAUCUAGGCACAUAUAUCCAGUUGGAUAUAGGUAGCAUGGGUUAUUAUUGUUGACCUCAUCCAAAGAUUAAUACGUUGGGAGGAAAAGUUAUAAGCCCCUAUCUUUCUAUGUGUCUGGUUGAAACGUUUUGCUCAUGUGUAUACGGUGAGUGUUAGCAAUCAUAGAAGACUAUAUGAUGGUUGAGCAUGUGGAGCUCUUACUUAGACUCUGUUGAAUAGUCCAACUGCAAUUGCUUGGUGACUGAGAACAUAGGUUGUUGAGUUUCAAGAGAAUUCAUUGUUUGAACCUUAACAUGUGAAUUUGUUGCUAAUAUAACAUGAGAAGUUUAAUAAGAAAGAAUUGAUGUUAUGAUGCUAGGAAAAGUGAUUGAAAUUAUCAUUGAUCAAACUUCUGCACUUUGCUAGCAUUCACACUUCAUAAAUGAUUUCUUUUAUCAUUUACCUACUCGACGACGAGUACGAAUUAAGCUUGGGGAUGCUGAUACGUCUCCAACGUAUCUAUAAUUUAUGAAGUAUUCAUGCUAAUAUAUUAUCAUUCUUGGAUAUUUUACAAUCAUUUUAUAGCAACUUUAUAUCAUUUUUUGGUACUAACCUAUUGAACCAGUGUCUAGUGUCGGUUGUUGUUUUUUGCUUGUUUUUUACAUCGCAGGAAAUUGUUGGGUAACGCGGUAAUUUCAAAAAAUAUCCUACGAUCGCACAAGAUCUAUCUAGGUGAUGCAUAGCAACCAGAGGGGAGAGUGUGUCCAUGUACCCUCGUAGACCGAAAGCGGAAGCGUUUCAAUAACGCGGUUGAUGUAGUCGAACUUCUUGGCGAUCCAACCGAUCCAAGUACCGAACGUAUGGCACCUCCGCAUUUAGCACACGUUCAUCACGAUGACGUCCAUCGUGCUCAUGAUCCAGUUGAGGAUGAGGGUGAGUUCCGUCAGCACGACGGUGUGGCGACGGUGAUGAUGAUGUUACCGGCGCAGGGCUUCGCCUAAGCUCUACGAUGGUAUGAUCGAGGUGUGUAACUAUGGAGGGGGCACCGCACACGGUUAAGAGAAACUUAUGUGUCUUUGGGGUGCCCCCUGCCCCCGUACAUAAAGUAGGGAGGGAGAGAGGCCGCCCCCUUAGGGGCGCGCCAAGUGUAUGGAGUCGUACUAGGACUUCCAAGUAAUAGUAGGAAUCCUUUCCCUUUUAGGAGUAGGAGACAAGGAAGGAGAGAGGGAGUAGGAAAGGGCAAGGGGGCGCCGCCCCCUCCCCUAGUCCAAUUCGGACCCAUAGGGGGGGGGGCGCGCGCCACCUCCCCUUGGCAUGCCUCCUCUUUUUCCCGUAUGGCCCAAUAAGGUGCAUUACUUCUCCCGGUGAAUUCACGUAACUCCCCGGUACUCGAAAAAAUACCCAAAUCACUCGGAACCUUUCCGAUGUCCGAAUAUAGCCUUAGAAUAUAUCGAUCUUUACGUCUCGACCAUUUCGAGACUCCUUGUCACGUCUGUGAUCUCAUCCGGGACUCUGAACAAACUUCGGUAAGCAAAACACAUAACUCAUAAUACAAAUUGUCAUCGAACGUUAAGCGUGCGGACUCUACGGUUUCGAGAACUAUGUAGACAUGAUGGAGACACAUCCCCGAUCAAUAACGAAUAGCAGAACCUGGAUGCUCAUAUUGGCUCCUACAUAUUCUACGAAGACCUUUAUCGGUCAAACGGCAUAACAACAUAUGUUGUUCCCUUUGUCAUCGGUAUGUUACUUGCGUGAGAAUCGAUCGUCAGUAUCAUCAUACCUAGUUAAAUCUCAUUACCGUCAAGUCUCUUUACUCGUUCCGUAAUACUUCAUCCCACAACUAACUCAUUAGUCACAAUUCUUGCAAGGCUUAUAGUGAUGAGUAUUACCGAGUGGGCCCAGAGAUACCUCUCCGAAACAUGGAGUGACAAAUCCUAAUCUCCAUCUAUGCCAACCCAACAAACACCUUCGGAGACACCUGUAGAGCAGCUUUAUAAUCACCCUUUUACGUUGUGACAUUUGGUAGCACACAAAGUGUUCCUCCGGUAUUCGGGAGUUGCAUAAUCUCAUAGUCUGAGGAACAUGUAUAUGUCAUGAAAAGAGCAGCAGCAAUGAAACUGUAACAAUCAUAAUUCUAAGCUAACGGAUGGGUCAUGUCCAUCACAUCAUUCUCCUAAUGAUGUGAUCCCGUUCAUCAAAUGACAACACAUGUUUAUGGUUAGGAAACAUAACCAUCUUUGAUUAAUGAGCUAGUCAAGUAGAGGCAUACUAGGGACAAUAUGUUUUGUCUAUGUAUUCACACAUGUACUAAGUUUUUAGUUAAUACAAUUUUAGCAUGAAUAAUAAACAUUUAUCAUGAAAUAAGGAAAUAAAUAAUAACUUUAUUAUUGCCUCUAGGACAUAUUUCCUUCAGAAAUCAAUAUCAAACGGAGUCCAAGCACCGCGUAACUUUUUGGAGAAUUUUUAUGGACCAGAAGACCACCAGUGGGCCAAGGAAGCACCUGGGGGGCUGCUCGAGGGGAACAACACCCAUCAGGGUGCGCCACGAGGCCCAGUUGUGCCCUGGUGGGUGCGGGUGCCCCCUGGACUGCAUCUUUACCCUAUAAAAUCCCAAAUAUUCCAAAACCCUUCGGGGUAGCCCUAGAUCAGAAGUUCCGCUGCUGCAAGGCCUCUAUAUCCACGAGAUCCAAUCUAGACCCCAUUAUGGCACCCUGCUGGAGGGGGAAUCAUCACCGGUGGCCAUCUUCAUCAUCCCGGCAUCCACCACGAUGAGGAGGGAGUAGUCCACCCUCGGGGCUGAGGGUUUGUACCAAUAGCUAUGUGUUUAAUAUCUAUCUCUCGUGUUCUUGAGAUGUCAUGUCUUGAUGUAUCGCGGGCUUUGUUAACAUAGUCGGAUCAUAUGAUGUUUGCCCCUCUCUAUCUUGUUGUGAUGAAUUGAGUUUUUCCCUUUGAGAUUUCGUUGUUAUCGGAUUGAAUACUUUUAUGGAUUUGAGAACACUUAAUAUAUGUAUUGCAAUUGAAUACCCGUGGUGACAAUGGGGUAUCAUAUUGAUUCACUUGAUAUAUGUUUUGGCACUCAACUCGCGGAUUCCCAGUGACAUUGGGGUAAUCUAUGCAUAGGGUUCAUGCACGUUUCUGUCUUUGUUUCCCCGGUAGAAAUCUUAGGGCACUCUUUGAAGUUCUUUGUGUUGGAUUGAGUAUUAUGAAUAUGAAUUUGCUUUGGUGUUAUUUUAGUACGAACUCUAGGGUAGACCGAACCGAAAGAAUAGCUUUGUGUUAUUUUAGUAUGAACUCUUGAAUAGAUCGAACGGAAAGAAUAGCUUUGAGGUGGUUUCUUACCCUACAAACAAUUUAUUCUUGUGUUCUCCGCUAGAUAGGAACUUUAGAGUGAGUCUUCAUCACACUUUGAGGGAUGGUUAUAUGAUCCAACUAUGUUAGCACUAUUGAGAGAUUGCACUAGCGAAAGUAUGCACCCUAGGCCUCAUUUUCCAUCAUUGCAAUACCGUUUUUGUGCCCGUUUACUAUUUGCUACCUUGCUGUUUUUAUUUAUUCAGAUUAUAAAAAUAUAUUUCUACCAUCCAUAUUACACUUUUAUCACCAUCUCUUUGCCGAACUAGUGCACCUAUACAAUUUGCCAUUGUAUUGGGUGUGUUGGGGACACAAGAGAUAUCUUUUAUUUGGUUGCAGGAUCAUUUGAGAGAGACCAUCAUCAUCCUACAACUCUCACGGAUUGAUAAACCUUAGGUCAUCCACUCGAGGGAAAAUUGCUACUGUCCUACAAAACUCUACGCUUGGAGGCCCAACACGUGUCUACAAGAAUAAAGUUGCGUAGUAGACAUUACUCACCGACAAGUUUGAAAUCGUAAUUGAGCUCUUUGAUGGCCCAAUAUGCCUUAUGUUCUAGUUCGAGAGGUAAGUGACAUGCUUUUCCAUAAACCAUUAUACGGAGACAUACCCAAAGGAUUCUUAUAUGCAGUUCUAUAGGCCCAUAAUGCAUCAUCAAGUUUCUUGGACCAAUUCUUCCUAGAUCUAUUAACAGUAUUUUGCAAGAUCAAUUUAAUCUCUCUAUUACUCAAUUCUACUUAACCACUAGACUGAGGAUGGUAUGGAGAUGCAAUUAUAUGAUUAACAUCAUACUUUGCAAGCAUUUUACGAAAAGCACCAUGAAUAAAAUGUGAACCACCAUCAGUCAUUAAGUAUCUAGGGACUCCAAACCUCGGAAAAAUAACUUAUUUAAGCAUCUUAGUAGGAGUGUUAUGAUCAGGACUACUAGUUGGAAUAGCUUCUACCCACUUAGUAACGUAAUCAACAACAACUAAGAUAUGUGUAUACCCAUUAGAGGAAGGAAAAGGUCCCAUAUAAUCAAAGCCCCAAACAUCAAAUGGUUCAAUAACAAGUGAAUAGUUCAUAGGCAUUUAUUGACAUCUACUAAUAUUACCAAUUCUUUGACAUUCAUCGCAAGACAAGACAAACUUAUGGGCAUCUUUGAAAAGAGUAGGCCAAUAAAAACCCGAUUGCAAUACCUUAUGUGCAGUUCUAUCUCCAGCGUGGUGUCCUUCGUAAGCCUCAGAGUGACACUUUCGUAGGAUCUGUUCAUGUUCAUGCUCAGGUACACAAUGUCUAAUAACACCAUCUACUCCUUCUUUAUGAAGGUGUGGGCCAUCCCAAAAGUAAUGUAUUAAAUCAUAGAAAAACUUUUUCUUUUGCUAGUAUGUGAAACUAGGUGGUAUAAAUUUAGCAACAAUGUAAUUAGCAUAAUCAGCAUACCAUGGAGCAGUACGAGAAGCAUUUAUGAUAGAUAAUUGUUAAUCAGGAAAGAUAUUAUCAAUAGGUAGUGGGUCAUCAAGAACAUUUUCUAACCUAGACAAGUUAUCUGCUACGUGGUUCUCAGCUCCCUUUCUAUCAAUAAUAUGCAAAUCUAAUUCUUGUAGCAGGAGAACCCAUCUAAUAAGUCUAGGUUUAGCAUCUUUCUUUUCCAUAAGAUAUUUAAUAGGAGCAUGAUCAGUGUGAACAGUUACUUUGAAAUCAACAAUAUAAGGUCUGAACUUAUCACAAGCAAAUACAACUGCUAAAAAUUCUUUUUAAGUAGCAGCAUAAUUUCUCUGGGCACUGUCUAGAGUUUUACUAGCAUAUUGGAUAACAUUUAAUUUUUAUCAACUCUUUGCCCUAGAACAACACCUACAGCAUAAUCACUAGCAUCACACACAAUUUCAAACGGUAAAUUCCAAUCAGGUGGCUGAACAAUAGGUGCAGAAAUCAAGGCUUUCUUAAGUACUUCAAAUGCUUCUACACAAUCAUCAUCAAAGACCAAAGGGAGAUCUUUUUGCAAGAGAUUAGUCAAGAGGCCUAGAAAUUUUAGAGAAGUCUUUAAUAAACCUCCUACAAAAACCAGCAUGACCAAUGAAACUUCUUAUACCUUUGAUAUCUUUAGGACACGACAUCUUAGCAUCUACUUUAUCUUUAUCAACUUCAAUACCUCUUUCAAAAAUUUUAUGCCACAAGACAAUACCUUCAUUAACCAUAAAGUGGCACUUCUCCCAAUUCAAGACAAGAUUAGUUUCUUCGCAUCUCUGCUAAACUCGAUCCAGGUUGCUUAAGCAAUCAUCAAAAGAAGUUCCAUAAACGAAGAAAUCAUCCAUGAAAACCUCAACAAUAUUUUCAUAAAAGUCAGAGAAUAUAACAGUCAUACAUCUUUGAAAGGUAGCAGGUGCAUUGCAUAAACCAAAAGGCAUACGUCUAUAAGAAAAAGUACCAAAAGGGCAAGUAAAAGUGGUCUUUUCCUAAUCCUCUUGUGACACAUGUAUUUGAGAGAAACCAGAAUAACCAUCUAAAAAGCAAAAUGUGUAUGUUUGGAUAACAUCUCUAGCAUUUGAUCAAUAAAAGGGUGAGGGUAAUGAUCUUUUCUAGUAGCUUUAUUUAAUUUGCGGAAAUCAAUUACCAUUCUAUAACCUGUAACAAUUCUUUGUGGGAUCAGUUCAUCCUUAUCAUUAGGAACAGCAGUCAUACCUCCCUUCUUAGGGACACAAUGCACAUGACUUACCCACUGACUAUCAGCAACAUGAUAAAUUAUACCUGCCUCCAGAAGCUUUAGUAUUUCACUUCCUACCACUUCUUUCAUCUUAGGAUUUAACCGUCGUUGAUGAUCAACAACUGGUUUAGCAUCGUUAUCCAGUUUUAUUUUGUGUUGCAUAGAGUGGGACUAAUGCCCUUAAGAUAAUCAAGAGUAUAUCCAAUAGCAGCACGGUGCUUCUUUAGAGUUUUCAAUAAUUUCUCUUCUUCAUGCUCUGAAAGGUUAGCACUAAUAAUAAUAAGAUAUAUCUUCUUUUCAUCAAGAUAAGCAUAUUUAAGAGUAUCAGGUAAUUUUUUAUGCUCAAACACAUGAUCACCCUUGGGUGGAGGAGGAUCCCCUAGGAUUUCAACAGGCAAGUUGUGUUUCAAAAUAGGUCCCUAUUUAAAGAAUACUUUAUCUAUUUCCCUUCUUUCAUUCAUAAACAUAUCAUUUUCAUGGUCUAGCAAAUAUUGUUCUAAAGGAUCAUUAGGAGGCACGACAAUACAAGCAAGACCAACAAUUUCAUCUUUACUAGGCAAUUCUUUAUCAUGGGGUUGUCUACGAAAUUUAGCAAAAUUAAAGUCAUGAGACAUAUCCCCUAAGCCAACAGUAACAAUAUCUUUUUUGUAGUCUAUCUUAGCAUUAACAGUAUUCAAGAAGGGUCUACCAAAUAUAAUGGGACAACAGUCAUCUUGUGGGGAACCAAGAACAAGAAAAUUAGUAGGAUAUUUAAUUUUCCCACAUAAGACUUCAACAUCUCUAACAAUCCCAAUUGGUGAAAUAGUGUCUCUAUUGGCAAGCUUAAUAGUAACAUCAAUGCCUUCUAUUUCAGUAGGUGCAAUAUCAUGCAUAAUUUAUUUGUAUAAGGAAUGAGGUAUUGCACUCACACUAGUACACAUAUCACAUAAGUCAUGAUAAAAAUUAUCUCCUAUUUUAACACAAACAACAGGCAUGCCAACAACAGGUCUAUGUUUAUUUUUAGUAUCGGGUCUAGCAAUUCUAGCAGCUUCAUCACAAAAAUAAAUAAGAUGUCCAUCAAUAUUAUCAACCAAGAGAUCUUUAACCAUAGAAAUACUAGGUUCAAAUUUAAUUUGUUCAGGAGGUGUAGGUGCUCUAGCAUUACUCUUACGAACCAUAGUUGAAGCUUUAGCAUGAUCCUUUAUUCUAACAGGGAAAGGUGGUUUCUCAAUUAAAGCGGUAGGAACAAUAACAUUAUAAGUAAUAGUUUUUUCUUCAAAUUUAAUUCUAAUACCUUUACUUCAAUGGGAGGAUGAUAUUUAAACCACUUAUCCUUAGGGAGAUCAACUUGAGUAGCAAAAGAUUCAUAGAAAGAAGCUACUAUCUCAGAGUCAAGUCCAUAUUUAGUGCUAAAUUCAUGAAAAGCAUCGGUAUCCAUAAAAGAUUUAACACAAUCAAACUUAGGGGUUAUACCUGAAUCCUUACCUUCGUCGAGUUCCCAAUCUUUAGAGUUGCAUUUAAUUCUUUCCAAUAAAUCCCAUUUGAAUUUAAUAGUCUUCAUCAUAAAAGAACCAGUACAAGAAGUAUCGAGCAUGGAGCGAUCAUUAUGAGAAAGCCGAGCAUAAUUUUUUUGAAUAAUAAUUUCUCUUGAGAGCUCAUGAUUGGGGCUUGAAUAUAACAUUGACUUAAGCCUCCCCCAAGCUUGAGCGAUACUUUCUCCUUCACGAGGACAAAAUUAUAUAUAUAAUUACGAUAACUACGAACCAGAUGCAUAGGAUAAAACUUCUGAUGAAAUUCCAAUUUCAAUUGGUUGUAGUUCCAUGAUCCAAUAUCAUCACAUAGCCUAAACCAUGCCAAUGCCUUUCCCUUCAAAACUAAAGGGAAUACCUUCUUCUUCACGACAUCCUCGGACAUACCUGCAAGUUUAAAUAAUCCACAAACUUCAUCCACAUAGAUUAGCUGCAUAUCGGGAUGUAAUGUUCCAUCUCCUAUAUAAGGAUUAGCUAGCAGUUUCUCUAUCAUACCCGAAGGAAUUUCAAAGCAAAUAUAUUUAGUAGGUUCAGUAGGUUGAGAAGCAACUCUUUGCACUUCUGGUCGGGGUGAAGAUACCCCGAACAAGCCCAUCAAAGGAUUAUUUUCGAUAGUAACAAGUGACAGUAAAUUUCAGCAUACUAUACAAAUGUUUCCUUACCAAAUUCCACCUACCAAAGGCGCCUCACUCCCCAGCAACGGUGCCAGAAAAGAGUCUUGAUGAACCACAAGUAUAGGGAUCUAUCGUAGUCCUUUAGAUAAGUAAGAGUGUUGAACCCAACGAGGAGCAGAAGGAAAUGACAAGCGGUUUUCAGUAAGGUAUUCUCUGCAAGCACUGAAAUUAUCGGUUACAGAUAGUUUUGUGAUAAGGUAAUUCAUAAUCGGUAAUAAGUAACAAUAGUAACCAAGGUGCAGCAAGGUGGCCCAAUCCUUUUUGUAGCAAAGGACAAGCCUGGACAAACUCUUAUAUAAAGCAAACAGCUCCCGAGGACACAUGGGAAUUAUUGUCAAGCUAGUUUUCAUCAUGCUCAUAUGAUUCGCUUUCGUUACUUUGAUAAUUUGAUAUGUGGGUGGACUGGUGCUUGGUUACUUCCCUUCCUUGGACAAGCAUCCCACUUAUGAUUAACCCCUCUCGCAAGCAUCUGCAACUAUGAAAGAAGAAUUAAGGUAAACCUGACCAUAGCAUGGAACAUAUGGAUCCAAAUCAGCCCCUUACGAAGCAACGCAUAAACUAGGGUUUAAGCUUCUGUCACUCUAGCAACCCAUCAUCUACUUAUUACUUCACAAUGCCUUCCCCUAGGCCCAAAUCAUGUUGAAGUGUCAUGUAGUCGACGUUCACAUAACACCACUAGAGAAGAGAUAACAUAUAUCUCAUCAAAAUAUCGAACAAAUACCAAAUUCACAUGAUUACUUAUAACAAGACUUCUCACAUGUCCUCAAGAACAAACGUAACUACUCACAAAUCAUAUUCAUGUUCAUAAUCAGAGGGGUAUUAAUAUGCAUUAAGGAUCACUGCACCACAACACUGAUGUAAGGGCAAAAAAACUGCUGGGAGAAGUCACUUUAAAGGGCAGAUAAACUGCCGAGAUAGGUUUUCUCCCGGCAGAUAGAACUCCCACGAGAACGGUUGCCGGGGAUUACUUCUCCUGGCAGAUACACUUUUCCUGGCAGUUUUAUUGCCCUUGCCCAUCUAUUUGUCGGCACUCCAUUUUCUCCUGGCAGAUUGUUCAAGAACAGGAAAAUACAAUUACCGGCAGUUCAAGUGCCAGCACAAGCAUGUUUAACCAGCGGUUAUUAUGCCAGCACAUUGAUUUCACUAGCAAUCUGUUCUGGGCAUCCCUAUCCAUUCAUUAUGUUCAAGCAAUUAUGACAUAUCACACUAUUUAUACAUACACGUCAUCAAUCAAAGUAAUGUGUAGGCAUCAUCAAAAUCAUAUAUAAGGAGGUUGUUCCAGAAAAGAAGUACAUAUAUAAGGAAGUUGUUCCGCAAAAGGAGAAGUACAUAUAUGAUUCUAGAUGUGACGCACUACCAAAAUGUCGUACCACAAAAGGAGAAUUACAUAAAUUUCUAAAUUUGCCACAACCAAGAUGAGCAGAGCAAGACUCCAGGUCAACAAACAAUGUAUAUGACAUUAUCACUCCACCAACUUAAUUGUAGGUCUUCCAAAUCUUCAACGUCUUGAAGGUCCUUCCAAACCUUCGUGAACUUGUGUACAUUUGCAAAACCUACAACAGAUCGGAAACUCAAAAUGGAAUUCAAAAUGGAGAUUAUACCUAUGACAAUAGGUAAGGAAGCGGUUAAGAAAGCAAGAUAAACACAGGAAGAAUGUGUGAGCUGCAGACCACAUAGAAUCUGGAACUAGAAACAAAGACCAGAUGAUAUUUAAGUGACUAAGGGCCAGUUCUACAACCUUGUGGCUUCCAUACGAAAUUUUUGGGGCUUGCAUAUGAAAUUUUCGCAAGGCUUCAGCUCACACACUGAUGGCAUGACAUGGCUCCUCAAACCGAGACAUGUAUGUGUUUUUUUAUUUGCAAACAUAUGCUAAAUGUGAGGCUUUUGUUCUAUGACAUAUGUCCAACACUUGAUGUUCAUGAUUCUCUAUGUUUGUCCUGCUACUUUCGAAAUUUAUGUAUAUAUUUCCUUUUCAAAAGUACAAUUUUUUUAGUGAAUAAAAGCUCUCUGUAUGCUCUGGGAAGGUGGCGGUUGGUUAUGAGUGAUGGAGUUAGGAUUUCGCCGCUGUGGUAGGUUGCCGAAGAGGUCCCGAGUAAGCAAAUUAUGUAGUAGUUACAAAUGAGGGUUCCAUCAAAUGGAGCUCCCUCCGAGCCAUAACAAAUGUCAUGGUUUUAGUUAAAUUUUUAACUAAACCAAGGCACUUAUUAUGGAUCGGAGGGAGUAUCUCAUUCGUGGAAAAGUAUCCCAUAUUUACAAAUCAAGUUAAACACUAUGAACAAUUUCUUGAAUAAACAACUUUUUUAUUGGUUCACUUUUUUCAUAUCGCACGACAAGUUGAAUUAUCCUAAUUUUUUUAACUAAGGCUUUGUAUAAACAAAUAGACAAAGAAGCUGAUUUAUGCACUAGUUUGUGACCUUGUGCUAGUAUGUCUAUUGGUCAAGUUUAAAUUGUAGAUCUGAAAACAACAUCAAAAUAAAACAUAUACAAACAAACAAGCUCGUUGAAGUAAACAUCUGGUAAUCAGAAGAUUCCAAACCAAUGUAACCAAUUAGGAAUGUAAAAACAAGCAGCAUGAUGCAAACUAGGAAAAACUGCAUGGAAAAAUCGACCUCAAUCAAGAAAAAGAAUGACCCACUUAGACAUCCUCAGCUAAUAGCCAAGAAAAAGAAUAGCCAAGAGAAAAAGAAUGACCCGCCUAGUUUCUUGCCAUAAGCAAUCCAUAAACAUCAUAUGGGAAACUUGACAAGUGAAAAUAACAGAUUAUAAAUAGAGAAUUGUGUUUUGCAAAGCUGCUAUUAUAAUAAGCAAUGAAAUCGAGCUUGUUAUUUAAUUAUACUUUGACAUCUUGUACAUGAGCUUUUCACAACAACAUAAGACAUCUUGUACAUGAGCUUGUUCCUUAUAUUUCAUAACUAGUUAAGCAAAAGCAACAAAACACUUGCACUUAUAGGGACAUCCAAAGCCAUGAAAGUAGGCUGCUAAAUUAUCACAUUAUUUGCAUAAGAUAGAUGCUCAUAAAAGAAGCGCUUAUAAUUAAGUAGUAGCAUGAACCAGAAUGAGCAUAGUAUCUUACAUAUGUUCUUGUUAGUAGACAGUGAGCCAAAUAUCCAAUUUCCAUUCCAUACACAAAACUUCGAGUAAUAGUGAAUUCACUUCGUAAAGCUUUCUAUAGAAAUAACUAAAAGAUACAUGAGAUAGGGAUAGUAUACAUUGAACCAAUUUAUACUUCCGACAUACAUCUCUGAAAUAUCAAGUCAUGACAAAGUCUAGAUUUUUCGACAGACAAUCAUGACAAAACAUACUAUCACACAUUGUUCUUACCAACAAAUAUACAUUAGUACAUGUGUGUAACCUCGACAAAGCAUUGAAACCAUACAUUAAUCAGUAACUUGUAUUGCUAAAUUUGGGAACUCAAAAUAAGCCAUGAGCAGGUAAAUGGGUUCUCACCCAAAUACACCCUACAAACAAAAGAGGAUGCAGAAUUACAUGGCUAACAAGCUAGGCAAGUGCACAACCUACAGUACCAUUCACCUAACCCAGACUACCACAUGAACAAGGUCAAAGACCUUCCCAUGAAGAAUUUUUUAACGAAUGAGCAUUGCAUCCAACUUGUUAGGCAUAAAAAUAAGCCACCAAUAGUAAAUGACAUCUCAUUAAAAUAAUGUGCUUGUUACCCUAUGAACCAUGAGGGUGGAAUACAGAGAAAAUAACAUCAUAGAGCUCUAUUUGUGUUUCCAAAAAUAAGGCAAGUGCACAGCCUGCAGUACAGUUCACCUAAUGCCACAGUUAUCACAGUUCAACAGGCACAGCUAUAUUUAAGAUAACUAUGUCUAAUUGUACCAGUGUUUAUAGCCAAUAUGUGUCCAAUCUUACCAUUACUAGUCCUAUCUUGGUUCCAAUAUGAGGGUGGAACACAAGUAGUUGUGGGUGUUGGUUUGUUCAAUUUAUUUACCGUUACUAGUCCUAUCUUGGUUCGGCGGCAUUGUGGGAUGAAGCGGCCCGGACCGACCUUACACGUAUACUUAUGUGAGACAGGUUCCAUCGAUUGACAUGCACUUGUUGCAUAAGGUGGCUAGCGGGUGUCUAUCUCUCCCACUUUAGUUGGAUCAUAUUCGAUGAAAAGGCUCCUUAUGAAGGGUAAAUAGCAAUUGGCAUAUCACCGUUGUGGCUUUUGCGUAGGUAAGAAAUGUUCUUGCUAGAAACCCAUAGCAGCCACGUAAAACAUGCAACAACAAUUAGAGGACGUCUAACUUGUUUUUGCAGGGUAUGCUAUGUGAUGUGGUAUGGCCAAAAGAAUAUGAUGAGUGAUAUAUGUGAUGUAUGAGAUUGAUCAUUUUCUUGUAAUAGGAAUCACGACUUGCAUGUCGAUGAGUAUGAUAACCGGAAGGAGCCAUAGGAGUUGUCUUAAUUUAUUGUAUGACCUGCGUGUCAUUGAAAACGCCAUGUAAUUACUUUACUUUAUUGCUAAACGUUAGCCAUAGUAGUAGAAGUAAUAGUUGGUGAGGGAGUCCCGGACUAGGGGGUGUUCGGAUAGCCGAACUAUCAUCUUCGACCGGACUCCUGGACUAUGAAGAUACAAGAUUGAAGACUCCAUCCCGUGUCUGGAUGGGACUUUACUUGGCGAUAUGGAUAUGUAGAUCUCCUACCAUUGUAACUGACUCUGUGUAACCCUAACCCUCUUUGGUGUCUAUAUAAACCGGAGGGUUUUAGUCCGUAGGACGAACAACAACCAUAUCAUAGGCUAGCUUCUAGGGUUUAGCCUCUCUGAUCUCGUGGUAGAUCUACUCUUGUACUACCCAUAUCAUCAAUAUCAAUCAAGCAGGAGUAGGGUUUUACCUCCAUCGAGAGGGCCCGAACCUGGGUAAAAACAUCGUGUCCCUUGUCUCCUGUUACCAUCCGCCUAGACGCAUAGUUCGGGACCCCCUACCCGAGAUCCGCCGGUUUUGACACCGACAUUGGUGCUUUCAUUGAGAGUUCCUCUGUGUCGUCAUCUUUAGGCCCGAUGGCUCCUCCGAGCAUCAACGACGAUGCGGUCUAGGGUGAGACUUUUCUCCCCGCACAAAUCUUUGUAUUCGGCGGCUUUGCACUGCGGGCCAAUUCGCUUGGCCAUCUGGAGCAGAUUGAAAGCUACGCCCCUGGCCAUCAGGUCAGAUUUGGAAGUUUGAACUCUAUGGCUAACGUCCGCAGAGACUUGAUCUUCGACGGGUUCGAACCACAGCCAAGCACGCCGCACUGUCACGAUGGGCAUGAUCUAGCUCUGCUGCCGUAUAGUGCCCUGGAGGCCGCACAAGUGUCCGAUCCGACCCUUAGCUCGGAGCCGACUGCGCCGAUCGAGGACGGGUGGCUGGACACCGCCUCGGGGGCUGCUAUCCCUACGGCGAUUGAACCGAACACCAACCCUGUCCUUUGCGAAGCUCACGACUCCAAGGUGCCGGACUCCUCUCCGGACUCCAAGCCUUCCGCGCCACUGCCAAUCAAAUCCGAUUGGGCUCCGAUCAUGGAGUUCACUGUUGCGGACAUCUUUCAGCACUCUCACUUUGGCGACAUCCUGAAUUCGCUAAAGUUUCUCUCUUUAUCAGGAGAACCCUGGCCGGAUUAUGGUCAGGACGGUUGUGAUGCGGACGACGAAGAAAUUCAAAGCCCACCCACCACCCACUUCGUAGCCACUGUCGAUGACUUAACCGACAUUCUCGACUUCAACUCCGAAGACAUCGAUGGUAUGGACGACGAUGCAGGAGACGACCAAGAACCAGCGCCUACAGGGCACUGGAAGGCCACCUCGUCAUACAACAUAUACAUGGUGGACAUCCCAAAUGAUGGGAAUGGCGAUGGAACAACGGAGGAUGACCCCUCCAAGAAACAUCCUAAGCGCCGGCGUCAGCGGCGCCGCUCUAAAUCCCGCCACAGCAAAAACGGAGAUUCCGGCACUGGAGACAAUAACACCCCGGACAGUGCCGAAGACAACCCCCUCCAGCAAGAUUCAGCUCAGGAGGAUGGAGAAGCCAGCCCUCAUGAGAGAGCGGCAGACAGAGAGGUAGAGGACGAUAAUUACAUGCCUCCCUCCGAAGACGAGGCAAGCCUCAACGAUGGCGAAUUUGUCGUGCCUGAGGAUCCCGUCGAACAAGAGCAUUUCAAACGCAGGCUUAUGGCCACAGCAAGCAGCCUCAAGAAAAAGCAGCAACUGCUCAGAGCUGACCAAGACUUGCUAGCCGACAGAUGGACUGAAGUCCUCGCGGCCGAAGAGUACGAACUCGAACGCCCCUCUAAGAGCUACCCAAAAUGCAGGCUGCUACCCCGAUUAGAGGAAGCACCUAAACCUACAUCACCAGCGCAUGAUACGGCCGACCGACCACCUCGUGGCCGCGACAGAGAAGCCUCUCGGCCUCCACUCAAGCCGCACCCCGGCGCCGCUCAAAAAAUACCAAGGCACAGGGAAAAGUGCCACACCUGCGGGAUAUAUUGGAGGACAAGGCAAGACAAACAAGAUCGAUCUACGGAUCGCGUGGGCGCCCCAUGAUGCGUGAUGAUAACCGUCACGCCGGAUAUGGCAAUUCCGACCGGGCCGAACACAGUAGACAAAGCUCAUUCAAGCUGCGUCGUGAUAUAUCCCAAUACAGAGGCGCCGCACACCCACUAUGCUUCAUAGACGAAGUGAUGGAUCAUCAAAUCCCUGAGGGUUUCAAACCCGUAAACAUUGAAUCAUACGAUGGCACAACAGAUCCCGCGGUCUGGAUCGAGGACUAUCUCCUUCAUAUCCACAUGGCCCGCGGUGAUGAUCUACACGCCAUCAAAUACCUCCCACUCAAGCUUAAAGGACCAGCUCGGCAUUGGCUUAACAUCUUGCCAGCAGAGUCAAUUGGUUAUUGGGAAGACCUGGAAGCCGCAUUCCUCGACAACUUCCAGGGCACCUAUGUGCGACCACCAGACGCCGAUGACCUAAGCCACAUAAUUCAGCAGCCAGACGAAUCGGCCAGACAAUUAUGGACAUGGUUCCUAACCAAGAAAAAUCAAAUCGUUGACUGUCCGGAUGCAGAGGCCCUUGCAGCCUUCAAACAUAACAUCCGGGACGAGUGGCUUGCCCGGCGCCUAGGACAGGAAAAGCCAAAAUUCAUGGCAGCCCUCACAACACUCAUGACCCGCUUCUGCGCGGGGGAGGAUAGCUGGCUAGCUCGUAGUAACAAUGUGACCAAGAGCCCUGGUAAUUCGGAUACCAAGGACAGCAAUGGCAGGUCGCGUCGCAAUAAGCACAAGCGCCGCAUUAAUGGCGAUAAUACUGAGGAUACGACAGUCAAUGCCGGAUUCAGAGGCUCUAAACCCGGUCAGCGGAAAAAGCCAUUCAAAAGAAAUACUCCGGGCCCGUCCAAUUUGUACCAAAUACUCGAUCGCUUGUGCCAGAUACACGGCACCCCCGAAAAGCCAGCCAAUCACACCAAUAGGGAUUGUUGGGUGUUAAAGCGGGCAGGCAAGUUAACUGCCAAAAACAAUGACAAGGGGCUGCAUAGCGAUGACGAGGAGGAGACCCGGCCACCGAACAAUAGAGGACAGAAGGGGUUCCCCCCACAAGUGCGGACGGUGAACAUGAUAUACGCAACCCACAUACCCAAAAGGGAGCGGAAGCGUGCACUAAGGGACGUAUAUGUGAUGGAGCCAGUCGCCCCAAAGUUCAAUCCGUGGUCCUCCUGCCCGAUCACUUUUGAUUGAAGGGACCACCCCACUAGCACCCGCCAUGGCGGAUUCGCCGCAUUGGUUCUAGACCCAAUCGUUGACGGAUUUCACCUCACUAGAGUCCUGAUGGACGGCGGCAGCAGCCUGAACUUGCUUUAUCAGGAUACAGUGUGCAAGAUGGGCAUAGACCCCUCAAUGAUUAAACCCACAAAGACGACCUUCAAAGGCGUCAUACCAGGUGUAGAGGCUAAUUGUACAGGCUUAGUUACACUUGAAGUGGUAUUCGGAUCACCGGAUAACUUCCGAAGCGAGGAGUUAAUCUUCGACAUAGUCCCGUUCCGCAGCGGCUAUCACGCACUGCUCGCACGAACCACAUUUGCAAAGUUCAAUGCGGUACCGCACUACGCAUACCUCAAGCUCAAGAUGCCAGGCCCUCGAGGAGUCAUUACGGUCGAUGGAAACGCCGAACGCUCUCUCCGAACGGAGGAGCAUACAGCGGCUCUCGCGGCGGAAGUACAAAGCAGCCUCUCAAGGCAAUUCUCGAGUCUGGCUGUUAAGCGGCCGGACACCAUCAAGCGCGCCUGGAGUAACCAACAACAAGACCGACUAGCACGUUCCGAGCACGCGUAGCAAUGCGGGCCCAACCCCAGCCCUCGCGAAAUUGCGAAACCAGUACUACGCGUACAUAAUUACGCUCUGGAAAUACCAUGGGCAUAGGGGGACGGGCACGACCACGGCAAGACCAGAGGGGCGGCUCAACCGCACCAGGGGCUCCCAAUUGUGUCAUUCUUUUUUUUCUCUUACUUUCAGGACUCCUUUCUCAAGAAGCCCUGUCCGGCAGUAGAAUUGCUGAACACACAAUGCAACAGCCAGGGAAGCAGAAAGCUACGACGAGUGUCCAGGUGGUCUCUAUAACGAGCGGUAUACUUGUAUACUUGUUUUACACAUUAUCCCGCAGCUCGCUCCUGGAGGGCGACAUGUCAAAUAGUCCCGUCCCUUGCUUAUCGCACUAUUUGUAUCGUUCUGCUUUUACUGUAGCUUUUUUGAAUAAACAAUGCAUAGCUUUUUGCCUAUUAUUGCAUUCCUUUUUCUAUCUAUAUAUGUUCACUUACGACAUGUUGCACCCGUAUGCUUUGGUACAGCCAAAAACACCAGGGGCUUAAGUACCCCAAAAUAUGGUGUGAUAAGUCCGAACACUUUCACAAGUGCGGCACCCCGAACUUAUAGCAUUAUAUGCAUUGGCUCUGAAUCAUGUCUUGGGUCAAUAGUUGGGUUUUCCCGGCUCCCAUGUUUUGGUACCUUACGUUCUGUUAUAUCGGCUAAGGUAGCGCUGGGAGAACCACUGCGAUUGUGCCCCGGUUGAGCUGGGUUGAGCACCUCAGUGGAGAAAGCUAAAACUAAUUGUCAUGAUAGGGUGAGAGCCGGUAGUUGUUCGAGAGGUUUUUUCGAGUCCCUAAAGACUUAUGCCGCUUAGAGCGAGGAGUCGGCUUUGUCCGGCCCAGGCGUUGAUAGCGCCUCGAAUUCGGUCUUCCGAAUACUAGGGGCUUCGCAGAAAUUUAAAAUUAUAGAAUUCUAUGGCUAAGUGGGAGUGUUCAAUCAUUAUAGUCCGGUUGCCUUGUUCGUUGUGUUGAGUGCCUCCCUUGAAGGAUCCAAGAAUGGGAAAAAGAGCGCUCAAGUUUAUCCCGAACACCCCAGCACUCCUGGCAUGGGGGCAGAAGCCGACGACUCGCCAUCCCUCAAAUUUAAUAAACGGCCGCAUAGAAGGUAAGAUUUUAAAUUCUCAAAGCGUUGCUUAGCACGUAUGAACAAGUUUCCAAGCGUACAGGAUAACAAAUGCGAGUUUACUAAAAAAUUACAUCUUUGGAGCAUUCGCCCGCUAUAAGGCGGGCACCCUUCAGGACGCCCACAUAAUACAUAUCGGGCGUGUGAUAUUCCCUGCCUGGGGGUGGAGCGUCCGUCAUAAGCUUCUCAGCGUCCAUCUUGCCCCAGUGCACUUUAGCGCGGGCAAGGGCCCUACGGGAACCUUCGAUGCAGACGGAGUGCUUGACGACUUCAAUCCAUGGACAGGCGUCCACCAGCCGCCUUACCAGCCCGAAGUAGCUCUCAGGCAUGGCUUCUUUAGGCCACAGCCGGACUAUGAGGCCCUUCAUGGCCUGUUCGGCCACCUUAUGGAGCUCGACCAGCUGCUUCAGCUGGUCGCUCAAGGGCACCGGGUGUCCGGCCUCAGCGUACUGAGACCAGAACACCUUCUCUGUCGAGCUCCCCUCCUCGGCCCGGUAGAAGGCGGCAACGUCGGACACACUGCGGGGCAGAUCUGCGAAUGCUCCUGGAGAGCUCCGGAUUCGGGUAAGUAACAGGUAAUUAACUUUCACGUGCUUUCUUUGCAUGAAGAAUUCCUUACCCGCCGCUAUCUUCUUUAUCGCCUCAAUUUCCUGGAGGGCUUUUUGGGCUUCGGCCUUAGCGGCUUUGGUGCUCUCAAGAGCCGAGGCGAGCUCGGACUAUCGAGUCUUCGAGUCACGCUCCAAACUCUCGUGUUUUUCCAUGAGAUCCUGGAGCUCUUGCCGCACCUCCGCCACCCGCGCCUCCUGCUUCUCUCGCUCGGUGCGUUCCGCGGCCGCAUUGCUUUCGGCCUUGGACACCGCUUCCUUCAGGGUCGCCACCUCGUUCGUGGUCCGUGCAAUUCUCACGUUAUUCCUGUUAUUUUUUGCAACCACAUUUUUUAUAUACUCCCAUAAGGUAUUACUUACCUUCUUUGUCCUCAAGCAGCUUCUUGGCAAGGCCGAGCUCGCUCUCGGACCGAUCGAGGUUCUGCUUCAAUGCAUUGACCUCCACAGUCAGUGCGGCAGAGGUCAGUAGCGUAGCCUGCAUUCCCAUAUUGACAUGCUUAUGUUAGACUCCUGCGUAUAUCUUUUUAGAUCCUCAGUUCGGCUUUUCUUUCCGAACACCAAACUGAGCAUCAGGGGCUACUGUCUAUGCGGUAAUAUUUUUAAAUAUCUUAACUACAUACCUCAAAGCCUGUUAGAAGGCUGGCACAUGCUUCAGUCAGCCCGCUCUUGGCGGACUAAACUUUCUGGAUCACCGCACUCAUAACAGUGCGGUGCUCCUCGUCGAUGGAGGCGCCGUUAAGCGCCUCCAGCAAAUUAUCCAGCGCCUCCAGUUGGACGGAGGUCACCGGUGUCGCAGUCUCGCCCUUCUUACGAAGGGGCCGCCCGCCGGACUCCGGAACCACUGAAGGUUCCGGUACGGAGUACGGCCCAUGGCCGAACUCAGAACCCUUCGGGGUUUGAUACCCCUCGUGCCCAAAUUCCGGGAGGUUACCUUGCGGCACCUCCGGGACCUCCUCCUCCUGGCUGGGCCCCUUUUGGGACCCCACCUUGGCGUCGUCAGCGCGAGGAGAGGAGGCGAUCGGAAGUGAAGUGCUAUUCACGUCUGACGGAUCCAGGGAGCCGCUCGUGGAAGUGUCGAGCCCGUCCUUGGGCGGGCUGCAGGAUUGUAUUUGGCGUUAGGAGAUUCCAUGCGACAAAUGAAACGCCAUGAGUUAUUCUGGUAUCCGGACACUUACGACGUCCCAAGGGCUUAGCCCUCGGUGGCCACUCCUCUUCGCCGUCAUCGGCGUUGGUGGAGUAGUCCGGAUGAAGGGUCCUCCCCUUCUUGGACUCUCCGGCCUCCUCAGUUGGGGAGGCCUUCCUUUUCUUCUCUCCCCCCGCUGGGGGAGAGGUCUCUUUUUUCUCCUCCUCGUCGUCGCGGGAGGAGUCCGCCUCGGAGUCAUCGGACGAUGAGUCCGAUAACACCUGACGCCGGGAGCUCUUCCGGGUUCCCGUGGCCUUCUUCUUGGCCUUCUUCUCCGGCACGACGUAAGGUGCCGGAACCAGCAGCCCCAUCAAUCGGGCGUCCGCUGGGUAUUCUGGCAAGGGAGCCGGACAGUUAACCUGCCCGGACUUCUUUUGCCAGGCCUGUCAAAGUUAAGGGAGUUUAGAUCCCGCAUAGAGUCAAACUAUGGAAAAUAAGUGUCCUGUAAAGGGUAAAAUAGCUUACCUUGCCGGCUUGACGCUGCGAGCUGAAUCCGCGAUCUUCGGUAGCAGAUGCGGGGGCCUCGGCGCCCUUGAACAACACCUUCCAGGCAUCUUCGUACAUAGUGUUGGUGAACAACACCUGUGGGAGCCUGCUCAAGGUUUGGUGUUGUGCCGGAUCAAACUCCCACAAGCUGGAGGCCCGUUGUUGGCACGGGAGGAUCCGACGGAUGAGCAUGACCUGGACUACGUUGACGAGCUUGAUCUUCUUGUUCACAAGGUUUUGGACACAGGUUUGGAGUCCAGUCAGCUCUUCCGAAUUACCCCAUGUCAGGCCCUUCUCUUUCCAGGAGGUGAGCCAUGUGGGGAUGCCAGAUCGGAACUCGGGGGCCGCUGCCCAUUCAGGGUCAUGCGGCUCGGUGAUGUAGAACCAUGCCGAUUGCCACCCUUUGAUGGUUUCCACGAAAGAGCCCUCGAGCCAUGUAACGUUGGGCAUCUUGCCCACCAUGGCACCUCCACACUCCGCCUGCUGGCCCCCCACUACCUUCGGCUUGACAUUGAAGGUCUUCAGCCAUAAGCCGAAGUGGGGCUUGAUGCGGAGGAAGGCCUCGCACACGAUGAUGAACGCCAAGAUGUUGAGGACGAAAUUCGGGGCCAUAUCAUGGAAAUCUAGGCCGUAGUAGAACAUGAGCCCCCGGAUAAAUGGGUGAAGUGGAAAACCUAGUCCGCGGAGGAAGUGGGUGAGGAACACCACCCUCUCAUGGGGCCCCGGGGUGGGGAUGAGCUGCCCCUUGUCGGGGAGCCAAUGCGCGAUGUGCUGGACAAGUAUCCGGCCUUUCGCAUUCUCUUGAUGUGCCCCUCCGUGAUGGAGGUGGCCAUCCACUUGCCUCCCGCUCCGGACAUGGCUGGAGAAGGUUGAGGCAAGAUGUGCGGACUUGGGCGCUGGAGCUUGAGUGUGCGAAAAUGGAUAAGCAAAGGAGGAAGAAGGCGUAGGUAAAAAGGUGGAUCCUUAUCCCCUUAUAUGGACGGACGAAGCUAUGCGUCCCCACCAGCCUGGUAAAACUCGCUUAUCUCCCAAGCGUCGUAAUCAAUGGCGCGGUUGGGUUACCCAUGCCCGUAUUGAUGAGAAUCCCAAAAUAAUGGGACACGAUCUCUGCUUUGACAAGAUGUGCCAAGGAAACCGCCUCGCUAAAUGCGCUGAGGUGGGACAGUAAAAACGAUUCGAAUAAAGGCUUGGCCAUGGUGUGAUGUCACGCCACGAAAUACAUCAGUAGAUUGAAUUUAUGUGAAUAUUAUUCUCUCUACGGUGGUAUGUGGAACUUAUUUUGCAGAGCCGGAACACUAUCCUUGUGUUCAAAAUCUUCUAUGAAGUAUUCGGAGGAGGAACCGGCCUUGCAAUGCCGAAGACAAUAUGCGCACCGGACUUGUCGUCAUUGAAGCCUGGUUCAGGGGCUACUGAGGGAGUCCCGGACUAGGGGGUGUCCGGAUAGCCGAACUAUCAUCUUCGGCCGGACUCCUGGACUAUGAAGAUACAAGACUGAAGACUCUGUCCCGUGUCCGGAUGGGACUUUCCUUUGCGUGGAAGGCAAGCUUGGCGAUACGGAUAUGUAGAUCUCCUACCAUUGUAACCGACUCUGUGUAACCCUAACCCUCUUCGGUGUCUAUAUAAACCGGAGGGUUUUAGUCCGUAGGACGAACAACAAUCAUACCAUAGGUUAGCUUCUAGGGUUUAGCCUCUCUGAUCUCGUGGUAGAUCUACUCUUGUACUACCCAUAUCAUCAAUAUCAAUCAAGAAGGAGUAGGGUUUUACCUCCAUCGAGAGGGCCCAAACCUGGGUAAAACAUCGUGUCCCUUGUCUCCUGUUACCAUCCGCCUAGACGCACAGUUCGGGACCCCCUACCCGAGAUCCGCCGGUUUUGACACCGACAGUUGGCAAGACAACUUAAUGAAGACACGAUGAUGGAGAUCAUGGUGACAUGCCGGUGACGAAGGUGAUCAUGCGGUGCCUCAAAGAUGGAGAUCAAAGGCGGAAGAUGAUAUUGGCCAUAUCAUGUCACUUUAUGAUUUGCAUGUGAUGUUUGUCAUGUUUACAUCUUAUUUUCUUAGAACGACGGUGGCAUAAAUAAGAUGAUCCCUCACUAAAAUUUCAAGAAAGCGUUCCCCCUAACUAUGCACUGUUGCGAAAGUUCGUUGUUUCAAAGCACCACGUGAUGAUCAGGUUUGAUAGAUUCUAACGUUCGCAUACAACGGGUGUAAGCCAGAUUUACACGUGCAAAACACUUAGGUUGACUUGAUGAGCCUAGCAUGUACGGACAUGGACUCAGAACACAAGAGACCAAAAGGUUAAACAUGAGUCGUAUAGUAGAUACGAUAAACAUGAAGAUGUUCACCGAUGAUGACUAGUCCGUCUCACGUGAUGAUCAGACACGACCUAGUUGACUCGAAUCAUGUGUCACUUAAAUGUCUAGAGGGAUGUCUAUCUGAGUGGGAGUUCAUUAAGUAAUUUGUUUAGAUUAAAUUAAUUAUCAUGAACAUAAUCUAAAAUAUCUUUACAAUAUGUCUUGUAGAUCAAAUGGCCCAUGCUAAUGUUACCCUCAACUUCAGCGCGUUCCUAGAGAAAACAAAGCUGAAAGAUGAUGGUAGCAACUAUAGGGACUGGGUCCAAAACUUCAGGAUCAUCCUCAUAGCUGCCAAGAAAGCAUGUCCUUGAAGCACCGCUAGGUGAUGCACCCUUUUGCCAGCAACUCAAGACGUUAUGAACGCCUAGCAGUCGCAUAGUGAUGAUUACUCGGUUUAGUGCGGCAAGCUUUACAACUUAGAACCGGGGCUCCAAAAGUGUUUUGAGCAGCACAGAGCAUAUGAGAUGUUCCAAGAGCUGAAAAUGGUUUUCCAAUCUCAUACCCGGGUCGAGAGAUAUGAAGUCUCCGACAAGUUCUACAGUUGUAAGAUGGAGGAAAAUAGUUCUGUCAGUGAGCAUAUACUCACUAUGUCUGGGUUGCACAACCGUUUGUCUCAGCUGGGAGUUAAUCUUCUAGAUGACUGGGUCAUUGACAGGAUCCUCGAGUCGCUCCCACCUAGCUACAAGAGCUUUGUGAUGAACUACAAUAUGCAAGGGAUGGAGAAGUCCAUUCCUGAGUUAUAUUCAAGGGAUAAUUAGAUUUAUGCCCCUAGUUGUGUCCCACUCGUCUGUUUUAUCCCUAAUUCCCGAAAGUCACCUGUUCUGUCCAAGUCACUUUGCUCCUCUUAUGCUUUUGCCCUUUGACCAUUUGACCGUCAGUUUGAAAACUUCAUAACUAAUUCAUACUAAAUCAGAAAAAUGCAAAUAAGAUACCAAAAUGUUCAGAAAAACAUCACCUAUAUGUUAGUGUCAUUUGCAUUCAUGAAAAAAGUGUUGGAAAGUGCAGAUCCGAGUUUUAGCUCUUUUGAUACCACCAUGAAUAGUGAACUCUAAGAACAUUCAAAAAAUCCAAAAAACAUGGUGGCAAAGAACAACAAAUGUUCUAAGUGCUUUCCAAGUUUCAUUAGGGAACGACAUUCGUGGAAGUAGUGGCAAAAAAUAAUCUAUUUUGGAGUGCUGAUUGUUUUUUUGCUGUGACACCCAUGAAUGUUAUUCCUUGAUGAAACUUGGCAGGCACUUAAAACAUUUGUCAUUCUUUGCCACCAAUUUUUUUGAUUUUUUUCGAACUUUUUUUUGAUUUUACUAUUCAUGGUGGUAGCCUAAGAGCUAAAACUCAGAUGGGCAACUUCCAACACUUUUUUCAUGAAUGCAAAUGACACUGACAUAUAGGUGAUGUUUUUCUGAACAUUUUGGUAUCUUAUUUGCAUUUUUCUAAUUUAGUAUGAAUUAGGUAUGAAGUUUUCAAACUGACGGUCAAACGGUCAAAGGGCAAAAGCAUAAGAGGAGCAAAGUGACUUGGACAGAACCGGUGACUUUUGGGAAUUAUGGGUAAAACAGACGAGUGGGACACAACUAGGGGCAUAAAUCUAAUUAUCCCUAUAUUCAAUGUUGAAAUCAGCAGAGGUGGAAAUGAAAAAGGAGCAUCAAGCGUUGAUGGUGAAUAAGACCACUAGUUUGAAGAAAGGCAAGGGUAAAAAGAACUUCAAGAAGGACGGCAAGGGAGUUGCCGCGCCCGGUAAAUCAGUUGUCGGGAAGAAGCCAAACAAUGGACCCAAGCCCGACACUCAGUGCUUUUAUUGCAAGGGAAAUGGUCACUAGAAGCGGAACUGCCCCAAGUACUUAGCGGAUAAGAAGGCCGGCAACACCAAAGGUAUAUGUGAUAUACAUGUUAUUGAUGUGUACCUUACCAGCGCUCGUAGUAGCUCCUGGGUAUUUGAUACUAGUGCGGUUGCUCAUAUUUGUAACUCAAAACAGGAGCUGCGGAAUAAGUGGAGACUAGCGAAGGACGAGGUGACGAUGCAAGUCGGGAAUGGUUCCAAGGUCGAUGUGAUCGCCGUCGGCACGCUACCUCUACAUUUACCCACGGGAUUAGUUUUAAACCUCAAUAAUUGUUAUUUAGUGCCAGCUUUGAGCAUGAACAUUGUAUCUGGAUCUCGGUUAAUGCGAGAUGGCUACUCAUUUAAAUCCGAGAAUAAUGGUUGUUCUAUUUAUAUGAGAGAUAUGUUUUAUGGUCAUGCCCCGUUGGUUAAUGGUUUAUUCUUACUGAAUCUCAAACGUGAUGUUACACAUAUUUAUAGUGUGAAUACCAAAAGAUGUAAGAUUAAUAAUGAUAGUCCCACAUACUUGUGGCACUGCUGCCUUGGUCACAUUGGUGUCAAACGCAUGAAGAAACUCCAUGUAGAUGGAAUUUUGGAGUCUCUUGAUUAUGAAUCAUUUGACACGUGCGAACCAUGCCUCAUGGAAAAAAUGACCAAGACUCCAUUCUCCAGAACAAUGGAGCGAGCAUCCAACUUGUUGGAAAUAAUACAUACUGAUAAGUGCAGUCCAAUGAGCGUUGAGGCUCGCGGUGGCUAUCGUUAUGUUCUCACCCUUACUGAUGACUCAAGUAUAUAUGGGUAUGUCUACUUAAUGAAACACAAGUCUGAGACCUUUUAACAGUUCAAGGAAUUUCAGAGUGAGUUGGAGAAUCAAUGUGACAUGAAAAUAAAGUUCUUACGAUCAGAUCGUGGAGGAGAAUAUUUGAGUCACGAGUUUGGUACACACUUAAGGAAAUGUGGAAUUGUUUCACAACUCACGCCACCUGGAACACCUUAGUGUAAUGGUGUGUCCGAAUGUCGUAAUCGCACUCAAUUGGAUAUGGUGCGAUCUAUGAUGUCUCUUACCGAUUUACCGCUAUCAUUUUGGGGUUAUGCUUUAGAGAUAGCCGCAUUCACUUUAAAUAGGGCACCAUCUAAAUCCGUUGAGACGACACUGUAUGAAUUAUUGUUUGGGAAGAAACCUAAGCUUCCAUUUAAAAAUGUUUGGGGAUGCGAUGCUUAUGUCAAGAAAUUCAACCUGAAAAGCUCGAAUCCAAGUCGAAAAAUGUGUCUUCAUAGGAUACCCUAAGGAAACCAUUGGGUAUACCUUCUACCUCAGAUCCGAAGGCAAGAUCAUUGUUGCCAAGAACGGAUCCUUUCUGGAGAAAGAGUUUCUCUCAAAAGAAGUAAGUGGGAGGAAAGUAGAACUUGAUGAAGUACUGCCUCUUGAACUGGAAAGUAGCACAGCUCAGGAAGAUAUUUUUGUGGUGCAUGCACUGACUAGAGAGGAAGUUAAUGAUGAUGAUCACGAAACUUCAGAUCAAGUUACUACUGAACUUCUUAGGUCCAGAAGGACACGUUCCACACAAGAAUGGUAUGGCAACACUGUCCUGGAAAUCAUGUUGUUAGACAACGGUGAACCUUCGAACUAUGAAGAAGCGAUGGUGAGCCCGGAUUCCAAAAAAUGACUUGAAGCCAUGAAAUCUGAGAUAGGAUCCAUGUAUGAAAACAAAGUAUGGACUUUGACAGACCUGCCUGAUGAUCGGCAAGCCAUAGAAAAUAAAUGGAUCUUUAAGAAGAAGACUAACGCGGAUGGUAAUGUGACCGUCUAUAAAGCUCAGCUUGUCGCUAAGGGUUAUCGACAAGUUCAAGGGGUUGAAUAUGAUGAGACUUUCUCACCCGUAGCGAAGCUGAAGUCCGUCCGAAUCAUGUUAGUAGUUGCCGCAUUCUAUGAUUAUGAGAUAUGGCAAAUGGACGUCAAAACGGCAUUCCUUAAGGAAGAAUUGUAUAUGAUGCAGCCAGAAGGUUUUGUUGAUCCUAAGAAUGCUGACAAGGUAUGCAAGCUCCAGCGCUCCAUCUAUGGGUUGGUGCAAGCAUCUCGUAGUUGGAACAUUCGCUUUAAUGAAAUGAUCAAAGCGUUUGGGUUUGUGCAGACUUAUGGAGAAGCCUAUGUUUACAAGAAAGUGAGUGGGAGCUCUGUAGCAUUUCUCAUAUUAUAUGUGGAUGACAUACUAUUGAUGGGAAAUGAUAUAUAACUUUUGGAAAGCAUAAAGGCCUACUUGAAUAAGUGUUUUUCAAUGAAGGACCUUGGAGGAGCUGCUUACAUAUUAGGCGUCAAGAUCUAUAGAAGAAGUUCAAUAUGGAUCAGUCCAAGAAGGGGUUCUUGCCUGUAUUGCAAGGUGUGAAAUUGAGCACGACUCAAUGCCCGACCUCGGCAGAAGAUAGAGAAAACAUGAGUGUCAUACCCGACCAUGGUAUUUCGCAAAGCACAUACCUUGAUAAGAUAUUGAAGAAGUUCAAUAUGGAUCAGUCCAAGAAGGGGUUCUUGCCUGUAUUGCAAGGUGUGAAAUUCAGCACGACUCAAUGCCCGACCUCGGCAGAAGAUAGAGAAAAGAUGAGUGUCAUCCCCUAUGCCUCAACCAUAGGGUCUAUUAUGUAUGCCAUGUUGUGUACUAGACCUGAUGUGAACCUUGCCGUAAGUUUGGUAGGGAGGUACCAAAGUAAUCCCGACAUGGAACACUGGACAUCGGUCAAGAAUAUCCUGAAGUACCUGAAAAGAACUAAGGAUAUGUUUCUCGUUUAUGGAGGUGACGAAGAGCUCGUCGUAAAGGGUUACGUCAAUGCCAGCUUCGACACAGAUCUGGAUGACUCCAAGUCACAAACUGGAUACGUGUACAUUUUGAAUGGUGAUGUCUACUACGCAACCUUUUUCUUGUAGACGUUGUUGGUCCUCCAAGUGCAGAGGUUUGUAGGACAGUAGCAAAUUUCCUUCAAGUGGAUGACCUAAGGUUUAUCAAUCCGUGGGAGGUGUAGGAUGAAGAUGACCCUGCAACCAAAUAACAAAGAGUCUCUUGUGUCCCCAACACACCCAAUACAAUGGUAAAUUGUAUAGGUGCACUAGUUCGGCGAAGAGAUGGUGAUACAAGUGCAAUAUGGAUGGUAGAUAUAUGUUUUUGUAAUAUUAAAAUAUGAAAACAGCAAGGUAACUAAUGAUAAAAGUGAGCACAAACGAUAUUGCAAUGCUAGGAAACAAGGCCUAGGGUUCAUACUUUCACUAGUGCAAGUUCUCUCAAAAAUAAUAACAUAAUUGGAUCAUAUAACUAUCUGUCAACAUGCAACAAAGAGUCACUCCAAACUCACUAAUAGCGGAGAACAAACGAAUAGAUUAUGGUAGGGUAUGAAACCACCUCAAAGUUAUUCUUUCUGAUCGAUCUAUCAUAGAGUUCGUACUAGAAUAACACCUUAAUACACAAAUCAACCAAAACCCUAAUGUCACCUAGAUACUCCAAUGUCACCUCAAGUAUCCAUGGGCAUGAUUAUACGAUAUGCAUCACACAAUCUCAGAUUCAUCUAUUCAAACCAACACAAAGUAUUUCAAAGAGUGCCCCAAAGUUUCUACGGACAGUCAAGACGAAUACGUGUGCCAACCCCUAUGGAUAGAUUCAUUGAACCCACAAGUUGAUCACCAAAACAUACAUCAAGUAGAUCACGUGAAUAUCCCAUUGUCACCACAGAUAAGCAUGGCAAGACAUACAUCAAGUGUUCUCAAAUCCUUCAAGACUCAAUCCGACAAGAUAACUUCAAAUGGAAAACUCAAUCCAUUACAAGAGAGUAGAGGGGGAGAAACAUCAUAAGAUCCAACUAUAAUAGCAAAGCUCACGAUACAUCAAGAUAGUAUCACCUCAAGAACACGAGAGAGAGAGAGAGAGAGAUCAAACACAUAGCUACUGGUACAUACCCUCAGCCCUAAGGGUGAACUACUCCCUCCUCGUCAUGGAGAGCGCCGGGAUGAUGAAGAUGGCCACCCGUGAUGGAUCCCCCCUCCGGCAGGGUGCCGGAACAGGGUCCCGAGAGGUUUUUCGUGGCUACAGAGGCUUGCCGCGGCGGAACUCCCGAUCUAGGUUAUUUUCUGGAGGUUUCAGUCUUUAUGGGAAUUUUUGGCGUAGGUCUCACGUCAGGGGGGUUUCCGGGCUAUCCACGAGGCAGGGGGGCGCGCCCAAGGGAAGUGGGUGCGCGGGCCACCCUCGUGGGCAGCCCGGGACUCUCCUGGCCCAACUCUUUCACUCCAGGGGCUUCUUUUGGUCUACAAAAAAUUGUCAAAAAUUGGCACGUCAAUUGGACUCUGUUUGGUAUUCCUUUUCUGUAAAACUCAAAAACAAGGAAAAAACAGAAACUGACACUGGGCUCUAGGUUAAUAGGUUAGUCCCAAAAAUGAUAUAAAAGUGUAUAGUCAAUCCCAUAAACAUCCAAAAUAGGUAAUAUAAUAGAAUGGAACAAUCAAAAAUUAUAGAUACAUUGGAGACGUAUCAAGCAUCCCCAAGCUUAAUUCCUGCUCGUCCUCGAGUAGGUAAAUGAUAAAAACAGAAUUUUUGAUGUGGAAUGCUUCCUAGCAUAUUUCUCAAUGUAAUUUUCUUUAUUGUGGCAUGAAUGUCCAGAUCCAAAUGAUUCAAGACAAAAGUUCAUAUUGACAGAAGAAAUAGUAAUACUUCAAGCAUACUAACAAAGCAAUCAUGUCUUCUCAAAAUAACAUGGUUAACGAAAGCUAUCCCUACAAAAUCAUAUAUUCUGGCUAUGCUCUAUCUUCAUCACACAAAGUAUUUAAUCAUGCACAACCCCGAUGACAAGCCAAGCAAUUGUUUCAUUACUUUAAUAUUCUCAAACUUUUUCAACUUUCACGCAAUACAUGAGCGUGAGACAUGGACAUAGCACUAUAUGUGGAAUAGAAUGGUGGUCGUCGAGAAGAAAAAAAGGGAGAAGAUAGUCUCACAUCAACUAGGCGUAUCAACGGGCUAUGGAGAUGCCCAUUAAUAAGUGAGUAGGGAUUGCCAUGCAACAGAUGCACUAGAGCUAUAAGUGUAUGAAAGCUCAAAAACAAACUAAGUGGGUGUGCAUCCAACUUGCUUGCUCACGAAGACCUAGAGCAUUUUGAGGAAGCCCAUCAUUGGAAUAUACAAGCCAAGUUCUAUAAUGAAAAAUUCCCACUAGUAUAUGAAAGUGACAACAUAGGAGACUCUCUAUCAUGAAGAUCAUGGUCGUGCUACUUUGAAGCACAAGUGUGGUAAAAGCAUAGUAGCAUUGUCUCUUCUCUCUUUUUCUCUCAUUUUUUUAUUUGCCUUUCUCUUCUUCUUUUUUUAUUUGGCCUUUCUCUAUUUUUUGUAAAGUCCGAAGUCUCAUCCCGACUUGUGGGGAAUCAUAGUAUCCAUCAUCCUUUCCUCACUUGGGACAAUGCUCUAAUAAUGAAGAUCAUCACACUUCUAUUUACUUACAACUCAAGAUUACAACUCGAUACUUAGAACAAGAUAUGAAUCUAUAUGAAUGCCUCCGGUGGUGUACCGGGAUAUGCAAUGAACUAAGAGUGACACGUAUGGAAUUAUGAGGGUGGCUUUGCCACAAAUACGAUGUCAACUACAUGAUCAUGCGAAGAGCAAUAUGACAAUGAUGAUGCGUGUCAUAAUAAACGGAAUGGUGGAAAAUUGCAUGGCAAUAUAUCUCAGAAUGGCUAUGUAAAUGCCAUAAUAGUUAGGUAUGGUGGCUGUUUUGAGGAAGGUAUAUGGUGGGUGUAUGGUACCGGCGAAUGUUGCGCAGCACAAGAUAGGCUAGCAAUGGUGGAAGGGUGAGAGUGCGUAUAAUCCAUGGGCUCGACAUUAGUCAUAAAGAACUCAUAUACUUGUUGAAAAAAUCUACAAGUCUUUGAAAACAAAGUACUACAGGCAUGCUCCUAUGGGGAUAGAUUGGUAGGAAAGAACCAUCGCUCAUCCCCGACCGCCACUUGUAAGAAAGACAAUCAAAAUUAUGCUCCAACUUCAUCACAAAGUGGUUCACCAUACGUGCAUGCUACGGGAAUCACAAACUUCAACAUAAGUAUUCCUAAAAUUCAUAAUUACUCCACUAGCAUGACUCUAAUAUCACCAUCCUCAUAUCUCAAAACAAUUAUCAAGCAUCAAAUUGAUCAUAGCAUCCAAUUCACUUUCUAUGAUAGUUUUUAUUAUACCCAACUUGGAUGCCCAUCAUUCUAGGACCAAUUUUAUAACCAUAGCAACUACCAUGUUGUUCUAUAGGACUCUCAAAAUAAUAUAAGUGAAGCAUGAGAGAUCAAUACUUUCUACAAAAUAAAACCACCGCCGUGCUCUGAAAGAUAUAAGUGAAGUGCUAGAGCAAAAGACAAACUACUCCAAAAGAUAUAAGUGAAGCACAUAGAGUAUUCUAAUAAAUUCCAAAUCAUGUGUGUCUCCCCCAAAAGUUGUGUACAGAUAGGAUGAGUGUGGCAAACUAAAAAGCAAAGACUCAUAUUAUACAAGACGCUCCAAGCAAAACACAUAUCAUGUGGUGAAUAAAAAUAUAGCUCCAAGUAAACUUGCCGAUGAAUGAAGACGAAAGAGGGGAUGCCAUCCGGGGCAUCCCCAAACUUAGGCUCUUGGUUGUCCUUGAAUAUUAACUUGGGGUUCCUUGGGAAUCCAUAAGCUUAGGCUCUUGCCACACCUUAUUCCAUAGUCCAUCGAAUCUUUUCCCAAAACUUGAAAACUUCACAACACAAAACUCAACAGAAAACUCAUAAGCUUCGUUAGUAUAAGAAAAUAAAUCACCACUUAGGUACUGUUGUGAACUCAUUCUAAAUUCAUAUUGGUGUUAAACCUACUGUAUUCCAAUUUCUCUAUGGUUCAUACGCUCUGAUACUACUCAUAGAUUCAUCAAAAUAAGUAAAAAACACAUAGAAAGCAGAAUCUGUCAAAAACACAAUAGUCUAUAGUAAUCUGUAUCAUUCGAAUACUUAUGUAACUCCAAAAAUCCUACAAAAUUAGGAAAACCUGAGACAUUUGUGUACAAUCCAGAUCAGAAAUAAUCAGAUCAAAAUAACGUUUUUGUGAAUUAUCAAAACUAAUUUACUAGGUGCAAAAGUUUCUGAUUUUCAGCAGGAUCAACACAACUAUCACCGUAAGCUAUCCUAAAGGUCUUACUUGGCACUUUAUUGAAACAAAAGCUAUAAAACAUGAUUACUACAGUAGCAUAAUCAUGUGGACACACAAAAACAGUAGGGGUAAAUAUUGGGUUGACUCCCAACAACCGCUUUUCUUUAAUGCCUUUCUAGCUAGGCAUGAUGAUGACAAUGAUGCUCACAUAAAAGAUAAGAAUUGAAACAUAACGGGAGCAUCAUGAAGUAUAUGACUAGCACAUUUAAGUCUAACCCACUUCCUAUGCAUAGGGAUUUUGUGAGCAAACAACUUAUGGGAACAACAAUCAACUAGCAUAGGAAGGCAAAACAAGCAUAACUUCAAGAUUUUAAGCACAUAGAGAGGAAACUUGAUAUUAUUGCAAUUCCUACAAGUAUGUAUUCCUCCCUCAUAAUAAUUUUCAGUAGCAUCAUGAAUGAAUUCAACAAUAUAACCAGCACCUAAAGCAUUCUAUUCAUGAUCUACUUGCAUAGAAAAUUUACUACUCUCCACAUAAGCAAAAUUCUUCUUAUUCGGAAUAGUGGGAGUAUCAUAAGAGACUUGAAUACUAUAAAUUGUUUCCACAUUAAAAGAGUAAUGUUUAGAAAAAGGGUAAUCAUAAUCAUGACAAGUUUUACAAUUAUGAUCAUCACUACUUUUUAUAGCAUAAGUUUCAUCACAAUAAUCAUCAUAAGUAGCAACUUUGUUCUCAUCAUAAUCGAUUGAAACCUCUUCCAAGAUAGUGGAAUCAUCACUAAAUAAAGUCAUGACCUCUCCAAAUCCACUUUCAUAUUCAUCACAAUAAUAUUCAACAUCCUCCAAAAUAGUGGGAUCACUACUUCCUAAAGUUGAUACUCUUCCAAACCCACUUUCAUCAAUAUAAUCAUCAUAAGUAGGAGGCAUGCUAUCAUCAUAACAAAUUUGCAUAUCAAAACUUGGAAGGCUAAAAAUAUCAUCUUCAUUAAACAUAGCAUCCCCAAGCUUGGGAGAAACAUUAGUUGCAGCAAAUAUAUUCUCAAAUAUGUCAUCCUCAUCAAACAUAGCUUCCCCAAGCUUGGGCCUUUUCAUAUCAUAAGCAUAAUCGCUCUCAUCAUGAAUAGUAUGGAUAACACCAAUAGUAUACCAAUUGUCAUCAUCAUAGUGAGUAGUAGGAGCAACAUCAUUUGGGAGGGAUACCUUUCUACCUUUGCUUCUCCGUCUUUUCUUUUUCUUCUUCACAUGAUGUGUGAGUUUAACCCUCUCCUUUGAGCUCCUUAUUAAUAAGGUUGGUUGAAUAGAAGGAUCAUCCUCAUUACCUGAUUCAUCAUAAGAAAUAAUAGAAGGAUAUUGGGAAGUCUUUUCCCUUUCAUUAGUAUUCUCUUCAUCUUCUAUUUGCUUUCUUUUCUUUAUGUAAUUGGCAAUAUAAGGAUUUUAAAUGCAAUUCACCGCACAAUACAUAUAAAUUUCCUCUAGAUCAAAAUCAAGAACUCUUUUAAGGGAAAAUUCUGGAAUAUUCUUAGUUAUACUUUUCAUUUCUUCAUAACGCAAAAGCAAACUAAGUUCAUUAUGAUGUGCAAGGGAAAUCAAGUCAUCACAAUUUUUGGACACGAUUCGAUCAUGAAACAAUUUGCAUUGGGGAUUAAAAUGAUCACGUUCAUUGCAAAGUUCAUAAGUAGGACGAAGAAAUUUUAAAUUUUCAGCACAAACAUCUAGCCUUUCUUGCAACCAUUUAGUUUCUAAAUGCUUAUGCCUCUUGCAAUAUCUAUCUUCCCUAUUUGGUGUGUACUUGCAAACCCAAUGCACUCCACAAAAAUUGACAUGCUUAUAAGAGACAUUUUCAUCAUAACUAGUGCAAUCAUCAUUAGUACUAUGGAUAUUCAAAGAGUUCAUACUAACAACAUUGCAAUCAUGCUCUUAGUACCAAAGAUUUAUAGACUUCUUCUUCAAGCACUUGAGCACAAUUUUCCUUUCCAUCAUUCUCACGAAAGAUAUUAAAAAGAUGACAUGUAUGAGGCAAACUCAAUUCCAUUUUUUGUAGUUUUCUUUUAUAGACUAAACUAGUGAUAAAACAAGAAACAAAAAUAUUCGAUUGCAAGAUCUAAAGAUAUACCUUCAAGCACUCACCUCCCCGGCAACGGCGCCAGAAAAGAGGUUGAUGUCUACUAUGCAACCUUCUUCUUGUAGACGUUGUUGGGCCUCCAAGUGCAGAGGUUUGUAGGACAGUAGCAAAUUUCCCUCAAGUGGAUGACCUAAGGUUUAUCAAUCUGUGGGAGGCAUAGGAUGAAGAUGGUCUCUGUCAAACAACCCUGCAACCAAAUAACAAAGAGUCUCUUGUGUCCCCAACACACCCAAUACAAUGGUAAAUUGUAUAGGUGCACUAGUUCGGCGAAGAGAUGGUGAUACAAGUGCAAUAUGGAUGGUAGAUAUAGGUAUUUGUAAUAUGAAAAUAUAAAAACAGCAAGGUAACUAAUGAUAAAAGUGAGCGUGAACGGUAUUGCAAUGCUAGGAAACAAGGCGUAGGGUUAAUACUUUCACUAGUGCAAGUUCUCUCAACAAUAAUAACAUACUUGGAUCAUAUAACUAUCCAUCAACAUGCAACAAAGAGUCACUCCAAAGCCACUAAUAGCGGAGAACAAACAAAGAGAUUAUGGUAGGGUACGAAACCACCUCAAAGUUAUCCUUUUUGUUCUAUCUAUUCAAGAGUCCGUAGUAAAAUAACAUGAAGCUAUUCUUUCCGUUCAAUCUAUCAUAGAGUUCAUACUAGAAUAACACCUUAAGACACAAAUCCACCAAAACCCUAGUGUCACCUAGAUACUCCAUUAUAACCUCAAGUAUCCGUGGGCACGAUUAUAUGAUAUGCAUCACACAAUCUCAGAUUCAUCUAUUCAACAAACACAAAGUACUUCAAAGAGUGACCCAAAGUUUCUACCAGAGAGUCAAGACGAAAACGUGUGCCAACCCCUAUGCAUAGAUUCAUUCAACCCGCAAGUUGAUCCAAAACAUCCAUCAAGUAGAUCACGCGAAUAUCCCAUUGUCACCACAGAUAAGCAUGACAAGACAUACAUCAAGUGUUCUCAAAUCCUUAAAGACUCAAUCCGAUAAGAUAACUUCAAAGGGAAAACUCUGUUCAUCACAAGAGAGUAGAGGGGGAGAAACAUCAUAAGAUCCAACUAUAAUAGCAAAGCUCGCGAUACAUCAAGAUUGUUCCAUGGAGAGAACACGAGAGAGAGAUAGAUCAAACACAUAGCUACUAGUACAUACCCUCAGCCCCGAGGGUGAACUACUCCCUCCUCGUCAUGGAGAGCACCGGGAUGAUGAAGAUGGCCACCGGUGAGGGAUUCCCCCUCUGGUAGGGUGCCAGAACGGGCUCCCGAGAGGUUUUUGGUGGCUACAGAGGCUUGCGGUGGCGGAGCUCAUAAUCUAUUGUUCGCUUCGAUGUUUUUAGGGUAUAUGCGAAUAUAUAGGCGAAAGAAGUCGGUCGGAAGAAGAUAGAGAAAACAUGAGUGUCAUCCCCUAUGCCUCAGCCAUAGGUUCUAUUAUGUAUGCCAUGUUGUGUACCAGACUGAUGUGAACCUUGCCGUAAGUUUGGUAGGGAGGUACCAAAGUAAUCCCGGCAUGGAACACUGGACAUCGGUCAAGAAUAUCUUGAAAUACCUGAAAAGGACUAAGGAUAUGUUUCUCAUUUAUGGAGGUGACGAAGAGCUCGUCAUAAAGGAUUACGUUGAUGCCAGCUUCGACACAGAUCUGGAUGACUCCAAGUCACAAACCGGAUACGUGUACAUUUUGAAUGGUGAUGUCUACUACCCAACCUUCUUCUUGUAGAUGUUGUUGGGCCUCCAAGUGCAGAGGUUUGUAGGACAGUAGAAAAUUUCCUUCAAGAGGAUGACCUAAGGUUUAUCAAUCCGUGGGAGGUGUAGGAUGAAGAUGGUCUCUCUUAAACAACCCUGCAACCAAAUAACAAAGAGUCUCUUGUGUCCCCAACACACCCAAUACAAUGGUAAAUUGUAUAGGUGCGCUAGUUCGGCGAAGAGAUGGUGAUACAAGUGCAACAUGGAUGGUAAAUAUAGGUUUUUGUAAUCUGAAAAAUAUGAAAACAACAAGGUAACUAAUGAUAAAAGUGAGCACAAACGAUAUUGCAAUGCUAGGAAACAAGGCCUAGGGUUCAUACUUUCACUAGUGCAAGUUCUCUGAACAAUAAUAUCAUAAUUGGAUCAUAUAACUAUCCCUCAACAUGCAACAAAGAGUCACUCCAAACUCACUAAUAGCGGAGAAAAACGAAUAGAUUAUGGUAGGGUACGAAACCACCUCAAAGUUAUUCUUUCUGAUCGAUCUAUCAUAGAGUUCAUACUAGAAUAACACCUUAAGACACAAAUCAACCAAAACCCUAAUGUCACCUAGAUACUCCAAUGUAACCUCAAGUAUCGGUGGGCAUGAUUAUACGAUAUGCAUCACACAAUCUCAGAUUCAUCUAUUCAAACCAACACAAAGUACUUCAAAGAGUGCCCCAAAGUUUCUACCGGAGAGUCAAGACGAAAACAUGUGCCAACCCCUAUGCAUAGAUUCAUUGAACACGCAAGUUGACCACCAAAACAUACAUCAAGUAGAUCAUCUGAAUAUCCCAUUGUCACCAUAGAUAAGCACAGCAAGACAUACAUCAAGUGUUCUCAAAUCCUUAAAGACUCAAUCCGACAAGAUAACUUCAAAGGGAAAACUCAAUCCAUUACAAGAGAGUAGAGGGGGAGAAACGUCAUAAGAUCCAACUAUAAUAGCAAAGCUCCCGAUAGAUCAGGAUCGUAUCACCUCAAGAACACGAGAGAGAGAGAGAUCAAACACAUAGCUACUGGUACAUACCCUCAGCCCCGAGGGUGAACUACCACUACAAAAAAAUACACUUCCGUGAUGAUACGUGUUUGUCACAGUAGGUCGCGUUUUUUCAUGCAUGUACAUCCAUGACGAUUUAUGACACAAUCAAGAUAGUCAUACAUGUGUUGUUGUAGAAGUGUUCACAUUACCAAAAUUAUCAUCACGGAAGUGUGAAAGGACAUGCGGUGUCCCCAUGUGUGGUUUUGGUAGUUGAUGACACUCUCUAUGGACUAAUGGUUGCAUUGAAUUAUAUUUGAAGGAUUUUUCCAUAGGCUCUUCUUGAAGUCCAUGUGUUGGUUUUAAGGAGUUUAUAUGUGGACCAAGGUGCUAUUAAGGAAUUAUCGAAAGAUUGGUUAUGUUUAUUGCAAGCAUGUCUUGAAUAAGAAGAUUGUGUGAUCAUUCAUGUUUGCCUUCAAUACAUCAUGUAAAUGAAGAGAGUUAGAAAGAUUCAAGGUUGAUCAAGACUAAGUCAAGAGUGAGUCAAGUUGAUCAACUCACAAAGCGUAGAAGAUGUACCGAGAGGUAUCAAGUGAUCCCAUGGUAUGGUAAGCAUUGUCCAUUGCACUUUGGGUACUAACCCAUGGUCUAUGUGAGAGUUCUAUGUGGGGUUAGGUACGUGUCCAUGGGCUUGCAUCAAGGGGAAGAUAUCAUACAACCCAUGGAAAGGAUAACAUCAAGUGGUGAUCGUCAUCAAGAUUGCUGUGUGCAAGUUUAAGUGGAGCAUCAUGAAGAGAUCAAAUACUUGAAGCUUGCCAUCCAUUUUGGUGUCAAUGGACUUGUGAAGAUGUGCUGAAGAGUGUCUCUCCCAUAGUGGAGUAUGGGGGAGCAAUCAUCUAGUCUUCAUCUACCCAACGCGAUCAAGAAAGGUGGUCCAUCUUGGGGAGGAGAAGUUCGUCAUCAUCUAGCUCAAGUGGACCUUGUGCAAGGCAAAGUUUUUCCCUUGAUAGGUUUUCUAUUUUACCGGUCUCAUGGUGGUAGUUGGGAGACCGGGUUAUAGGAUCGUUUGCCAUACUAUCAAGGGGGGCUCUCAAGUUGGUAGCUUGAUCGUAUCGUUAGUAGAGAGCUCAAACCAUUGCAUCCUUGCCUCAUGUUUCUUCGUUCUUGUUUGGUUCUCUUUGUGAGUCUUAGAGCUAUGGUCAUAUUGAUGACAAGCUUGAGUUCAUCGAAAACGGAGUUCGCAUGCAUCUUCUAUGAUGUUUUCGGUGUUGGAGCUUUUACCGGUCUUAUCCAAGGAAGGGUUCUCACCUUUUUCUUAUGGGACUUUUUCUCAUUUGCUUCUUAUUGAUAUUUCUAUCAAUACUAUGUUAGCCCAUGUAGUUAGCUUUCUAACAAACUUGGUUUCGUUGAAUUUGGAGUCCGUUUACAAAAGUUGUGGCUGUUUUGGUAAAGGCUGCAGCGGUCCUACCGCGACUAGAGCGGAUACAAAUUUUUACUACCGCUACAGAGCGGUACUACCGGGGCUCCUGAGCGGUAGUACCGCUCCAGAGCUGUACUACCAUGGCUCCUGAGCGGUAGUACCACUUCGGACCAAAAAUCUCGUGUUUUGCUCAGCGGAGGUAGGCACGGAAGUAUUUUUUUAGUACCGCUCCUUGGAGUGGCAGUACCGCUCUGUGCGGGCUGUGAGCAUAACGGUUGGAUUUUCGCCCACCUAUAAAAAGGGGGGGUCUUCUUCCCCAUUGAACCUUAUCCUUUGAGCUCAUGUUCUUCCCCCAUUGUUGACCUUCUUCGAGCUUGCUAACUCUCAAUCCCUCCAUGGAUUCUUGCUAGUUUUUGAGGGAAAAGAGAGAGGAGAUCUAGAUCCACAUUUCCACCAAUCACUUUCUCCUCUAUGUGAGGGGAACCCAUUGGAUCUAGAUCUUGGAGUUCUUGGUGUUCUCCUUCUUGUGCUUCCUCUCAUCUUCCUCCCUAGCAUCAGUUGCUUCGGUGGGAUUUGAGAGAGAAGGACUUGGGCACUCCAUGUGCCCUUGCCAUUGCAUUUGGUGCAUCAGUUUGAGUUCUCCACGUGAUACGUGGAAGUCACAAGUUGAGAAGCUUAUUACUCUUGGGUGCUUGGUACCCUUGAGCUGUUUACUCUUGGGUGUUUGGACACCCUAGAGCUUGUUCCUCUUGGGUGCCUUGGCGCCCUAGACAGUUGGUGUUGUUCGGAGCUCAAUCAUUGUGGUGUAAAGCUCCGGGCAAGCGUCGAGGUCUCCAAUUAGGUUGUGGAGAUCGCCCCGAGCAAUUUGACGGGUAUGGGUGACCGCCCCCAAGCACUACAAAAAAAUACACUUCCGUGAUGAUACGUGUUUGUCACAGUAGGUCGCGUUUUUUGUCAUGCAUGUACAUCCAUGACGAUUUUAUGACAGAAUCAAGAUAGUCAUACCUGUGCUGUCGUAGAAGUGUUCCAUGACAUUACCAAAAUUAUCAUCACGGAAGUGUCAAUUUCAAUGAUGAUAAAUCGUGCGUCACAGAAGUGCUUUCGUCAAGGGUGACCAACAUGUGGCAUCCACCGUAACGGAACGCCGUUAAGCUGUCGGGUCGGGUUUUGGAUCCAAUAACCCGUUAACAGCCCCGGCCAAUGGGAAAUUUCCACGUGUAAAAUUCUUAUUGGCCGGACGAAACACAUGUCAGCUCAUCAGUGGGUCAGAUAGGCGCCUAUGAUAUGUCGACACAUGCCACGGUCCAGCACUAGCCCAUUUAGCUUACAAAGCCGGCCCGUUUGACUUGGUCAAAAGUUAACGGGCUGGCCCAUGAAAAGCCUGUUAACGGUCUCUUCGCAAAUAGCCCAUUUUACGGCCCGUUAACUCACGACCUGUUAGGCCCUAAAGGAAAUCGGCCCAACAACAUCAUGUGGGCCGUCGAAUAUAACACCAGCCCAUUUCACUUUCGGCCCAUGUAUGGCCCACGACGUCUUUCGGCCCAUAUGAGGCCUUCGUAUCUUUCGGCCCUUUAAAGGCUACGGUGACUCUAGCCCAUAAUGAACAGUAAUUUUCUUUGUACCCGUUAACGGCCUAUGAUUUACAUGGGCCGUUUCCAGCCCAUGUUAGCUUUCGGCCUAUUGACGGCCCAUACAUUCUUGGGCUCCUUUUCGGCCCUCGAUUACUUCAGGCCCGUUACUGGCCUGUUCCCCUAAUGGGCCAAAUUCGGCCCAUGGCAAGAGUCGGCCCAUUACUGGCAUGUUCCCCUAAUGGGCCAAAUUCGGCCCAUGGCAAGAGUCGGCCCGUUACUGGCUUGUUACCCUAAUGGGCAAAAUUCGGCCCAUGGCAAGAGUCGGCCCGUUUCUGGCCUGUUAACCCGUUGCACCGUUUCCAGCCCGUCCUAUGUUCUGGCCCAUUAACGACCGGUUAUGCCUGUGACAGAAUUAAGCCUUUGCAGUCCUAUGGCCUGUUAACGGCCUGUUACCGUGCUGGGACGAUACCAAUUAUGCCUGAUUACGGCCCAUGUAGACCCAUUUAUCCGACAGCCCGAGGCCCACCGAUUACAGGCCCAUUUAUCGACGGCCCGAGGACCACCGAUUAUAGGCACAUUUAUCGAUGGCCCGUAGGAGACCCAUGGAUCCUACGGCCCGUAUAUGGCCCAUGGUAGUUGCGGCCACUAGCAAACCAGGGAAAAAGAAUACUAGGAAAUAAAUAAGGUCGAAACUAACGCUAGGCUAUUAAGGCGAUUGCACAGAUUACAUCCACUCGGCAUCAAAGAUCGCCACCAUGGCAAAUAUAGGGAACACCCUACACUAUACAAAAAUGGCUUGUUGUUUUCUUCAGCCGGUGGUUGCACGUUAAGAAUAAAUUUUGUAUCGCACCAAAACAAAUUACAACUAUAUAACAAAAGGAAGGUUGGCAUAAAACUUAACAGUCUAGCAGAUAAAUGCACCACCAGAAGUUCAGAAGCUCUGUUCAUUUGACCUGACUGUUACGUUUUUAUGUUGUAUUGUCCGAUGGAGCACCAUAAGCCUCGCCUUCAUUUCCCCUAGGCUCCUGAACAACAUAGCAAAUGUCUGAUAGUCUGGUUUCAAAACCAUGCAUAUCUUGACGACAUUGAGCAAUGUUUCUCCUUGUUUCACAAAGGGCCUCUGUUAGGGAAUGGACUUGUGUCUGGAGCACAGAUACAACAUUGCUUUGAGCUUGCAUAUCUUGAUCAUGAGGCAGUUUGGACGAUAUUGCCUUAACAACCAACCCAGUAUUACGCAAGAACGUGCUUUUGGCACUGUUAGUGGACAGGUACUGACCCACUGCAGCAAGAGCCGACAUUGCGGUUAUAGUUGCCUCACCACCUUUAGAAGGUGGUGGUUCCACCAUUUUUUCCAUAGCUCGCUGAAAAGUUGAGGUUUUACAUUAGUAGUACCAGAGCAGAAGAUAUUAGGGAGGCAGCAAAACCAAACAAAAUAGCUUUGGUCUAUAUACAGAACUUAUUCUGGUGAACCCAUGUAAAAUAUUAGUUGUAUUUUAUUGCAAAGUACAUAAUAAAACCAGGUUCCAAACAUAUGACCAUGUACCAUCGCUAAUGUAUUGUCUAUUUCUUCACAUUGUAUUGAGGGCUAACGAUAAAGAGACAAAAUUUAUAAUACGGUAAGCAUAGUAUGACAUCAUUCAUAUCACAAAACAACUGAGAACAGACAAACAUGCAAUUAUAAUGUUGUGUGGGCAAGUCCAGCACGGAACUAGAUUACGGGUCAAGAUCAAAGGAACAUCACUCCUCUCUUUUAAAACUUGUAAGGUGCAAUGAUACGCUAAGACAAUUGUGUAUAAAAUUGAAAAGAGUAAUAGACAUUGGCUGCAAACCAUGCAAUUCAAGGCACAAGUCAGAGUAAGUAGUAGUUAAAAGGCAUGAGGAUUAAGGACUUACAGCAACGGCUUUGACUGGUGUAGUCAUGCCCUUCUUCUUGCUGGUGUGACAGUCCUUGAAGAUUUCCACAACAUUUGGUUUAGGUACUUUUUGGUCCUUGCAGGCUUUCCUCUGCAUUUCGAACAAGUCAAUAUAGAUCUGAUAAUAUGGUACAACAAAAAGAGUGAAACAACAGCUAAUUACAAGAGCCUCGCAGUCUGCAAUAUAGCUAUGAGAUCCUGUCGUCUGUUGGAAUUUCACUUUCGUAUGGUUGGCCUUGUUCUUUGAACAGUUCACCUACAAGAAGAUAGAUUUGUGUGGCACAUGUGAUCUGAUCACAUAUAUAUAAUGUACCUGAUACUUCAGAUCAGAUCAGUGUUUAACAAGGCCCCUCCAGUCUUCAUCCGAUAUAUUUUCCACUGGAGAUGUUUGGGAAAGUUCACUGUUAGCCUUGCCUUCAAAGUGAGUUUUCCUCAAGUUAUACCGAUACUGUCGCAGAGCAGACUUGAAAACAUGGGUGCAAGCUUGUCUGGUUGCAUCAUCUUGGCUAUCCAACUUGAACCUCAUCCGUUUAAAAUUAUGGGAGUCUCAUUAUCAACAACCUAGAAAGUAUGGGACAGAGCAAGAUGAUAUUACUAGUUUCCAUACAUAACCAUACUUACAGAUAAAUGGUCGAGGAAGGUGUUGAACUGGGUUUCGUCUUUGUCAUUCCUGUACUGAAUCCAUGUUGGGAGGAUACAUACAUGACACCUAACAGCAACCGCUGCCUCUGAUACUAACUUGGCUGACUCUGUAGCAUCACAUGGCCUUUUUAAACCUGCCUCAAAACGGAUCCCCAUUCUUCCUCCUCUAGAUUUAGUUAACCUAUCAAGCAUUAUCCCUGAUGUUUGUUUCCUCUUGCGCCUAGGUGCUAGUCCAACAACGAACAUAGGAAGUGUUAGUGUACAUCAAACUGUGAGACUACAUAUAAAGAAGCAUGCAACUGUAACUUGACUCCAGCAACUAUCUUCUUGCUGUUUAAGCUCACAAGGUUCAUCUGAUAUUACCAACUCGUCUUGUGUCAAGAGUGCUUGGGAAGUAGUGUCAGGUGGCAAGGGAGCUUGGGAACGUGCUGCUAUCUCAGUUGACGCACGAGUAAGUCGUGCAGCUGGUAGUAUUGUGGUAGGUGUUGCAAGAACUAGGGCUGUCUCUGCUUGUUUGGUGGUAGCUAUUUGUUUCUGUUUGGCCUUUUUUGCACCUCGUGUAGCAUGGGAUGCCGUGUUUGUAGAAUUUUCCGCUGGACUUUGACCUUCUAUUGCACCAUCAGUACCAGCAGAAUCUGCAGGAUUCAUCCGCUUCUCAUUCCCUACCAUUCUAUGUUUCUUCCUCUUUCUCUGUGCCAUGUUAAGUCAAGCCGACAAGAAAAACGAAUAACAAUUUAGUUCUUCAGAACAAAUUGAUCCGUGAUGCAGAUGAACAGAACUUUGAUGUUAGACAACCACAUGAUAGGAGGAUGUAAUAUGUAUGAGAAACAGGAUGGAAGAGAUAACCAGAACUAUGAUGUGUAAACUAAGAAGAAGACAUUUCACCAAAUUAGAAGCAAUGCAAUGGAAGGUAGACACCAUAUGAAAGAUGCUACCAAUAUCGCUCUGCCAAGUUAACAAUGUCUCAUCAUAAAUGGCAUUUAAACAAAUGUGAAGCAGUACAAGAAAUAAAUCAUAUGCAAGAUGCAAACAACAUCACACUACCAUGUUAGUGGUCUCUCGUCAUUAGUGCCAUUGCAUAUUCACAGCAUUGCAUAUUCACAGCUUAUGAUGUAUAAACUAAAGAGAAGGCAUUUCAACAAAUUAGAAGCAAUGAAAGCUAGACACCAUAUGAAAGAUGCAACGAAUAUCACUCUAUCAAGUUAAAACUGUCUCGUCAUAAGUGCCAUUUCAACAAAUUAGUAGUACAAGCUAGAAAAUAAUGUGAGAUGUAACCUAUAUCACACUCCGAAGUCAAACAUGUCUUAUGAUAAGUGAUUGUUGCAGGUUACACAACAGUAGUAAUUUGAUGUAAGAACAGGGUGUGAUAGACAGAUAUUGUAUGUUCUAGAAACAGGAACACGUGUCUUAUUCAAGUAUAAUGUGUAAAGUAAGCAGAUGGAAUUCAACAAAAUUAGAAGCAAUACAAGCUAGACAUCACACAUAACCUGCAACCACAUAUAACAAUGCCAAGUUAGAGGGAGCACCGGUGAUGCUGCACUAGGGGAGACGUGCUCAUCAUAAACACAACUUUGUUGAGUGUCUAUGCAUGUGUUGUCUUGGAAAUCAUCUUGGGGGUGUGGAGAAGUAGAAACUAUAGAGGCCCUCCGUUCGGAAGGAGCACCUUUAUCCGCUGCCUUGCUGACUUCCUUCUGCUUUAUUGAUUUUGAAUUGUCAAGUAAAACCGACAAGAAAACGCAAUAAAAUUCUCUCUUCAGAACUCAUUCAUGCAUUAUACUGACAAUCACUACUUUGAUGUAAGGCAAACACAUGAUACCAGGAUGGAAUAUGUAUGAAAAAUAGGACGGCAUGGCAUGUUCACAACUGUUUGUGUAAACUAAGCAGAAACCAUUCCAGCAAAUAAGAAGCAAUGCAAGCUAGACACCACAUGAAAGAUGCAACCAAUAUGACUCUGCCAAGUUAAAAGCAUCCCAUCAUAAAUGGAAUUUCAACAAAUUAGAAGCAGCGCAUGCUAUAAAUCAUAUGAAAGAUCCAACUAAUAUCGCACUGCAUAUACUAAAGGUGUCUCGUCAUUUUGAUUGAUGCGGGAUACAAAAAAAAACAAUAGUUUUAUGUAAGGACAUGCUUAAUAGACAGAUGUACUAUGUACUAAAUACAGGAAGGCAUGUCACAUUAACAGGUAUAAUGUAUAAGCUAAGCAGACUAGCACAUGCAGUUUUACCAUAUUGGAAGAAUUACAAUCUAGACACCAUAUGCAACAUGCAACCACAUAUCACGCUGCCAAGUUAGAGCAAGCACCUGCAAUGCUAGUCUAGGGGAAAUGCUGUAAUCAACUACAGAGCUACGUUCACUAUCUUCAUCUAGCAUUUCUGUUUCUUGAGAAUCAUGUUGGGAGGUUGACGCUGCAUUCUUUAAAUGAGGAAUUUUAAAGUAUGACAAUUUUUUUUCCAAACAUACACUACUAGGGAAAAUGCUAUACACAGAGGUAUAGCAGUAGCGUUGGUCAAAACUCGGCGCUAGCGCUACUUAGUAGUAGUGCUUGUUGCAAAACCACUCUACAACCAUUAUUUUAGCAGUAGCGCGUCUUCACAGAAAAGUGCUACUACUAAAAUUUCCUCACUAGUGCCGGUAGGCUAGGAAUAGUAGUAGCGGUUCUCCCAGAAGCACGCUAUUGCUAAAAACAUUGUAGCAGCGCGUUUCUGCUGUAGAGCGCUACUGCUAUGUAAAAGAAAAUAAAUAGAAAAAUAAGUAGAAAAGUAAAUGAAAAUGAAAGAAAUAGCAAAAGGAGAAAUGAAAAAAAGAAAAUGUAAAGAAAACAAAAGAAAAAGAAAAAGAAAACACAAAGGGAUAGCUGUAGCGCGUUUCUCUGGAACACGCUAUCGCUACCUUAGCUAUAGCGCGUUUCGGCAAAACGCGCUACUGCUAGUUUGACUCAAAUCCCGGCUGCCCGGGCUCAAAAUUUCGCUAAGUCCUUUCCCCCCCUCUCUACUCCCCCCUGUNNNNNNNNNNNNNNNNNNNNNNNNNNNNNNNNNNNNNNNNNNNNNNNNNNNNNNNNNNNNNNNNNNNNNNNNNNNNNNNNNNNNNNNNNNNNNNNNNNNNNNNNNNNNNNNNNNNNNNNNNNNNNNNNNNNNNNNNNNNNNNNNNNNNNNNNNNNNNNNNNNNNNNNNNNNNNNNNNNNNNNNNNNNNNNNNNNNNNNNNNNNNNNNNNNNNNNNNNNNNNNNNNNNNNNNNNNNNNNNNNNNNNNNNNNNNNNNNNNNNNNNNNNNNNNNNNNNNNNNNNNNNNNNNNNNNNNNNNNNNNNNNGGUCGCCCCCUUGACCUCACAGCCACCGCCCGAGGCCGUCGUCGACCUCACUGUCGCCUCCCUCGGGCUCACCACCGCCGCCCUCGACCUCACCGCCGCUGCCCGAGCCAGAGCCUGCCCUCGCCGCCGACCGUAAGGCUAUGCCUCUCCUGUCCCCUACCCUCCUAUUUCUCUCUGCUAGGGCAAUUAUAUAUAUGUUGAUACUGUGUUGAUGUUCAUAUGAACCCUAGGUGUUCAUAUGAACUCUAGAUUUUUUUAGGGCAGUAGGCAUUUUAUAGCAUCUAGGAAAAAUGAUUAGCAAUUUUUUUAGGAAAUUAGCUAGGGCAAUUUUUAUGAAAAUUCCUAAACAGUAAUUCCAUUUAGCUUUAAACUAAUAGAGGGUAUAUAAAUAAUAGUAGCAUUUAGAUUUAAAUUAACAGAGGGUAUAAACAAAAAACACUUAGCUAUAAAAAAUAUUUGGACUACGGACCUGAAUUUGUUCCAACUUUCAUUCAAAUGAAAUUUGAAUUAUUUGGACUAUGGACCUGAAUAUUUUUGAAGAAAUUGGGUGUAGGUACUAAGGUCUUGCUGUGGAAAUUUUGGUGAGGUCAAAAGGGUUAGAGAAAAUGUAGUUCCUAGACUUUUAGCUUUAGACAAAAAACAAAAGUAUUUAGCUAUAAAUAAAAAACAGUAGCUAUGGCAUUUAGCUAUAAACAAAAAACAGAAUUGUUUUUCUUUUCAAAAACUUGGUCAAACUAAUUGUUGUUAUGUAAACAAAAAACAAGAUUGUUUUUAUAUGAUAUAUGUCAUUGAUGUUCAUUUGCAUAUUCCAUUAUUGCUGAUUAUAUCUUUUCAUUGAAGUGGCCAUGUUAUAUGCAAAUUCCUCAAUAGUGUUUUCUCAUGUUAUAUCUUUUCAUUGAAGUUGUUCGAUUGUGCCCAAGUGGCUUUGUUGUUUCCAGGGAAUGAUGCUGAGUGGCCUAUGUUUUGCCGGAAUGUUGAUUCAUUUCUGUUUCGGCAAAUUUCAGGUUCUCGAUUUGUCCACUUUUUAGCAAAGGUCAUGCCGAAAUUUUCCGUGAAUUUCGGCAUGACUUGUGCUACAAACUAGGACAUAUCGAGUGCCCGGGAUUUGCCGCACCAGGAAGGAGUCAACAUUCCUGCAAAACAAUAGUCCUUUUUUAUGUCAUUAUUCAUUUUAUUAGGUCUAGAAUUAAUUGACUAGAUUUAAUCAUAGGAAACAUGGCUAGCAACGACGAAGGACAGGGUUCUGGUGAUUACGACGACAUCUACCGGGCGGCAGACGAUUUUUUUAGCCUUACCGACGAUCAACCAUGUUGUUGCUGGGCCCACCGGUGGCAUCGGGGACUGAGACCGACACGCAGACCGGUGCUGAGACUGAGACCGGCACUGAGAUUCAGACCGACAUCGAGACCGGUGCUGAGACCUGUGCUGCCUCGGGGAGCGGAGCCGGUGUCGAACCGAAAGCAAAGAGCCAACGGGUUCCUAAAAAACUCAGGACGACUAGACUGUUGGUCACGGAGGUGGACGAUGGCAAUUUUGAGCCAAAGGUGCCUGAGGUAGCGCGCGCGUGCUACGUCAAUCAAAUAGGCUGCAUCGUACGGACAACCGCCACCAUCAACGAUGAGAAACUACAGAAGAUAGAAAAUAUGAGGAGCUCCCUCCUAAAGAAGUUUCACCAGAUAUUCUUGUUCCCGGGCCGGAAUGAGAAGGAUUAUGAAGAUCCAGACGAGGACCCGGCAAUGAAGAAGAUAAACAAACACGCCAUGACCAAGUUUAGCGACGCGUUGGCCGCCUGGAAAAAUCGAGUGAAAGCAAAGAUGAACGACAAGGAACCCUACACCAAGAUUGUAAAGGAUAAUCCGACAAUCACGGAAGAGCAGUUUCCAAUAUUCAAGGAGGCUUGCAAGGCCGAAGCUGCCAAAAAAAGGUCUAAGUACAUGAAGGGGCUUCAAAAGAGGAACAUUGGGAGCCACCACCUCGGAAGUCGUGGUUACGGCGGAAAGAGGUCCAAAUGGGCCAAGGAGGACGCGGAAGCCGCGAGUCUGGGCAUCCUAGACCCCUUGGUGGAUUUCACUGUCCCGCAGGAGCGUGACGUCCUAAGGGCCCGACACCGUUGGGACCCAGUAAAGAAGUCUAGGAAGAGAGCGAGGAAAGGCAAAAAAGCUGAUUCUAUGAUCCAGCCGCCUUAGCAGCCUCGGCUUCAGGACCGUAUAGAUAUCCCCGAUGCGGAUAAAUGGCAUAUCCCCGGUCAACCAAUCCUACCUGCAACAGCGCUACGAGCCAGAUUCGGCGAUCUAAGGAGACUUCAUGACGAUGUGCUGCGGGAAGAGAAAGGCCUCAUCGCCUCGAAAGAUCCAGGAUACCCACUCUACGUGGUUAACGAUAUGAGGAGAAGGAGGAGAGGCAAGAGUUCAAGCUUGGUAAUGCUCAAGGCACCCCAAGGAAAUAUUCAAGGAGACUCAGGCGUCUAAGCUUGGGGAUGCCCCGGAAGGCAUCCCAUCUUUCUUCAACAAGUAUCGGUAUAUUUUGGUUUUUGUUUCAUUCACGUGAUAUGCGUUAAUCUUGGAGCGUAUUUUAUGUUUAGUUUUCACUUUUGUUUUAUGCACCAUGCUAGUAUGAGAUAGUCCAUGCCUGAUUUAUAGAAUGCUCAUUGCACUUCACUUAAAUAUUUUGAGUAUGACUUUAUAGAAUGCUUCAUGUGCUUCACUUAUAUCAUUUGAAGUUUGGAUUGCCUGUUUCUCUUUACAUGGAAAACUGUUAUUUGUAGAAUGCUCUUUUGCUUCACUUAUGUUUAUUAGAGCGUGGUAUUUUGUAGAAAUAAUUAAACUUUCAUGCCUCACUUAUAUCUAUUUAGAGAGUUAACACGAAUUGGUCAUUUGCAUGGUUAGUCAUAAAAUCCUACAUAAAACUUGUGGAUCACUGAAUAUGAUAUGUUUGAUUCCUUGCAAUAGUUUUGCGAUAUAGAGAUGAUAAUAUAUGGGAGGUACUAGUAAACGGUUGUGUUUAGUAAUAAUAUUGGUGUUAAGGCUUGUGAUGCCCGAAGCAUGCACAUAUAGUCUCUAGUUAUGCUAUGAAGUUGGAGCAUGAUUUCUUAUUGAUUGUCUUCCUUAUGCAUGGCGGUCGGGGACGAGCGAUGGUCUUUUCCUACCAAUCUAUCCCCCUAGGGGCAUGCGUAGCAGUACUUUUCUUCAAGGACUAAUAAACUUUUGCAAUAAGUAUAUGCGUUCUUUAUGAGUAAUGUGAGUCCAUGGAUUAUACACACUCUUACCUUUCUGCAGUUUGCUAGCCUCUACGGUACUGUGCAUUGCCCUUUCUCACCUCGAGAGUCGGUGCAAACUUCGCAGGUGCAUCCAAAUCCCGUGAUAUGAUUCACUCUAUCACACAUAAGCCUUAUUAUAUCUUCCUCAAAACAGCCACCAUACCUACCUACCUAUUAUGGUCUUUCCAUAGCCAUUUCGAGAUAUAUUGCCAUGCAACUUCUCCCGCUUCUGUUUUGAUGACUUGAGCAUUCAUUGUCAUAUUGCUUUGCAUGAUCGUAAGAUAGCUAGCAUGAUAUUUCCAUGGCUUGUCCUUUUUUGAUGUCCUUUCUAUACUAGAUCAUUGCACAUCCUGGUACACUGCGAGAGGCAUUCAUAUAGAGUCAUACUUUGUUCUAGGUAUCGAGUUGUAAUAUUGAGUUGUAAGUAAAUAGAAGUGUGAUGAUCAUCAUUAUUCAUUAUUAAAGCAUGUCCCAGUGAGGAAAGGAUGAUGGAGACUAUGAUUCCCACACAAGUCGGGAUGAGACUCCAGACAGAAAGAAAAAAAAGAAAAGAAAAUAAGAAAAAACGAAAAAAAGAAAAAGAAAAAAGAAAUAAAAUAAAAUCUAUAUCUAUACCUACUAAUAAAGCAAGGUGUGUUUCUCCAAUUUUUUCAUCCGUUCACCACUAAAAUAUUUUUUGUUUCUAUUCGAGGUCGUACUAAACUUUUGUACUUCGUCUGUUACCAAAGGAAAAACGAUUUGCGGAGAACUUCGUACGUGGGCCGCGCGCCCUAUGGCCCAGUAAAGUCAGCCCUUUUUCCUGCCCACGCAGCAAUAAACAAAUGCUAUUUUCCGCUCAAUGCGGCAUAUAGUUUUAGCAACGCACAGGGCGACCAAGACACCGCAGCCCAUUUUCGUUUGUGUUUUCUUUCAAAUUUUCUUUUUCUGUUUCUUAUUCUUUUUAUUUCCAGUUUCCUUUAUUUUUUUCGAUUGUAAGUAUAUUUUUAAUUGUUUUCUGAAAUUCCACAAUUUUCAAAAAAUGAUUACAGCUUAAAUUUUUAUUCACAAUUUCGUAAAAAGUUACGAACUAUAAAAAUGUGUUCCUAUUUUAAAAAUGUUUCUAUUUCGUGUCGUGCGAAAAUAUGUUCAAAAUUUAAAAAAUAUUCCAUUUUUAGUAAAAUGUUCGUAUUUUUCAAAAAAUUCAAGAUUUAAACAAAUGCAUUUAAAAAAUCUUCCAAAUUGGAAAAAUGUUCUUGAUUUACAUAUAGGUUUAAAAAAUGAAAAGAAUGUUUGCAUUAAAUAAACACAUUUUCUAAAAUUCUUUUGCAUGUUUAACACAUCUUCCCAUUUAAAAAAAUUGUUCACAACAUAAAAACAUUCAUAUUUUUAUAAGAAUGUUCAUGUAUUUAAGAAAUGUAUGCGAAUCUCAGGAAAUGUUCUUUUCAAAUUUUUUGUUCUUGCUUUGUCCAAAAUAGUAUGGAAUUUCCAAAAAAUGUUCAAAAUUUGGAAAAUUGUUGACGUUGCCAAGUAUAUUCGGUAGUUCAUGUUAUGAAAUCCAAAAUUGUGUUCAUAUAUAAAAAAUAUUUGAAAUGUUAAAUUUUUGUCAUUCUGAUUUCUUUUCAGAAUUUUAAAAAUUAUUCCCAUUUUUUGGAAAAUGUUUGGGGUUUCCCAAUUUUGUUCAAGAUUUAAAAUAUAAUUUGAAAAUAUUCUUGUUUUAGUGAUAUGUUCAAAAAUUGAAAAUAAUUUUUGCAUUACAAGACACAUUUUCUAAAUUUCUUCCAUAUGUUCAAAACAUGUUCUCGUUGCCAAAAAUUGUUCACAACUUAAAAAAACCGUAUUUUUAUAAAACGUUCAUGCUUUUAAGAAAUGUUUGUGAGUUUCAAUAAAUGUUCUGUUCAAAUUUUUUGUUCGUCUUUCUAAAAUGUGUGGAAUUUAAAAAACAUAAUUUGGAAAAUUAUUCACAUUGCCAAGUAUUCCAUUGCAAGUAUAUUUUUAGUUGUUUUCUGAAAUUCCACAAUUUUCAAAAAAUGUUUGCAUUUUCAAUUUUUAUUCACAAUUUCGAAAAAAAUUACGAAUUAUAAAAAUGUGUUCCGAUUUUAAAAAAUGUUUCUAUUUUGUGCCAUGCCAAAAUAUGUUCAAAAUUUAAAAAAUAUUCCAUUUUUAGUAAAAUGUUCGUAUUUUUCAAAAAAUUCAAGAUUUAAACAAAUGCAUUUAAAAAAUGUUCCAAAUUGGAAAGAUAUUCUUGAUUUACAAAUAAGUUUAAUAAUUGAAAAGAAUGUUUGCAUUAAAGAAACACAUUUACUAAAAUUCUUUUCCAUGUUUAACACAUCUUCUCAUUUAAAAAAAUUGUUCACAACAUAAAAACAUUCAUAUUUUUAUAAGAAUGUUCAUGUAUUUAAGAAAUGUAUGCGAAUUUCAGGAAAUGUUCUUUUCAUAUUUUUUGUUCUUGCUUUGUCCAAAAAUGUAUGGAAUUUUCAAAAAAAAUGUUCAAAAUUUGGAAAAUUGUUCACGUUGCCAAGUAUAUUCGGUAGUUCAUGUUAUGAAUUCCAAAAUUGCGUUUCUAUUUGAAAAAUGUUUGAAAUUUUAAAUUUUUGUCAUUCUAAUUUCUUUUCAGAAUUUUAAAAAUUAUUCCCAUUUUUUGGAAAAUGUUUGGGUUUUCCCAAUUUUGUUCAAGAUUUAAAAAUGUUACAAAUUUAAAAAUAUUCUUGUUUUAGUGAUAGGUUCAAAAAUUGAAAAUAAUUUUUGCAUUACAAGACAGAUUUUCUGAAUUUCUUCCAUAUGUUCAAAACAUGUUCCUAUUGCCAAAAAUUGUUCACAACUUCAAAAAAAAUCGUAGUUUUAUAAAAAGUUCAUGCUUUUAAGAAAUAUUUGUGAAUUUCAAAAAAUGUUCCGUUCAAAUUUUUGUUUGUCUUUCUAAAAUGUGUGGAAUUUUAAAAAAAAUGUAAUUUGGAAAAGUGUUCACGUUGCCAAGUAUAUUUGGCAUUUCAUAGUUAUUAGUUUUUUAAAAGUUCAAAAAAAAAGUUUUGAAUCUGACGUUGCAUUAGAUUCUUUAAUAUUAACGCUAACCAUUGGUUAGAAGAGCGCAUUUGUUUGAGUGUCUUGCAACAUGUGGUCCGGUCUUUGAGGUCGUGCGUUCGAUCAGUCCCAUACUGGGCCUGCUCCGCAUCCGGUGCAUCAAGCUAAGUCGGCUUAUUUAGAAUAAGGAACACCAUAAAUUAUUGACAGUGGUAGCUUCCAUGCGUCAAUAAAAGAGAAUAUGCUGGUUAAUUAUAAUUGAAACAAAUUAUAGGCACGUGCCAAUAACAAAGUGGUUGGCUCUAAUUAAAGGGUGCCAUGUUGAACUAGAGAAUACAUACAUGUGGGGGUCUUGAUCCAUUCUUAUAUUAAGCUAGAGGCAUGUAAUUUUAUCGUCCCGUUGCAACGGACGAGCAUGUGUGCUAGUGAGUGAAAAGAGAGAAGGGGCAUGCUAGUUCCACAUUUGUGCUUCAAAGUAGCACCAUAUUUUUCAUAUAGAGAGUCUCCUAUGUUGUCACUUUCAUAUACUAGUGGGAUUUUUUCAUUAUAGAGUUAGAUGCACACCCACUUAGUUUCCAUGUUGAGCUUUCAUACACUUAUAUCUCUUAGUGCAUGCGUUGCAUGGCAAUCCCUACUCCUCACAUUGAUAUCAAUUGAUGGGUAUCUCCAUAGUUCGUUGAUUAGCCGCGUCGAUGUGAGACUUUCUUACCUUUUGGUCUUCUCAAUAUUCACCCCUAUCAUCAUACUCUAUUCCACCCAUAGUGCUAUGUCCAUGGCUUGCUCUCAUGUAUUGCGCGAGGGUUGAAAAAGUUGAAGAGCGUUAAAAAGUAUGAACCAAUUACUCGGCUUGUCAUCAGGGUUGUGCAUGAUAAAUACUGUGUGUUAAGAAGAUGGAGCAUGACAAGAUUAUAUGAUUUUUUUAGGGAUAGCAUUCUUUAGCAUUGAUAUUUUGAAAGACAUGAUUGUUUGUUCGGAUUCCUGAGUAUUGAUGUCUUUAUGUCAAAUUAUAGACUAUUGCUUUGAAUCACAAAUGUCUUAAUAUUCAUGCCAUGAUUAGAUAUAUGAUCAACAUUAUGCUAGGUUGCAUUCCACAUAAAAAAAUAUCUUUUUUUAUCAUUUACCUACUCGAGGACGAGCAGGAAUUAAGCUUGGGGAUGCUGAUAUGUCUCCUUAGUAUCUAUAAUUUUUGAUUGUUUCAUGCCAAUAUUAUACAACUUCCACAUACUUUUGGCAACAAUUUAUAUGAUUUAUUGGACUAACAUAUUGAUCCAGUGCCCAGUUCCAGUUCUUGUUUGUUGCAUUUUUGUUUCACAGAAUAUCCAUAUCAAACGAAGUCUAGACACGAUAAAACUUUACAGAGAUUUCUUUGGAAUAUAUGUGAAUUUUUGUAAGAAAUAUCAACGCAAGACAAUGCUCAAGGGGCCCACCACCCACCAGGUUACGCCAGGGGAUGCCCGACGUGCCCUGAUGGGUUGUUGGCACCUCAUAAGGCGGUGGCUGCCUUCUUUCGCCGCAAGAAAGAUAAUUUAUGGAUUAAAAUCCCCUCAAAAUUUCAGCCCAAUCAGAUUUAUGGAUCUCCGGGAAUUUAAGAAACGGUGAAGGGCCAGAAAAUAGGAACGCGAAACAGAAGAGAACAGAGGGAGAGAUCCAAUCUCAGAGGGGCUCCCGCCCCUCCGCCACCAUGGCAACGAUGUACUAGAGGGGCAACUCCCCUCCCAUCUAGGGGGGCAAGGAAGAAGAAUAAGGAGGGGGGGUUCUCUCUCCCUCUCUCCCGGUGGCGCCGGAACGUGGCCGCAGCAAUUGUCUUGUGACGGCUAUCUACUCCAACAACUCCGUUAUCUUCACCAACAUCUUCAUCACCUUCCCCCAUCUAUCUAUAGUGGUCCACUCUCCCGCAACCCUCUGUACCCUGUACUUAAACAUGGUGCUUUAUGCUUCAUAUUAUUAUCCAAUGAUGUGUGGCCAUCCUAUGAUGUCUGAGUAGAUUUUUAUUGUCCUAUCGGUAAUUAGUGAAUUGCUAUGGUUGGUUUCAUUUGCUUGUGGAUAUGUUGCUGUCCUUUGGUGCCCAUCAUAUGAGCGCGCAUGUGGAUCACACCAUAGGAUUAGUUGUCUGUUGAUAGAAUUAUGCAUUGGAGGGCAAGGGUGACAGAAGCUUCUUCCUACUAUAGAAAUUGAUGCAUACGGGUUUGAAGGAGGGGCCAAUAUAUAUCUUAAUGCUCAAGUAGAGGGUACACCUUUACAUUCUACAUAGGCUAAACAUGGUACUAAUCAAUGAAAAAAAUUCUAGGUGUCCCUAUUCACCCCUCUUAGUCCCAUCUCUGUCCUUCCAGUUACAGUGCUGACGAUUCCUAUUGGUAGCAUUAACCAAUAAAAUGUCACCCUUCCACACAAGGGGUAAUAAAUGUAACAUGGGGAUGGACUUUCCCAUUAUGCUAAUUUAGUUAGAUAAAAAAUGGGUUUUGGAAACCUUAUAGAAGGUUUCAUUUGAUUAUUUAUAAAUACUAGGUUUUAUGUGUUUCUUUUCUUGUUUUUAUUUUCAAAUAAACUUUAAAAUCUGGAUUUAUAAAAACCUCUGUAUUUAAAGAUGUUUUGACUUCAGAAGAAUGUUCAAAAUAUUUAAAAAUUCGCAAUUCAAAAUGUUCUCUUUUAAAAAAAAUAUUUAAAAUCUUUCGAAUUAAAAAAAUGUCAGCAUUAUUUUUUUACAAAAAGCUUCACGGCAGUUUUGAAUGAUGUUCCUGUUUUUCUUUACUUUUUUACAUUAGAAAAAAUAAAUUUCAUCUAGAAAACCACAAUUAAAAACAAUAAAACUAUAAUGAGACAAAAAAAAUCUAGGAUCGGUAAGCAUGUUGGCUACAUGGGUCGGCCCAGUCUAGUGGUGCAUUAUAUGGAACACGGAAAAUUUGACGCCCAUGCGUCACAUAGGAGCUCCCUACAGCGCGUUCCCCCAUGGUGCAUCGUAAGUGGGCCAGCCUAGCAUUGGUAGCAGCCAUAACUAUAUAUAGACCAUGUGUAUGUCUCACAGAGGAGGUUGUCAAUAUUUUCAUGAAAGUGGCGUUUAAUCGUGGCAUAUAACUCAUAAACAAUGGUUCCAAUUCAUUCCUUAAGUAUUCUAUUACAUUUCUUUAAUAUCAUGAAACCAUAUGAUAUUUAUUUCUAUAAGAUGUAAAUCUUUCUCUAGUACGUGUGAUGCUAAACCAUAAAAAAAUAACUGAAUAUUGCGCAUAUCUUUAUUUAAUGUGCACACAAUAUUUCAUAUUUAAUGUGCACAAAAUAUAUGACAUUAAUUAAAAUAUUUUUUGUUCAUUAAAUAAAGAUUUGCACAAUAUUCAGUUAAUUUUGUAUGGUUUAGCUUGACACGUACUAGAGAAAGACACAAAACAUAUGGUCUAUAUAUCUGGUUGUCGGGGAAACCGAUCCACGAACACCUAUGGGACCGGCGAACCGAGCCCCUUUCGGUUCGGCUAGGGGCGGAGAUCGCACGAAGAGCGGAUCGAGGCGAAGCACACGAGCAGUUUACCCAGCUUCGGAGCUCUCCGGAGAGAUAACACUCCUACUGCUGCAUGUCUGAGUGUAUUGAGUUCUUGCUCGGGAGCGCUGAGUGCUACAGUACACACUAGCUGCUAACGAGACCGAGCGUGAGUGUUUUUCUGCCUUCGAACCUUCCGAACCGAACCCCCACCUUCCUCCAUGUUGCGCAUGGGCCUCCUUUUAUAUGUUCAAGGGGUCACUGACAGGUGGCAACGUAGACAAGGGUAAAAAUGGAAAAGUGUUGCGGUUGGUACAACUACCUGUACAGUGUAUCCUAUCUAACCCUGACGGCAGGGGACAAAGGCAUUAAAUGCCCGUCUGCGUCGCCCAAAUAGUGCGGAAAGGGACCGUCAGGGACACCACCGCUCGCCAUGAUGGCAAUCUUGUCAGCAUCGCUUGCCACCGCGCACCGCUGGCUGCACAGCCUCUUGCCACGCGCGCCUGGAAAGGCUCCAGGGCGACACGUUGGUGGAUGUGCUGGAGCGCAGGUAUAGAGUGGUAGCUUCCCGCGGCAAGCGCCUUGCCGCGGUCAUUGUCUUGUCGCGUCCGGAAGCUUGUCGCUCACCGGGCCUCGCCGGGACGCGUGGCACGUCGCGGCAAGUUUCUUGAGAUGCCUUGGUUGGCCUUCCCGGCAAGCUCCUCUUGCCUGGGCCUUGUCUCCUUGGCUUGAAUACUUUGUUCUUGAAUGGCUCCAAAGGAACCACGGAGGACCUUGGCGGUCGCCCGGCAAGCCUUGCCGCGGGGUGCUGCAACUGCCCGUGCACAAGUUCAGGAUACUAGGGUACCCCUACUCUAGUACACCGACAGAAGCCCCCGGGCCUGGGCCACACAUGGUGCCGAGCGCUGUUGGGCCAGGCCCAAAACAGGGCACGAGCACGCGCGGCCUGGGUUACGCUGUAUCUUACUCCGUAUCCACCGCGCCCUCCUCGAACGGCACGCGUCGAAUGCGGCAUCGUGGGAGAGAUCGUGGGUGGUUUUUUUAUUCGGAAGGACGGAACGUCCGCCCCCUCCCUCUUUAUAAGCAGGGGAAACAGGGGCAGUUCGCCCACCUCGCUGGUUGCUACUCCAAUCUCAGAAAUCUCCGCCGCUCCCCCCUUCGUCCCGAAGCUGAAAGAGAGCAGCGCUCCGCCCCUCAUCGCCACCGGCACCACCAACGCCAUCGAUCUCCCCCACCACCUCCGCCAUGGCUCCAAAAGCCGACAAGGGGAAGGGCGUGAAGUCGGCCGAGGCGCAGCGGCUCGCGGCGCUGCAAAAGGAGCGAGCAAUCUUCCCCCCUCAGCUUGCCGCGAAGGAGCUGAGAGAGUACUACUACCUCUUCUGGUCGACGGAGACGCGAGCGCAUCCGCACGAAGGUACUCUCAGCUGUCGCUUCGGAGCUGGCUCCGAAUGGAUAUCCCUUCUUCGCGUUGUUCUUCUACUGCGGGCUCUGCCCUCCUUUCUCUGAGUUUUUCUGCGAUAUUAUGAACACCUACGGGUUCCGCCUCCUUGACUUCACCCCCAACGCCGUUCUGACCAUGGCAGUUUUCGCACAUCUCUGCGAAAACUUUGUUGGAGUCCAUCCAAACGUAGCUCUUUUUCGCCACUUCUUUAUGCCCCGGGUUGAGAGAGGGGAGCCUUUAUCCGGCGGAAUCGCCGGGAUUUCGAGAGUUGGCAAGAAGGAAGCUUAUCUGGAGGGAGAGCUCCGCAACAAGUGGGAGGAAUGGAGAGCAGAGUGGUGCUGGAUUGUCGAGGAGAACCCGCAGCUGUUUACCGCCCUGCGCCAAGCCCCAGUAGCGCGCGGCAACGAUUGGAGCAACGUGGCCCCGGAAGAUGAUAGGUUGAAGAUUGCCGUCACCCGGAUCUUACGCCUCAGGCUUGCCGGGGUCACCGUAGGCGCCGUUGGCGCAGAUUUUCUUCGCCACCGCAUCGCCCCCCUGCAGGAGAGGAGGAGACCCGCCUGGGAGUUCCAGAACGCGGCGGAUAUCAUGAGAAUGCGCCCGGGCCUCAACUUCAACUUCACUGUCCUAGAACUGGACGGGAUGCUCCUGGAACUGUUCAAGCGCGAUCCUCAACAUCCAUUCAUGUUGCCGAGGGGUGUCGUUCCGCUGUGCAACAACUCCUCGCUCGACCGCAUCCGUGCAAUGAUGCCGCUGUGCGAUUCGCAUGGAAUUGUUCCAACUUGGCAAGAGCCUGCAGACAACGUCGUGCAGGAGUUUUUUGAUGGCUUGGUAGAAGUGCGGGUCCGCCCCGAUGAACAGAAGAGCCUUACUCGCGACACCACCGACGCGGAGAUGCAGCGCAUCGCCACUAGGCUGGAAGAGGCGGCGGCAGCAGCUGCCGCGGGCGAGUUUGGAUUCACCAUGGAGGAGGCAGAGGCAGCAGAGGCGGCAAGCCUUGUCGAGCGAGAGGGGCUUGCCGGCGAGGAAGAGCUUGUCGGGCCUGAAGCUGAGUCGAGAGAGCCCGCCGAGGGCACGAGCGACUCGUUGAAGAUUGGCUCCUCCUCCUCCCCACCUUCAGCCAGUUCGCCGCAAGCGGAGCCCCCAGCUCCACCAAGAAGGCGUCUCCGCAAGGCCGGGGACGUAGCGGGGCGGCAGACGGGUCAACAGCCACCGUGCCGCGCGACACGCUCUACCUCGGCAAGCACUGUUGCUGCGGGAGCGCCUGACGCCGCUGCGGCAACUGGAGCGGGGUCUUCCCGGUCCGCCGCUACUGCUCCUGCCAAGAGGACAAGGGAACCUACUCCUCUGCCUCGUCGCACCAGAGGCAAGCCGGACUUCGAUCUCUCCGUGCUCAGCUCCGACGAGGAAGAAGAAGAGCAAGAUUCUUUGCUGUACUUAUAGUUCUUCAAUUCUUGCUGUUUUGUCUUGUAUCUGAUUUGCUUUACUCCGAACCUAUUCCUUUUCAGGACUCUGGCCCAGAGAGCGGCGAAGAGAGCCAAGGUCCCGGUGAUUGUCAUUGAGGACGAACCCACCGCGACAGCAGGGGAUGUGUCUGAGACCACCUUGCCGGACCCGGCAACUUUUCCCCAAAGCAGCCCCCAGUGCAGCCCCCAGCGUAAGUAUAUAGUUUACUUCCUGCUGUCAGGCGCGCAUGGGUGCUCUUUCUUUGCUGAUAUCUGACUGUUGGUUUGUGUAGGAGCAGAGCAGCCUCACCAGGAGUGCCCGGAAGCCGCUCCCAAAAUGCCAUCUGCUUCGACUACACCGCCAAGGGAGGAUUCCCCGGCAAGGGAGCGUUCUCCGGCAAGGGACAGUUCUCCGGCAAGGGACAGCACUGGCGACCCCCCGGUGGUUGAGACCAUGACUGCAGAUCCUAGUACAGGUAAUCCUCUUGCUUGAAAACUUCCCUUGGGUUCUUCUUCUUCCGAUUUUAUUUUUGAAUAUUUGCUUGACUUUUCUCCCCUCUUCGGUCGUCAGAUCCAUCUGUCACGGAGCCGAUGGAAACCGAGGUCGCCGCCGAGGAGAACGCGUGCGGCAACAACGACGACGCCGCUGUCACCGAAGAAGAGGCCGACGCUGAUGAUCCCGCCGGCGAAGAGGCCGCCAAAGCUGCCGCCGCAGAAGCUGGCGAGGGUUCCGGCGAUCGCACUGAUGGCCCCGAGGCCGCAGGAGCGUCAGGCGCUACGCCGACCGCCGAUCCCUCCGCCGCUGCUGCAGCGCCAGGCUCCGAAGAGCCCCAGCCCGGCGCCUAUUUGAAGGCCGGCGACGGUAUCUUCAUCAAGCUCCCCUGGGCGUCAAGCUCCAGGGCGCCGGUCGAAGGAGAGAUCUUAGAUGGAGAGGUGCUCGCCUCCGCUGGGCUGACGCUGGUCGACGCGCCAAGCAGCAGCAGCGACGAGCCUAAGGAGGAGCGGCUGCUGCGGAAGCUAUUGUCGCUCUACCGCGCCCGACAAGCCAAGCUGGAAUCCCGAGAAGUGCUUGUCGCGAAGGUGGGAGUGGACAUCGAGAACCGCGUGGAGGAGCUCCGGGGUCUCAGGCAGGAAGCUCUCCGAUCCCUGGCAGAGGAGCGGGAGCAAGUCGCCGAAGAGCGGAAAGCCUUCCUCCUCGAGAAGGCUGAAGUUGAAGAGCAACAGCGGCUUGUCGCCGAAAAGCUAUUUGCGCAGGAAGGUGAGUUGGCGCACCGCAAGGUCAACCUUGACAGCCACGAGGAGGAGCUUGCCGCGCGCGAGCAAGCAAUUGGUGGGGCUCUCAAGGAAGCAGAGGAUGCUGCCGCAGCUGCCGAGGCCGCCAAGAAGGAGCUGGAGACAAAGAUGGCGCAGCUGGAGGCCGAUCUCAAGGCGAGCGGCGAGGAGCUUGCUGCGCUCAAGCGUGAGCGCGAGAAGGACGCCGCCGCUCAUGGCGAGCUGCAGGGUCGUCUCGCUGAGAGGAGCAAAGAGCUUAGCGCCGCCAAGGACUCCAACGCAGAUCUUGAGUUGAAGCUGACCACUUUGACCAAGACGCUGGACAGCGCCAGGGAGCAGGAGGUGGCUUUGAAGGAGAAGAUCAAGGCCGAUGAGGCCCUGCUGGCGAAUGCUGCUGCCGCCAAGAACAGUUUCAGGGAGAAUGUGGAGCACUGGACCGAGGGUCUCGUGGAUGUUGCCGUAGCCAUCGAUGGGGAGCUGGCGCAGCUGGGGAUGGAGGAUUUUGCGUAUUCCUCCGAUGAGCACCUCCAACCCAGUGCCAAGCUCAGCUUGUUCUUCAAAGGCGUGGCGACGGCCCUCCAGCGACUCUAGGAGAAGAUCCCAAAGCAGCUGGCCGAUGAGUCGCGCAAGAUCUGCGCGGGAGCUCUUCAAAAGGUGCUGGUGAAGGUGGCCUUCCGCAACCCAGGCCUAAACCUCACCAACGUCCUCAGGUCCCUGCCGCCGGAUGCUGAUCUGGAAGCGCUCAAGGCCCUUGUCGCACCCAUUGUGGACAAGGUGAGCGGGAUCAAGAGGGUUGAGGGCGAUCGCGUAGAUUAGGCCGCCCGUUUUCUCUUUUUCUUGUCGCUACUGGUCAUGUUAUGAGAACAAUCUGUUAGAGCUGCGACAAGCUAUCUUGUAAUAUAACUCUAUUUUGGGUAGAGAUUGCUGUGUUAUUUCCUUUACUUGAUUCCUUCCUUUGUAUGUUUUUGCCCUACGCUUUUAGGGAACUUGUCGGCGCAGGCACCUUGAGCCGCGAGCGCUGAGUGCGGGACGUCAGUAGCCUGCUGGCGGUGCCGCUACCGACAAGAAACCUUGUCGCAACUAGUCGCAGCUCACUUAAGUUGUUGAGCGGACUCGAAACAAAGUAAGGGCGUAACUAGCUACGAGUUGGUUCCUUCGCGCAGAGGUUUUCCAUACAAAGCACGGUCGUUCGAGGAAGAUAACUUAUAAAUUUUAAAACUGAUUGCUCAAACUUUAGCAACUUAGCUUUUCUGUUGUUUGCUUCCCGGUAAGGCGAAACUUCCUCGAGCGACGCUUGGUCCACAUCAUUAUCUUCUCCUUUCCCCCCGGCAAACUUGUGGGCGAGGGAACCUUCCUUUCUUUGAGAAAGAGAAAGAAGAGAAAAUAAAGAUAUGGAGCCUUACGGCUCAUUAUUGCUUACCGGGGUAGGCGCUGCACAAAGUGUCAGAUAACACAUGCAAAAAAGGUAGAAAGCAUGAAAUUGACGAGAUGUGCGAAGCACAUGAGCUUUACUUAUGCACGGGGUCUGCGCCCGGCUUUGUACAAAGGAUUACAUGCAACAUCGGCAAGACUUGUACAAAAGGUGGUUGCCGGGACGGGUUCCGGUAACCGCGCCCUACAGGUAAAACUUAGGAAGACGCUCAAUGUUCCAGGAGUUGCUCACCGGAAUGCCAUCUUCGGUCUCAAGGCGGACAGCGCCAGGCCUAGUGACUCGUUUCACCCGGUAAGGGCCUUCCCACUUUGGGGUCAACUUGUUGGAAUUCUUGGCGGACUGAACGCACCGAAGAACAAGGUCGCCUUCCUCGAAACUUCUGGCUUUAACUUUGCGGCUAUGGUAGCGGCGCAAAGCUUGCUGGUAUCGAGCAGCUCGUACAGCGGCCUGAAGAUGGUCCUCCUCAAGGAGCAGCGCGUCAUCUUAUCGCAGCUGCUCUUGCUCAAGCUCAUCAUAAGCGAGCACUCGAGGUGACCCGUAUACGAGUUCCGUGGGGAGAAUUGCCUCUGCUCCAUAGACUAGAGCGAAAGGUGUCUGGCCAGUGGCUCGAUUUGGCGUCGUCCUGAUCGACCAAAGAACCACUGGCAGCUCCUCAAUCCAGUUCUUUCCGCACCUGCGCAGCCUGUCGAAAGUCCUGGUCUUGAGCCCGUGCAGCACUUCAGCAUUUGCCCUCUCCGCUUGACCGUUGCUUCUCAGAUGAGCAGCAGAAGCGAAGCAGACCUUGGCGCCAAGAUCUUGGACGUACUGCAUGAAGGUGCGGCUCGUGAAUUGCAUGCCGUUGUCGGUGAUGAUCCUGUUAGGGAUCCCGAAGCGGCAAACAAUCGACCUGAAGAACUUGACAGCUGACUGUGCUUUCACCUUCCUCACUGCUUCCACUUCCGGCCACUUUGUGAACUUUUCGAUUGCAACGUACAAGUACUCAAAGCCCUCGACAGCUCGGGGGAAGGGGCCGAGGAUGUUGAGCCCCCAGACCGAAAAUGGCCAGGAUAAAGGGAUUGUCUGGAGAGUUUGAGCUGGCUGGUGUAUCUGCUUGGAACGGAACUGGCACGCUUCACACUUGGUUACUUGUGCAGUUGCAUCCUGGAGGGCUGUCAGCCAGAAGAAACCUUGCCGGAACGCUUUGCCGGCAAGUGCUCUUGCGCCAACGUGGUGACCACAUAUGCCUCCAUGUAUCUCUGCCAACAGCUUUUGUCCGUCUUCCUGUUGAAUACACUUCAAUUUCAUGCCGUUGAGUCUUCUUCUGUACAGUGUGUUGUCGACAAACUGGUACAUACUUGACUGCCAGGCUACUCUUUCCGCUUCUUCUUGCUCUUCGAGAAGUUCUCCUGUCUGAAGGAAAUGGACAAUCUGCUGUGCCCAUGCUGGAGCUUGCGGCUCGACAACAAGGACUAAAGGAAUAUCUGCUGCUGCGGGAACAUCCGCUUCUACGGCAAGAACCUGCGGCUCAGCCGGAGCUUGACGUUCCCCGGCAAGCUUGCCGGAGCAAAACUUGUCGGGAGCGUCUGCUUCAAUGGAACAAACCCUAGGGCUUGCCAGAGCAGACCGCUCCUCAGCACCCUUGGUGUUGAUCUUGGGGACCUUCUUGGCGGCGGCUCCUGGGAGCUCUGCCGGAAGAUAGUCACCAGAAAUCAACUUCCUCUUAUUGCUUUGUCCAGUUGAUGGCGUUACAGACGGUUGAGUCAGUUUGAGCACAAAGAUCCCUGGUUCCACAGGUAACUUAAGUGCGGCGCACUUCGACAGGCCAUCGGCAAUGCCGUUCUGAGCUCUUGGAACAUGUUCCAUCUGUAGGCCUUCAAAGUGCCCUUCUAGCUUUCUCACUUCAUCAACGUAAGCUUCCAUCAACGGACUCUGAUAAUUCUUGUUCACUUGGCAGACGACAAGCUGUGAGUCACCCCUGACAAUGAGCUUCUUGAUCCCAAGGUCUGCUGCGAUCCUGAGACCGGCAAGCAAACCUUCAUACUGUGCGGUAUUGUUCGUUGCUUGCUCCUUGGGAAAGUGCAUCUAGACUACGUACUUGAGGUGCUCUCCGGUGGGUGCAACAAGAAGCACGCCCGCACCGGCGCCUUGCAGCGAGAAGGCACCAUCGAAGUACAUCAGCCACUCUUUGCUUGCCUCCUUGACGGGGAUGCUCGUUUCUGGAAUUUCUUCAUCUUGAGUUGGCGUCCACUCUGCUAUGAACUCCGCCAAUGCUCUGCUUUGGAUAGUUGAAGUGCUCUCAAACUUGAGGCCAAAGCUUGACAGUUCCAGUGCCCAUUCGACAAUCCUGCCUGUUGCUUCUGGAUUUUGCAGUAUCCUCUUCAGCGGAAAACGAGUGACGACUGUGAUCUCAUGUGCUUAGAAGUAAUGGCGCAGCUUUCUCGAGGCCAUGAGAAGGCCAAAAAGCAAUUUCUGCACACCAGAGUACCUUGACCUAGCCCCCUGCAGAAGGGAACUGACAAAGUAAACUGGGCGCUGCACCAUUCUUUUCUGCAUCUUCUCGCGUGCCUGCACAGAUCCAUCCUUGUCGGGACCAGAGCUUGCCGGUGAAGUCCCCUGCUUGUCGCUCGAUGCAUCUGCCGUGGUUGCUGGCUCAUCAUCCGCCUCCCUCUCCGCUACUAAUGCAGCACUAACCAUUUGAUUGGUUGCCGCUAUAUAUAGGAGUAACUUCUCUUGUGGCUUAGGUGCGACAAGUGUUGGAGUGGAGGACAGGUAUCUCUUUAAGUCCUACAGUGCAGCCUCCGCUUCCGGAGUCCAUUUCAUUGGACCUACCUUUUUCAAUAUUUUGAAAAAUGGCAGGGCGCGCUCAGCAGACCUAUAGAUAAACCUGCUGAGAGCAGCUACGCAACCGGCAAGUUUUCGUACAUCCUUGACGCGCUUUGGUGCUUCAAUCUGCUCAAUGGCCAUGAUCUUGUCGGGAUUGGCUUCAAUUCCCCGCUGAGAUACGAAAAAUCCGAGAAGCUUGCCGGGGGGGACUCCAAACACACACUUCUCGGGGUUAAGCUUGAGGUUGAUCUUGCGCAGAUUUGCAAAAGUUUCGUCUAAAUCUUGAAUCAGAGUCGCCUUGUCCUUGCUUUUGACCACUAUGUCAUCCAUGUAGGCUUCCACAUUUCUGUGUAUUUGUGGCUCAAAAGCGUCAUGGACUACCCUUGCAAAUGUUGAACCAACAUUCUUUAAGCCGAAAGGCAUCCGUACGAAACAGUAUGUGCCACGUGGGGUGAUGAAUGCGGUCUUCUCCUCAUCCUCUUCUGCCAUCAAGAUCUGAUGGUAUCCUGAGUAUGCAUCAAGAAAUGAAAGCAAGUCACAUCCAGCUGUGGAGUCAACAAUCUGGUCAAUGCGCGGCAAGGGAAAUGGAUCUUUGGGACAAGCUUUAUUGACAUCGGUAAAGUCGAUACAAAGCCUCCAUUUCCCGUUUGCCUUGCGCACGACUACAGGAUUGGCCAACCACGUAGGAUGGAGCACUCCUCUAACAAGGCCUACUGCUUCCAAUUUCUUGAUUUCUUCUGCGAUGAACUCUUGGCGCUCCACUGCCUGUUUCCUGACUUUCUGCUUGACGGGCCGCGCAUGAGGACAGACGGCAAGAUGGUGCUCGAUGACUUUCCUGGGAACACCGGGGAUGUCAGACGGUUGCCAUGCAAACACGUCGAUGUUCGCCCGCGGGAAAGCAACGAGCGCGCUUUCCUAUUUAGGGUCGAGAGUGGCACUGAUGGUGAAGGUACCACCAGUGCCGUCCUCCUUGGCGGACACCUUCUUGGUCUCUGGUGGAGCUACCAUUGUCUUCUUACACUUGCCGGUGGAGCUCGAUGGUGCGUCCUCGACGGUAGCGCAGCACUCUAAAGAGGUGCGCUUGCCGGAGUGGGCAUCAGUACUCUUGCCGAACUUGGUCUUCUUCUUCCCCCCGGGAGCUUCAACGGCAAGUGACCUGUGAUCUGUUGCGGCUGCUGCUUCUCGGUAGAUCUUGUCGGCGCAGAUAAGAGCAUCCUUCUUGUCGCCAGGGACAGAGAUGACACUUAUCGGGCCUGGCAUCUUCAACAUGUUGUAUGCAUAGUGAGAGGCUGCCAUGAAUUUAGCGAGUGCUGGACGGCCGAGUAUCCCAUUGUAAGGCAAUGGAAAGUCAACAACGUCAAAAGUGACCCUCUCAGUCCUGAAGUUUAACUCGCUGCCAAAUGUCACCGGCAACGUGAUCUUUCCCUUCGGCUUGCUUCUUCCCGGAUUGAUUCCUUGGAAUGUGCCGGUCUCUUCAAGCUCGCCAUCAGGGAUCUGGAGUUUCUGGAGUACCGCGGAGGAGAUCAGGUUCAAGCUGGCCCCGCCGUCAACUAGCAUCUUAGUGACCUUGAGGUUGCGGAUAGUUGGUGAAACCAACAUCGGCACGCACCCGACCGCAGUUAUGCGAUCAGGGUGGUCCUCAAUAUCAAAGAUGAUAGGUGCGCUGGACCAUUUCAGAGGCUUGCGUGACUCGACGGGUGGUUCUGCCGCAUUGACUUCCCGCACCCACUGCUUGAGCUGGUGGUGUGAAGUAUGCAGAGAAGCACCGCCGUCAAUGCACAGGACCUCUGUGGCUUUCUGGAACUCCUGCUCAUCGGUCUCGUCAUCAUCCAUAUCUUCAUCAUCGUCGUCAUCUUCAUCCGUGUCGCGGCCGCGGGGAGGUCUGUCUCCUUGCCGCUGCUUGGCCUUGCCGCGGCGUCCUCCUCGGCCGCGGCGUUUCUUGCCGUCUCCUCUAGCACCUUCCUGGGCCUUCUCCUUGUCGCAUCACUCGUACUCAGCCUUUUGCUGCUCGACAAGCUGCUCGACCUUAUUGCAGCUCUGGAGGUCAUGGCCCUUGGUGCGGUGGAUCUUGCAGUACUGCUUGUUGGUGCCGUCCUGCUUGUCGGCAACCGCCACAGCCUGGUAGUUGGUGCCUGCGGCAAUCUCCUUGCCGGAACUACCAACUUUGGCUUUCUUGGCGCCACCUCCGUUGCCGGACUGCUCAACGACUAGCACAUCUUUGCCUUUCUUCUUCCUGUUGUUCCGCCGCCGGUUUUUCUUUGCCGGGGCAGUAUCUUCACUAUUAGAUCCUCCUGCUUCUGUAUUCUCCCCGGGGAGUUUCCUCCCUUCCUCAGCACGUGCACACUUGUCGGCCAGGGCAUAUAGCUCACUGACGUCUCUGAUCUUGCACAUCGCCAUCUCCCCCCGCAUCCUGCGGUUUCGCAUUUUCUAAUGGAACGCGCUGAUUACCGCGGCAGGGUGGACAUCUGGGAUGUUGUGCUGUACGCGGCUGAAUCUCUGAAUGUAUUUGUGUAGGGGCUCUCCUUCCUUCUGGGCGAGUAGAUGAAGGUCGCUCUCUUGGCCAUGAGGCUUGUGGCCGCCCGUAAAGGCGCCGACAAACUGAUGGCACAGGUCUGCCCAGGAGGAUAUGGAGUUGUCCGGCAAGUGCAUGAGCCAGGAUCUAACAUUGGGCUUGAGCACCAGCAGGAAGUAGUUGGCAAGGAUCUUGUCAUCCUGCCCCCCGGCAGCUUGCACCACAAUGGUGUAGAUGCUGAGGAACUCCGACGGAUGCGACUUGCCAUCGUACUUCUCUGGUACGUCUGGCUUGAAAUUCUUCGUGCUGGGCCACUGGACUUGCCGCAGCUCACGAGUGAACGCAGGGCAACCUACCGCGUACGGCAAAUCGCCUGGUUCCCCUGGUGCAUGCAUGUCGACAGAGGGCCCAGCGCGCUGGUCCGAUUGACACCGCGCUUCUCUUCGGCGCUCGAUGCGAGUACGAGCGUCUUCUUGCUGUUGUUCGUGAAGAACUUGGCGCUGAUCGCGACGAGCUUGUGGAUCCGAUGAUGCGGUGGAGUCGCUGUCGAGGUGGAUCCGGCGAGUCGGCGAUCUUGGCCUUCGGGGUGGAGAGUACAUGGUGGUUGCACCCCCACCGGUUUUAUCGCCAUCGGCUCGUGCCUGGCAGUCCUGCCGCAGCAGCAACGUACUCGGCUGCCGCGUAGUGUCGCCGUUGGUGAAGCCGAUGAGACUCUGAAUGGUGGCCCUCCAUUCGUCGAUCUUGUGUGCCGUUGGAGGGUAAUCCAGGAGCAGUUGAGCUCGCGCCAAAGCUUCUGCUGGAGUGGUGGGCGGCAGUGGCGAACGUGCGAGGAGCGGGAUACGCUCGGACUUCUAACUAAGUUAGAACGAGCAGUAUCUCGUCCGGGCGACCAUGUCUCGCUCGUGCCAGCAUGUUGGCGUGCAUGCUGGUCUUGAGCACUCCGAGAUCCACCAGCUCGAUCUUGGUCCAACAAACGUAUGGUACUGCGAAUACCAUGACGCUGUCCGUCCUGCGCCUCCUGAGAGGGGCGCGGUGCAUGUACGGACGCCGAGGUCUACGCAGCCUUGUCCUUGGACCAGGUAGCACCGUGAGCUCCCUCGUCGAUGUCCGUUCUUCUGCCGGCGUCUACCCCACCACCCGUUUGCUCCGGUGGUGGUGGGAUCGACGUGGACGGAACAGUUGCCGCCGAAGUCUUCUUCUUCGGUGGCAUGUCGAUGAAGAAAAUGAAGAUCUAUCUCAUGUGAACGCCGGAUCAGGUUCACACAACCUCGACGCCCCUACCUGGCGCGCCAAAGAUGUCGGGGAAACCGAUCCACAAACACCUAUGGGACCGCGGACCGAGCCCCUUUCGGUUCGGCGGGGGGCGGAGAUCGCACGAAGAGCGGAUCGAGGCGAAUCACACGAGCAGUUUACCCAGCUUCGGAGCUCAUAACACUCCUACUGCUGCAUGUCUGAGUGUAUUGAGUUCUUGCUCGGGAGCGCUGAGUGCUACAGUACACACUAGCUGCUAACGAGACCGAGCGUGAGUGUUUUUCUGCCUUCAAACCUUCCGAACCGAACCCCCACCUUCCUCCAUGUUGCGCAUGGGCCUUCUUUUAUAUGCUCAAGGGGUCACCGACAGCUGGCAACGCAGACAAGGGUAAAAAUGGAAAAGUGUUGCGGUUGGUACAACUACCUGUACAGUGUAUCCUACCUAACCCUGACGGUAGGGGACAAAGGCAUUAAAUGCCCGUCUGCGUCGCCCAAAUAGUGCAGAAAGGGACCGUCAGGGACGCCACCACUCGCCAUGAUGGCAAUCUUGUCAGCGUCGCUUGCCACCGCGCACCGCUGGCUGCACAGCCUCUUGCCACGCGCGCCUGGAAAGGCGCCAGGGCGACACGUUGGUGGAUGUGCUGGAGCGUGGGUACAGAGUGGUAGCUUGCCGCGGCAAGCGCCUUGCCACGGUCGUUGUCUUGUCGCGUCCGGAAGCUUGUCGCUCACCGGGCCUCGCAGGGAUGCGUGGCGCAUUGCGGCAAGUUUCUUGAGAUGCCUUGGUUGGCCUUUCCGGCAAGCUCCUCUUGCCGGGGCCUUGUCUCCUUGGCUUGAAUACUUUGUUCUUGAAUGGCUCCAAAGGAACCACGGAGGACCUUGGCGGUCGCCCGGCAAGCCUUGCCGCGGGGUGCUGCAACUGCCCGUGCACAAGUUCGGGAUACUAGGGUACCCCUACUCUAGUACACCGACACUGGUUGUCCAUAGUGUUCUUCAUCAAUUACAUAUCAAUAUGUAUAAGCUUAAUCUACUUCGAUGAGCAAUUUCCUUAUGUUUCUUUUAUCAUGCUCAUUAAUAUUGGCGCAAAAUCAUUUAUUAUGCAUUAAAUAAGGAUUCAUUAAGCAAAAAUAAAAAUUUAUUAAUAUUUGUGCAAAAUCAUUCAUUAAGCAUUCUAUUACAUUUCUUUUAUGUCAUUAAACCAUAUGAUAUUUAUUUGGGAAAAUUUGGUUUCUGCCAUGGUAGGUUUUGCUAAUUUCCUUACGCCACUCUAAAAUUUGACAUUUCACUUUUGCUACACUUAGAUUUAGACAAUACAUCACAAUUGUCAUUGUAUGGCAAAAGCAAAAACAAUUAGAGUUGCAAUUGUGAUACAUUGUUAAAAGCUAAGAGUGGCAAAAGUGAAACGAUUACUUUUUUUUGCUCUAGCCACGAAAUGGCAACUGGGAUACAUUGUCGAAAUCUAAGAGUGGCAAGAAUGAAAUAUCAAAUUUUAGAGUGACAUAAGGAAACUGUCAAAAUCUAGAGUGGCAAAAACAGAAUUUUCCCUAUUUAUUUCUAUAAGAUGUAAAUCUUUCUCUAGUAUGUGUCAGGCUAAACCAUACAAAAUUAAUCGAAUAUUGCGCAAAUAUUUAUUUAAUGCGCACACAAUAUUGCGCAAGUAUUUCUCUAGUAUUGUAAUUAAUGCCAUAUAUUUUGUGCGUAUUAAAUAAAUAUGCAAUAUUUUGUGUGCAUUGAAUAAAGAUUUGCACAUUACUUAGUUAAUUUUGUAUGGUUUAGCUUGACACGUACUAGAAAGACACACAUAUAUGGUCUAUAUAUGGUUCUGGUUGCCCAUAGUGAUCUUCAUCUAUUACAUAUCAAAAUAUGUAUAGGUUUAAUCCACUUCGACGAGCAAUUGCCUUAUGUUUCUUUUAUCAUGCUCUUCAAGCUAAAGGUGUUCGGUUCUUCCCUACCAUUGAAGAGGUAAUCUGACUAUAUAUUGUGAUAGUACAAUAUUGUAUAUAAAUAUUACACGUGAGUGAGAUAGAUUAAUGGGUUGUUUUCCCCGACCAUUCUUUUUUGAGGAAUUCCCCACCAUUCUUGGUCUUUUGAUGUACUUAGUUAUUUUUCAUUUCAAAAGACAUCAUGGUUCAGAACAACCAUGCAUAACAAGAUGGACCUAUAAGUUAAGAAUACUAAACAAUUACGUGAUAGGACAACCACAAACACAUAUAUAUGUUGGAGGGACUAGAGACAUUGCCGGAUAGUAUAUACACUCCUCCUAUAAUAGUUGGAUGCCAACAAAAUCAUGGGAGUGAAAUUAGAAACAAACUAUGUUGGAGUAUAAUUUCAAAGUUUUUAGCAUAUCUAUUCAUCUACUAUUGCUAUGACUACAAUGUUUAGCUAUAAAAUAAACAUUAGCUUUAGUUUCUUGAUUCUACAAAAGAUACUUCGUAUAAAAUUUUCCCUUCUUAACAUACAUUUACAUUUUUACUUGAAGGAAAAUGAUUCACUGGCCAAAGAUUUUGUCCAUGGUCCAGCCAAACAAAUUCUCAAAAGUUUGAAGUCAAACUCCACUUAAGCAGUAACUUCAGGGCAAGGUUCCAGUUCAUGGGAUGAUCCCUAUGUGAGUUACACUUUCUAUCUUCACUCAAUUUACUUAAGUAUCUUAUCCAAGAUUAUCAAAUACACUUUUUAGGUGCAAUGACACAAUAUAUAGUAAUUUAAAUCUGGAAUAAGUAACAUGGCAUGUCAUUUUCAGUAAUAUAAGAUUUAUUAUGGAAUUCGGUUGUUGGAAAGCAUACUUACAUGUAUGUAGUCACAUAUAACUUAGUAUGAUGUUGCAUUGUAGCUAUUUUGACAUGUUCACAAAUAUGAAUGCAAGAUGAUGUAAACAACUACAACACUAAUUGCUGACCUAUUAUGUUUUGGCAAAUGUCAUGAUAUUAUGUCGAUAGGCACAAUUAUGAGUAUUCACAUGUACUAGGUAAUCAUUUAUUUUAGAAUUCACCUAAUAAAAGUAAACAGACACACCCACCAAGCCAAAUAGAUACUAUGAAAUAAUAUGUUCGUAAUAUGAUGCUAACCUACCUGCCAUCAAAGUGAGAUAAAUGCUAUUUUAGUCUGAGGUAGCCUUCAUAACUAUCCUAUUUAUCUUUACCAAUUUAAUAAAUUAAGGAAAUAUUUCUGCUAUAUGAAUCUAUUUUUGUACUUAUUUUUAUCAACACACGAGGAGCACGUGUUUGAGCUUCCCCAAUGCAUAUUGGUAGUAAUGUUUUAUAUAGAAAUCAUGUUAUUUUGGAAAACUAAAAGAAUGAUUUGAACAUUAGCAUGGAUGGAUUUUGAUAGUUCCUUUCUUUCAAUUUGUACAAUAUAUUUAUUAUGCUAACUUUGAGAUAUGUAGUGAAAUUUAUGCACUUUUUAAACUGUAAAAUAUUGGAAGCAAAAAUACACCUUGUUAAAAGUUUGAUGAGAUUGUUUUUGACUAUUUAGUACCCCAACAAUUGUUAGUUGACCGUUUCGCCAUCAAAAUUGAUUGUUCUUUAUGUUCUUUGCACAAUUAUUAUGUUAACUUCGAGGUAUUUUUUGAGAUUUAUAUACAUUUUAAACCAUAACUAUUUUGAAGAAAAUACUCCCCAGUGAAAAUUUGAUGCCACUGCUUUUGGCUAGUUAUGUCCCAUGGAAAUUGUUAGUUACGUCACUUGGUUGCUUCCAUCUUGCAGUUUGUGGCACAUCUAACACAUUCUAGAGGUCCUAAUGACAACUACUAUGGCUUACAUGCCACCAUGGAUGUGUAUGGCCACGAACUAAAACAUGGCCAGUGGAGUUCGACUACUUUUUGGAUUAAUCAUGCAGGACAUGGUAAUAAAUCAAGAUAUAAUGCGAUCAAGUUGGCUGGCAUGUAAGCAUUAUUAUUCUUCCCAUGCACAUAGCCUCUCAAUUUAAUAAUAAAUUGGUCAUUAGUUUAUUCCUUCAACUAUGAUAUUAUAAUAUUCAAGUAACAUAAAUACAUCUUGUCGACUUGCCAAAAUUCCUAAACAUCCUUGGGAUCAAAUUAAAUGUGCAUCACAAAAAAAUACUUAAUCAUAUUUAUUUGCGGGCUAAGGCUAUGCCCCUUGAAAACUAGGAAACUUGUGCCAUUUUUCUCUGACGUGUUAUAUAACAGUUAAAAACAAAGUUGGACAUGUGCAAAGUUACCAUAGACUCAAAAUUAUUUUGGUUCAAGUGAGCUCAUUUCCUUCUUCUCCAAAUUCAUAUUUUAAGUAUAAAAUUCUUCAAUUUCUGACCACAUGUAUGUGUAGAUGUUAACUUGCUGCCAAAUUCCAUCAACAAAGCAUUUCAUCCAUAUGUUUAUCCUUUGCGUGUAGCUCAUAAACAGCAAGUUUAUGGACAAAAUUUUACAGAUACUCUAGGCACAUCUACAUGUGGAACUAUUUCAAAAUUUUAUGAAAAUUUAAAUAUGAAUUUUAAAUUUUGUAAAUUGUGGGAUCACAACAUUCAUAAACCGUGGCUUGCCAUCAUGUAAAUGGCGAACCAAUUCAUUUGUUCUCCAUUUGUUGGAAACUCCCCUUCUUGACCUUUAAGUGUGAGGCAAUGUUUAUCUUAUGUGUACCCUUUAUUGAACAGAUUAAUCCAGAUCACUAUGGCGACUCACAUCCUCACUUCUACACCCGUUGGACGGUAUUGUGAUAAUUAUGCUUUGAAAAUUACUCCUUCCCACAGUAAAAGUGAUCUUACUCUGAUAAAAACAUGCAUAGAAAGUUUCUAACCCACACACAAAAACAAUCUAUGCAACAGAGAGAUAAUUAUGAUGCAACAGGCUGCUACAACAUGGACUGCCCUGGUUACAUACGGGUAGAUGGCGCUGUUAUAGCUCCUGGUGAUGCUAUACAUCCAGUUUCUAAUGUCCCUAAUGGACCUAGACAAAGUAUCACUCUAAGGGUGCUAAAGGUAUGUGUUUCAUCCUUUUUGUAUGCAUUUUCAUAGCCAUGUUAUUCCACUUAUGAAAAUCUAACUACGUGGUCGAUAAAGGUGUAUCAUUUUUACAACCUAAUAAUUGGUGGAUCGUAACAUAUAUCAAAGGUAUAAAUUAAAUGUGAAGGGCUUUAGUCUAAAUCCUAAUCAAUUUCAGGACAAAAGAAGUGGAGAUUGGUGGGUAUAUUACGGCUUCAAUAAAAUCCCGACAGGCGUGGGAUACUUCCCAAGGUCGUUGUUCAGCUACUUAGCAGAAAAGGCAGACGGAAUGCAAUUUGGUGCAUUUGUUAAAUCUCAAAAAGCACUUCCAACUCCUCCAAUGGGCAAUGGUGCCCUCCCAAAUGGUGGUAAGGGUCACGCCGCAUUAUUCACAGACAUUAGAUUCAUUGACCAGGAUGGAAAUAGCAGCCCAAUCAAGGAAGACCUACCCAUGUUUGUUACUGAUAAAAAAUGCCACUCUAUCACCCAUAUUGUUCAUGCUGAAUGCUUUUAUGGUGGUCCUGGAGGUUGUAUGAGAUAAGAUCUGAUACUUUGAGCUUGGUAUCACCUAGUGUUAGUUGUCAAAUAAAAUGGCAUGGAUGACAAAAAUUAUGAAGAGAAUAUUCGCUUGUUUACCUAAAGCUACACUAUGAAAACCUUUACUUGCAACAAACAUGCAUCCCUCGUACUUAAAUUGACCUAACCAUCCAAGGAGUUAUAUCGAAUAGUUGUAUGUUUAGAUGUGAGGAAACAUAAUAAUUUUGUUG
rnacentral:lncRNA from 1 species